rnacentral:lncRNA from 1 species
GGUCAAGACUCAAAAGAAGCACUGAAAUUUAAAAAGCAUGGAAUAGUUCUUUUGCCAUGUGUCAAUUAAUGCAAGUUUGAAUAAGUUUAUUGGCUGAACGAUGUUAGCUUCUUUUCCUUUCGUGCACUUUGGUAUGCUAUCAAGUGACAGCCGUAUGUAUGGCUUGCAUAUAGCUGCUGCUGGGAAAAUUGACGAUUUCAUGGCUGGCCGUGUUAUUGUCUUAAAUUAGUUGUGAUAAGCUGUUGCUUGGAGAUUCUGUUGCCAAGACUUUGCUCACAUCAGAAGCUGUGGAAUCUGAACCCUUCGUUAUGUAUCAUCUUUUUCAUUGUUUUAAAACUCUCAGGAUUAAACUUGAGCGAAUUUGUUCGGUUGUCUAUAUAAUCAUGUAUUGAGUAAACUCUCAGGAUACUGAGGGUGAGAGAAAUUAGAGGGUGUAUAGGGAUUUGGAUUUGUUAGGAAGUUAUCAUUUUUAUUUUUAUUUUUAUUUUUUUCCCAGAAAAUCUUCUGGUGGUGCUAUAUUUUCAAACGACAGUCCGAUUCAAAACUUGAUAUUCCAAUUAUAUUCAUAAGCUUCUAUAGUUAUCUUCAAAAAGACAAAUGGAAGGCUUUGAACGGCUUGGGUCUGAGUAUUGUAGUUUGAUUUAUUUUGAUGAAAGUACCUUUUGACAUUGAGAUUCUUUCAUGAGUUAAACAUUCUUUUUAAAACCAACUUAUUAAAAAAAAAAGUAACUAACAUAUAUUAUUUUGUUAGUGCUUUUUAAAUCAAAUAUAAAAAAGAGAACUGUAAUUCUUAGCAACCAAUUUUUCACUGAGUACACCUACAACAAACUACUAAAAAAUAAAGUGAUAGAAAAUGCCUGAUUUUUCGUACUUUCUAAUUACUUUUGGUCUUCAAAUAUGGCGGUUUGUGUAAUAAUAAGCCCAUGUAUAUCUUUAUGCCAUUAGUUUGAUAAAUAGCUAUCAAGGAUAACUUAUUAAGCUAAAAAUAUUUGAAGGAUAAAAUGAUAAAACUAAAAGGGUGGAGUAAUAUAGUUAUUUAGGAUUAUAUAGUAAGUCAACUAUAUUCGAGGGAUAAAAUAUUAAAACUUGAAUAGUGAUAUUAAAAAUAUCUCGACUAUUAUACUGUUAAACCAUAUGCCGUAAUAAUAUUUUUUUAGAGCUUGAAAAUAAUAAAAAGAUUUUAAAAUAUAAAUUGCAUAUUUGUUUAUUACUGUUGUUUGGUCUAAUUUCUUAUGUAGAAUUGCUUGUUAUUCUUUGGACGUUAUUGAUUAUAUUUUUGUCAGACUUGGCGUAUAUAUUCACAUACGUUUUAUUUUGUCAUUUUGUAGAACAUUUUUACACGCCAUAUUAUCACGACUCUUCUGUGUCUGAAUAAGAAGAAAGCAUAAUGCGACCCUCCAAUAGCUUAAUCUAUGGAAUUAUCGUGUUUUGUAAGUUGAGGUCCAAUGGCGUUUUGGCACAUCAUAUGAUAGACCACUAUAUUGCGUUGCUUUACAAAAGAUUAAUAUUUUUAAAAUUUAUUAGGUAAGUUUAGGCUCAGUGGCCCUUUAACUCAUGAUAUGAUAGUCCAGGUUUUCCGUUUUCGGAUCGAGUUCACUUUAACUCUGGUCCCGUGUUAUUAAAAUACCAAUUUCGGAUCGAGUUCAGGCGCCAGAACAAUUUUCUAGAACCUGGCCCGAGUUUAUUUUUGGGCUUGGGCCGGACGACCAAGUCCGCCCUGAUUAAAAAUUUGAGACUUUUCGAGGUUCACAGGGAUUCUGGCAUCCCUAGUCGAAUCAACACCGAUGUGAUCUACACAACCAGUGUACAUACCAUUUGAUACUGAAUCACCAAAUACUUAGAUGUAAUCAGCAACAAUUACAUAUAUAUAUAUAUAUAUAUAUAUAUAUAUAUAUAUAUAUAUAUAUAUAACUAAUAUUAAAAAUUGUUACUUUAUUAUACUUUUCUUCAAUGUAUGCCAUCUUUUGGGCAGGCAUGGCAAUAAAUGAGCAAAAAUGAAGACAACACACACAUUACACACACACACACACACACACACAGAGUGUAAUUGAAGUAUCAAACUGGCAAGGACACAAAAUGAAUUUAAUAGUAUAUAUUAUCUCAUAAUGGCAAAUCUAAAAAACACAAACUUAUUUAACAGCUAGCAAAUUUAAAAAUCACGACAGCAUCAAAAAUUGCGCACACGAAUUUAAUUAAGAGGGACGUAAAAUGGAGUUGAUAUGAUCAGCAAUGUUUUGGGCAUCAGCAGCAGCUCCAUAGAGUCCUUUCCUUGACAAUCCAACGCAGUAUAAACCAUUCUUCCCUUUCCAAUGAUUUGGGUAACUUUGCUUUGGGAUUCCAUCAUCGUUCAGCAUAGAAUCAUCUCCCUACUCAACAACAACAACAACAACAACAAGAAGAAAAUAAAAAAUAAAAAAAAUCUAAGAUUGAUUUGUACUUUUUGUAACCAUUAACGCGAAAGAGUUACAUAUUAUUAUAGAAACAAUAAAAAAAUAAAAUGGUAAAAGGCGAUUUGUUUUGGGGGGGAGGCAAAGUGAGAAUCGUCGUCUUUCCAAUAUAUAUGUAUAUAAAUAUUAUAUUACCUUGAGCCAAACAUUUGUUGAUCUCUUGAAGCCAGUACAGAAAACAAUCGAGUCAAAGUGAUGGGAGUGUCCAUUCUCAAAUACCACCUGGUUGCCUCUAAUGCUCUCCAUUCCCGGCAAUACCUGUGCAGGAGGAAUUUUAAAUUAUAUCACAAGUAAUACAUCAAUCAACUAACUUAGUUAUAUACUACAUGUGUAAUUAAAAAAUUAAUAUAAUUACUGCUUACAUAUUAAUUUUUCAUAAUAUAUAUUUACCUGUGUGUGUAUAUAGGGAGAGAGAGGAUGGCCAGCCAGGUCAUUCAAAAAAUAAAUAUCUGAUCACCUUGUAAUUAAUUACCUGAAUCUGUCCAGACUUGAUUUUCUCACAGGUGCCGACAUCGAUAACCGGGUAUUUUCCAUAAGCAGCUUUCAUGAAAAAAGGACCCUCCCUGGGCUUGUAGAUCCCAUACUUGCUCAAAUCUCCAUAAACAAGCCUGCUAAGCAUCACCAUCAAUGUGUCGACCCCGCCGCAUGGAACAUACUUCAAUAAAACUAACCCCAAAUACACCAUCUCCCUCGACAGCACAUGAACCUGAUUAAUUAAUUAAUGGAGUGGAUAGAUAUAUAGAAAUUAAGUAAAAAAAAUAUGUGCAUGCCAAGUGAAAUAAUAAUGAAUUUACCCACCGGGCUACGGAUAACUAAAGAGGUUUUGGCGGCAUGGUUGGCUAGAUCCAGUGCAAUUUUCAUGCCAGAAUUUCCAGAGCCAACGACCAACACAUGCUUGCCGCCAUAAGGUUUUCCAUUUUUAUACUGAGUGGAAUGAAUAACUUCUCCAGUCCCGGUGGCACUACUGCAGAAAGAACUCAGUCCUCGAACAUCCGGCGUAAAAGGGUUGCUCGUUUCCCCACUUGCAACCACUAGAAACCUCCCGGAAUAAUAUUCCUCAAUCUCACGGCCGGGACUUAGUAAGUUGCUAGCCUUAACGUUCCACAUAUUGGUUGCCUCGUCGUAGCUCGCCGAUUCAACGGAUCUUUGGUACCGUAUUGACGGACCGAUGUUGAAAUGGGAAACGUAGUGAUCCAAGUAUUCAAUGAAUUGGGCUCUGGAGACAAACAUCGGAUAAGAAGAAGGGAAUGGCAGGUGAGGGAGCUGACAAAAUUGCUUUGCUAAGUGCAGACGUAGGCGAUCGUAGGAAUAUUUCUUCCAGAUGGACGCGUAACAAUUUUCUCUUUCGAGGAUUACGUAAGGGAUUGAUAGAAGGCUAAGGCAGGCCGCCGUCGCCAGGCCGGACGGUCCUGCCCCUACUAUUAUCACUUCUACUCCCGCCGCUUGCUCUUUCAUUUCUUCUUUUUCUUCUUCUUCAGGUUAAUUUUGAGUUAAGUUGAUUGUUAUUGCCCAUCUGGGGGUGCUUGUUCUAUUUAUAUACUGAAAUCUUUACGUUAUAUGUACGACUCCAAUCAAUUUUUAUUUUGAUACUAUUGAAGAAGACGUAUGUUACAAGACACUCGAUUCACGAACUCCACGUGGUCGGACUUUAGAGGGAAAAAUUGUGGUGUAAUUCUGGUACCGUAUCACAGUUGCACUCAAUCGUUGGAUUUUGAUAGACCCCACUCAUCUAAUAAAUCUAACGGUUGGAUGCAACUGUGGUACAGUACCACAGUUGCAACGUAGCCGGACCUUAGAGGAAAAAAUGGUGGUGUAAAUGUGUUACCGUACCACAGUUGCACCCAAUCGUUGGAUCUCGAUGGACCCUAUCCAUCUAAGUGGAUCCAACGGCUGAAUGCACCUGUGACACAAUACCACAGUUAUACCGUAGUCGGACCUAUAUAUAUAUAUAUAUAUAUAUAUAAAGUGGUUUCCGAAAUAUUUUAAAGUGCAAGAAAAGUUCAACAAAAUUUUAAAACAAUAGAAUUUAAGAAGUUUAAAACUUAAAACAAUUAAACUGCAUAAUUUAUGUUUUUUUUUCAAAUGUUUCUGCACUAUAAAAUUUUGAUUGAAACCUCUCUGUUUGUAUAUAUGUUCGCUGCCACCCCCACCGUUUUAAUUUUCUCAUUCUAUGUGAUAAAUCAAUAUUUUUAUACGUCCUUAGUGUUACGAGAAAAACUUUUUACGUAGGACCAAAUGAUUAGAGUACUACCAAUUUAACAGAUUGAUUGAGGUAAUAAUUAAUCAUGCACAAGUCUUUCUCCAAAGUUACCAUGCUGACUAUAAUAUCUUCUUAAGCGUGCAUUUUUUUUCUUCUCUUUAAUACAAAAAAAAAAAAGAAGUAUUACAUUUGCAUAUAAAGUAACAUUAUCUAGGUCAUGUUACUAUUAAGGAAAAUGCUAUUUGCAUAUGAAAAAUAAAGUAAGGAUACUUUUACACAAAGACAAAAUUAGUAAAAUGAAUAAGUUUGUUUAUAAUGAAAUGUUUCUUAUUUUUAAUGACCUUGUAUAAUUUUAUGUAUAAUAUUAUGUACAAAUAAUAUUACCUACCAAAUGGUUAUGCUACCUCGAAUGGACGCAAAAUUAUUGGAAUAUAUUAAAACCAUAAAUUGUAUAACUUUUUUUUUUUUGGUUUAUUUAAUUUUGGCUUAAGAGAGAAGAAACAGAUUAGCAUGCUUUAUUUGAUUGAAAAAGACAUUGAAAAUAGCAUUCUUUGUGUUUCCACAAAUGAAGUCAUCCUCCCAGAUUUCAGUUUAUUUGGAAAUUUGACAUCCACAUGUUCAUUUGGAAUUUCGACAUCCACAUUCAACAAUCCUUCAAAGGAAAUAAGUUGGAAGAUGAAUUUCCCUUUCUCAAUAACUACCAUACCUCAUCAAAAUUGAAGUCCCAACUCAUAAUAUAUGACGUACGGUCCAGAAAGACUCAACCAUAUACUUGUAUUCUUGAAUGGAUAAUUUUGCCAGCAUGUUUCCUUGUUUGUUGGGUCAAAAAUAAAAGAAAUUAGGGAAGAAGAAAAAAAGCAAAUUGAAUUUGUCAAUGGAAACGUAAAGAUUACUUGACGUUGCCAAUAAGGUAUUUGAUUGACAUCUCAACUCUGACGAACGGCACUCGAAAUUGUAAUGUGAAAACACAGAAAUGAAGGGCCAAAUUAAUUAAAAGUAAAGAGGCUUUUAUGAUGUGGUGCAAGGCUUUAUGAAAAAAAUAGUCAGGUGAUAUUCUGCUUAACUAUAUUAUUGUUAACGACAUGAUUGGAUUGGGUCUGCUUAACUAUAUAAUAUUCUGCUUAAGAAUUAAUGAAAUUAAUAAAAUAAUUAAAUAUUAUUAAUUUAAUCAGGUGAUAUUCGUUUUGGGUUUAUACAACCUCGAUCGAGUCGAUGCUUCUUGAAGUCGUCUUGAAUUGGGGGGAUCCAGGACGAACAAAUAUGAAGCAACAUGAAAGGCGAUAACGACUCUCACACACAAAAUCAGAUAGUAUAUAUAGGAGUAACGAAAUCUCUUUUCUAGAUAAAGUAAGAGAUAGGUUAAAUUGAAAAAUAAUAAUAAUAAUAAUAAUAGCACAGUGAGUGACUUCAUGAAUUUAUGAGAUAACCAUGUAAUGCAUCAGAACUUGAAAAAUAAAAAUCAUUAAAAAAAAUUAAAAAUCAAAGUUAUGCAUUUUUGUAAGGGUGUUUUAUGUGAUAAAUACACGUUUAGUCUCUAUAUUUUGGGUUAAGUACUCAUUUAGUCCUCAUAUUUUGAAAAACGUCUCCAAGAUUUGUUAUGCUUUUGUCCUUAUAUUUUUCGUCUCAACUUUUACAAAAACAUCCUUGCGGGGCAUUAAUAAAGGGGAGAAAAUAUUAAUUUGUCAAAUUAACCGCAAAAGUAAACAAAAAUUAAUGUAAAAAUUUCUUACUAUUAUUUUUAUUUUUAAAGUUAAUUUGAUAUUAGUUUGGUACUUGUAAAGAAAAUUAUUGUAAACUCCUACGCCCAUCGGAGAUCCUCCUUUCUUCUCAGAAUUAUACAAAAUAGUAUUAAAAUCUCCACCUAACAGCCAAGGACCCCGGACAGUCAAAGCUAUCUUUGCCAACUCAUUCCAAAGAUGUCUCCUGAUGCUUGGAUUAGGACUAGCAUAGAUUGCCGUCAUCCAAGUUAGCAGGUUAUUGUUCCUUGAAAUCUUGAGGUGAAUGAACUGAGUAUGAUUCCCCACUAUCUCAACUUCAAAUAAAUUUUUCCAAAGGAUCCAAAUGCCGCCCGAAAAACCCUCAGCUUCCACUCGGUGAGACUUGUCAAAACCACUAUUCUUGAUGAAGUUAUCCGCCUUGGAACCACUGAUGCGAGGCUCCAUUAACACCACCAUUACGGGCUUGUAAUUAUUAACCACAGCAGAGAAAGAACGACGAAAGGACGGUGAAGCAGCACCUUGAGCAUUCCAAAACAUAGUUGUAAUACACAUAACAAAAAAAUUUAAAAGGAGAGCCAGGGGAAAAACUAAGACAGCCCUAUGGCUUCAGCUUCAUCAUCCAUGAAGGUGUCAGGAACCCCUGAAUUAUCUUCAUCAGUUAAAGGCACACUCCUACCCGCAACAUCUGAAUCAAGCUCCCUAAAAGGUCCCCCCCGGAGAUUAAGACUAUUCAUGCCAUCCUCAUCGGGGGGCUCUUUAUCCAAAUUCUGGGCCAAAACUUCCUUAGGCAACUGUUCAUGGUGAGACCGAGAAUGAGGAAAUUGAAGCUGAGGGUUAGGGAAAGAAACUGCACUAUGGUUUAACGGGUUAAGGGUUACAUGAACAGGCAUCGGGGAAGCAGCCAUUGUGUUGGGAUGGGCAUGCAUGCCAUGCAUGGAGCUACAGGGAACAUCAGAGGUAGCACUUGGUUCAGAUGUGGUAAGACCCUUGAGAUGUGCGUGCAUGCCUUGCAUGGCUAGGGUAGGAUUAUGUGGUUGGAAAGGCUGGCCACGGCUAUGAUUAUUGGGGUUGAUAUUUUCAGCUAUGGAGUUGUUUGCCCGAACGGAAAUUUUCUUGGUAGGAUAUUUUCGUAUAAAGUGACUCACUUGUUUCUUUUUCAUGCUCCUGGAUUUUGGGGCUAAAGUGUUGGGAUUUUCUAAUGUUGGCUCUGGAAUUUCCUGAUGGAUUACCGAAGUGUUGUCCUGAUUUUGUGGUGCAAUUUCCUCAUUCAUCACUUUGCCUAAGACAUCAAACCGCGACUCAUGAACAUUUAGCCCCUGUUGAUCCUGAACCGAGACCUUAGGAGAAACCCUUUCUGAAACUCUACGGGGGCGAGGUUUACGGGUUACCACCAUCCACGAUCCAAACUUAGACGCAUUUCGGUUAGAACCCUCCUCCACUACAAUAUCCCGGUUUGCAGCAACAGGACAAGAAGUUGGCAGUUCAGCUUCCACAUGCGUGGUACCACCGUCAGGGCAAGCAUCUUGAUAAUGGCCAAACUUGCCACAGUAAAAACAAAUCAAGGGCAGAUUUUCAUACUCCACCUUUUGGAUUCUUCCCUCAAAAUUAAAUUGAGAAACCAGCGGCUUGUCAAGGUCUAGUUGAACCGCAAUGCGAGCAAAUUUUCCCCUUUGGGCUGCGGCAGUGAGAUAGUCUAUCUUAAUGACCGGGCCAACAAUUUGCCCUAACCGCCGUAUAAUAGUUUUAUGAUAAAAGUGAAUAUUCAUGCCAGACAAACGAAUCCAAGCCACAAUACGAUCAACUCUAUUCGUGAUAGCAUCAAACUCCGGCGUCCAUUGCUGAACAAAAAGAUAAUGCCCCAUGAUGGUCCACGGCCCCUCAGUAAGAGCAUAUUCCACAUCUCCCUCGUUCUGAAAACGGAUCAGGUAAUAGUCAUUAGCUAAGUCAAUGAUGGAGAAACCCAUUGUAGAACUCCAGAGUCUCUUCAAACGCUCGCUGAUAACUCUAUAUCCCAGGUUUCGUCCAAGAGUUUUAACGACAACUGAGUUUGCCCAAGGUUUUGCUAGUCGUUCGUGGACCCUCUGUGAGAAAGCAAUAUAGGGCAUAGAUUCGUCCUCCUUACAACAAACAUCCUCCUCUUCCAGUUCCCACUCGUCCCUCAUGCCAAAAACCAUAUUUGCAGAGCCCCCAUUCGCCUCCAUGGCGAUAUCACGGUAGGAUAAGGGCUUAGGGUUAUCUCCAUCAGCCCCUUCAGCCCUAAACUUUGUCUUUUUGGUGAAUCGGUCACUCGCCAGCGGCGGUGGAGAAGCUUUCGCGGAGCUCAUUAGGGCACGGAUUCUUUGUUUUGGACUCACUCAAAAUCUGGGCGUUUCACUACUCAUUCGGCUUACUUGGCUUUUUCGAAUGAUACCCCCAUGCAUGAUGACAGGCCUUGGCGGACGGUUUGGAGUUGGAAGGGUCCCCAAAGUGUGAGGAUCUUCUUAUGGCAAGCGUUUCACAAUCGUCUGAAAACAAAGGCCGAGUUAGUUCGUCGUCACAUCCCGGUAUCAACCUCCUGCGAUCGGUGUGAGGCUGCGACUGAGGAUGCUUUGCAUGUCUUGCGGGACUGUGCUUUGGUUAAGCGUUUUUGGCUCCUGAUUCUCCCAGAAAAUAAACGACAUCAAUUCUUCAAUUGGCGGCUCCAUGAUUGGCUUCGUAUGAAUCUGGGGAUCGUCGGAGGGCUAGGGAGUGUUUCUAAUUGGGCCAUCUUCUUUGGCAUUGCUCUCUGGAGACUUUGGUUUUGGAGGAACCAAUUCAUCUUUAAUCAAGUUUCUAUGGAUCCGAAUGUUGUUUUAAUGGAUGUUUUUCUGCGCACUGCGGAAAUGCAAAAGAUUCAUACUCAUCCGCUUACCUCAGGACAUACGAGGGUGAUGAGAUGGAUCUCUUGGAAACCUCCAGAUUGGCCUUGGUGCUCUUUGAACACUGAUGGUGCCCAUAACAGGGAGGGAAUUUCUACUGCUGGGGGAUUGAUUCGCGAUCACAUGGGUCGCUGGCUUAGUGGUUUUGGGAUGAUGAUUGGUUCCUGCUCUGUUACAGUAGCGGAGCUUUGGGGUUUGUAUCAAGGGUUGCAACUAGCUUGGAAUUCUGGUAUAAGAAAGCUUAAAGUGGAAAUAGAUAGUCGUUGUGUGCUGCAGUUGGUGACCAAGCCAACAUUGGAAAUCAAUCAUUAUGCUUCUCUGAUUCGAGCUAUCAAGGAUUAUUUAAAGAUGGAUUGGCAAGUUUCUGUCUCCCAUAUUUACAGAGAAGCUAACUUCGCAGCGGAUUAUAUGGCGAGCCUAGCUUUCUCCAUCCCUCUUGGUCUUACUAUUUACCAUACUCCCCCGUUGGGAGUUAGCCCUUUUUUGUUUAAGGAUGCUUAUGGGAUUGCCCAUUCUCGCUCGGUUGUUCUUUAGCUCUGCUUAGAGCCCUUUUUUACCAAAAAAAAAAAGAAAAUUAUUGUAAAAAUUGUUGUAAGAAUAUUUAGCAGUUAGAACUAAAUAGAAAUUUAAUUCAAAAUAUAAAAGGAUUAAAAAAAAAAUUCACCUAUAUUAUUUUUAGUGUUUUUGUAAUUCGAAGUAAAGCAUAUUUCAUGCUGUUAAAUCGGGUUGACGAUCCCAUCGGAAAGAAAAAGAAAAGAAAUAUGAGGUGGAUGAUGACUUGCAUUCUAAGUCAAAGGAAUAUGCUAAGUGCUAAGAUUUGGUUGUUCACUGGACGCGCUCAAAUUGGUACUCUUUUUUUUUUAUCAAUUCAACGAUUCAACCAACGGCAGCAUGCAUUGCAUGCACAGGUUCAGAUACCUGCAACUCACUCCGGCCCCCACCCGAAAAAGCCAAACCCUCAGCCCUCUUUGAGUCUUUUACUAGUCUAUGUCCGAAUGAUUGUGUGCAGACAAAGCAAUUUAUUUGGGUGUCAUCGAGGAAACGGCCAUGAAUGUGGGUUAAGAGAAAGUGGUUAAAAAAAAAAGGGGGGGGGGGGGGGGGGGGGGAAUUGGGAGAAAAUGUCAAAUCUCCAACCCUUUUUAUUAUAUCCCACUAAUUUUUUUCACAUCAAAAUCUUAACCAAAAAAAUUAAUUUUUAUUUUGUGGAUGGAAUGUUAACAUUAAGAGAGUAUACUGGAGGGGAUGGUAACAAAGAAUAAUAACGUAAAUUCUCAUUUGUAAGUAACGAUGUAUGUUAUUUUCGCUCUCUUUGUAAGUUCUCAUUUCUCAAAAGUACUGUAGAGCAUACUGUAAUAGAAUAACAACAUAGUCUGUAAGCUAAUUUGAAUUUUUUUUUCAACUUAAAUGUUAUAAUGGUAAUUAUAAUGGAAUAAAAUGUAAAUUAUGUUGUUGUUUUUAUGGUGCAUUUAUUUUUUAUUUUUGGAUCAAGGAAUUAGAAUCUCAAAUUGAAAUUAUUGAUAGUGUUUACUUGAUAAAGUGAAGGUGAAAAUAUAAGUGAAAGUGAUAGGCUUUGUUGGACCAAAAAUAAAAUAGGCCCAAUCAAGACCUAAAUAAAUUUAAUCCCAAUAAGACCCAUCUAAUAAAUUUACUCUCGAUUAAGUCCACAAAGCGUUGAACAAAUCACCUAUAAUAAUCCUCCUAAGUAAUAAAGCUUCAAAACCCAAAGGGUUCCAAGAUCCAAGACCAAAACUUAUUCUAGAGUCCUAAGAUCUAUCAUAAGACAAAUCACCUAGGAUAAUCCUCCUAAGUAACAAGACUUCAAAGCCUAAAAGGUCUCAAAGUCCAAGACUAAAAGAUUCUAAAGUCCUAGGAUCUUAUCUUAAGACAAACCACCCAAAAUAAUCAUCCUAGAUGACGAGGCUUCAAAGCUCAAAAGAUACUGAGAUCCUAGGCUUCUAUUCUAAGACAAACUAUUUAUGAUAAAUCUCCUACAUUCUAAGGUUCUCAUCAUCACAGAGUUUUAGUAAAAAUAACUUAAGGUUAAAACACUUCUUUCUUUAAUAUAUAGACAAACUUGCAUAUUCAUGUGUUAAUUAACAUGGCCACAAACAAACAAGUGUUGCCAGACGUGAUAAGAACAAUAACACUUGUCAUUAAAAUAACUAGGACUUAAGUCAAAUCAAUUUCGCCUAUAAAUAUGUCUUUUAUUCUCAGUAAAAGGUAAGAAAAAAUGGACUCAAACGGAAAAAUGAUAACUUUCACUUUCUAAUAUUUUUCUUUCUAAAUAUACAUUUCCAAAAGUCUGGUGACUAACUUGACCAUAGGACGGUUUAUGCCGGCAAAGCCGGCUUUCUGAUUCUUUUCUUGUGUUUGUAAAGUAUCACUAAAUAAGAACAUUCUCAUUAUCUAAAGAAGUGAACUCAGACAACGAUAUAUAAAGGCCUAUUAAGAUCAACCUAAAGGGUAAACUCACUAUCGUUAAAUCCAACAAAAAGUAACCCAAGUCCUAAGGGGGUCGUCCUCAGUUGGAAUUUCUACAUAAUAAGUUGGGACAAAAUUUGCACAAACAGGCUUCACACAAAUUUAAGAUUAGGAUUUGAAAGUUUGAUUCCCAAAGGGCUUAGGAUUUAGAUUCCAAUUCCUUUGACUGAUUAUUUUAUCCCCACCUAAAUUAUUUAACUUCAAUUUUAUCCUCCGUUAAAAAUAUUAUAUAUAUAUCUUUUUCACAAUUCCCAAAAAUCUGAACCACCAAAAUCACGUUGCCGGUCAUCACGUAGCAUCCGUUGGAAUUGUGCACUGAUUGUCAAUCUCGCACUACAGCAGACGUUCGUUGAUAGUUAGCCUUACAAACACUGUAUCUCUCCAUCAAAUGUGGAUUGAUAAUGAGAUUGUUGGUGGUGAUAAAUAUCGAUGGUGAGAUUGAUAAUGAUAAAGAAUAUUGAUGAUGCUGCAUCAUCAAAUCUGAUAAAGAAGCCAUAGUAGCUAGGGGAUCUUAUUCUUUAUCAUCGGGAAGUACUGAGGAUGAUGAUGAAGAAGAAAAUAAAUUAUAAUAAUACAUAAUAAUAAUAAUGAUGAUAAUAAUUAAAAGAUAUUUUAAUGACUUGUAACAUUUUAUUUCGAUCCUAUAAUAAAAUAAAUAUAUUAAUUAAAAUACAACAACUUAUUUUUAUUUUAAUUUAUGUAAUUCAAAUAAAUAACUUAUUUUUUAUUUUCAUUUCAUCUGAGUUCGAUUCGAACUUAUUUCUAAUUGCCUUUCAUUAUCGAAUGUUAAAUGCGCCUUAAAUUUUCUACACCAAAACCAAACGCCGAUAUGUCAUUAGUCCCUAAAUAUUUCAGAACCAGACUCCGUGAUCCAGGUCCACUGCCCUUUAAUUGAUUGGGUCCCACUAAUUCGAAGGUCGCACCCCACCCUUUUAAUUACUUUGGAUUUUCAAAAAUUUUUAGGACCGGCGAAGAGAUAAUAUGAAAAUCACAAGCAUGUUGUGCAUUUGAAAAUUGAAAUUGUGACGGGAUCAGCAUCCACCUAAGAGCAUUUAAUAUAAACAUAAAAAUUAUUAAGAAUCUCCACAAUAUAAUUAUAUAAAUAAUAAAAUAAAUAUAAUUUAAAAUUAUGUCUUAUAAAAUUAUAUGAAUAAAAUUAUAUUUUUAAUUUUUAAUUUCAAGUCGGGUCGGACAUGGUAGGACCAAAACUUUGACCCGAACUUUAAUCGGCCAUAAUGUUUUAGCCUGAACCCGACUUAAAAUCUUUAAAUUUAGGUUAAAGUCUGAAAAUUUUGGAUCACAUCAAUCAAGUUAAAAAUUAGGCCCGACCUUUUUAACCAUGCAUACCAUCUGCUGCAGAUUUAUUUCGUUUUUAUGAACAAACUUCGAAUGUUAUUGGUAAAUUUGUUAAUACGAAUCAAUAAAAAAUAGCCUAAAGAUUUGAGGAUUGGGCAUUUAAAUUCCGAAUAGUACAAAAACCAUUAAAUAUCCAAUUAGAAUAUGAGAUGCCGUACAAGUAAAAUCUGGACUCUGGCAUCGUCAAGGUAACAGGUUUCCUUUGUCCACCAAUCAAAAACACAAAUUAAAGUUUACCAGAGAAUUAGACAGACACCACCUCUGAUGCCAUUUAUAUUAAAGGUUACAAGCAACUUACCAUUUUUGUAACUUCAUUCCACUAUUGCAAGGAAUGGAGAAAAAUCCCCAUGGUAUACCCCGUAGGGGACCUAAUCCCUUGCGUUUUCAUAUUCUAAAUUAUAUUCAGUUAAAAUAUUAAAUAUUAAAUACAUUCUUAAUAUUAAUAUUCUUAGAUGAAAUUCUUUUGCUGACUUAAGAAUAAAAUAUUAAAUAAUGUUAUUUUUCUUUUAUUGUGUAACGUGGACCAAAAAAAAAAGGAAAAGAAUUUAAUAAAACCUUCAUUCCGCCAACAUGCAUGUUAAUUGUUUCCAAAUUCCAACCUCCGUACUCUCUUGAGGAGUUUCCCAUUCAUCAAUUAUUAUUUUUUUAUAAUCCAUACCAUCCUGAUAUAAUUAAACACCAUUAAUAAUGUACCAGCCUUUAAAUAGUAAUUAAUUUAUUUAUCUAAUUCACCAAAUGUCAUUUCCUGUACAUAUCUCCAUUGGUAUCAAGAAGAGGCAGAACCCAAAGAAACGUUUCUUGCAUCUUCAUAUUUGUGCGAAUUCAUCCUUUCAUUGAGAAUAACCAUUUCCAGGCAGCAGUUGGCAAUCAAUUCAUGCGCACGUCGAUGCUAUUCAUAGAUAUUAAAGACAAUGAUGAACCAAAGGUGAUAAAUCAUAAAUGCAUAAUUACCAAACCUCCAUCCUUCUCUCAUUAUGAUUUGAUUUUAAAUGAAUUAUUGCUUGGUAACAUUAUUUCCAACCAUUGCAAGACCCUUUUUUUUUUUUUUCUUUUGGGAGAAAUUUCAAUUGAAAGUGAAACCUUUAGACAUUUACCUAACGAAGUUAGUUAAUCGGGAGGGUUGGAAAAAAAAAAAGUUGACGCAAGUCAAUGCACAAUAAUUAAUUAAAUCCGGAGUGACUAAACAGAGCCACGACUUUUUCAAAAAUAUCUGCAUUCAUCACUUUCUCCAGCAGCUAGUCAGCUACACACGAAUCAAUUUCUCUCCUCGUUUGUUGUCAUCCAAAAUUGUUCACCAAUACCAUGGCUGAUGCAAUCGUUUCCACUAUCUUGGCGCAGCUGAUUUCCUUCGCUGCUGAAGAGAUAAAACAACAGGUGAUCGAAGUUACACCCCUCAUAUUACAAAUACUUCCAAUGACUUUAAUUGGUUUUUUUAUUAUCAAAAACAUUAUAAUUAUAAUUUUUUUAAAUUUGAAUUGAAUUUAAUUAAAAGGUGAUGUAGUAACCACUCAUUUUUAUUUUAUUUCAUUUAUAUUCUCGAUAACUAACCAUAUUUUGGUAACUUAAUAUAACUCUCGUACAUAAGAAAUGAUCAAAACCCACAAUUUUAACUCUGUAUAAAUAUUCAACGUUGAGUCAUUAAUUCUCAACUCAGCACUGAAUCCCAUAGCUAUUACUUAGACUCUAUGAAAAAUUUCAUAGUUUUCUUACAUUCUUUGAGUUGGGUAAGUGAUUUCCUAUAAUUUCUUUUCAAGUUAAAUUUUAAUUUGGUUUCUGAUAUAGUCUCUUUGCCGAAUUGUCUCUUUUAUGAUUCUUGGAUUUUGGACUUCAACUUUUUAGGAUUUGAUAGUCAUAUUUUAUGCCAUGCUCAGAUUGAUUUUCAUGAUUUUUAGUAGCUGUUGAGUGACUUACAAUUUGACGAAAGUUUGAAAGGAAAAAUGUUUCAGGAUUAUGUUUUAAUUGACCUUUUAGUGGAAAUAGGAUGCUUAUAACUUAAUGUGGAUGGUUCGUAAAAUCAUGAAAUUUGGAUAGGAUUCACUAGAAAUAUGUACAAGACUCUCCAUAAAAUUUCAUAAUUUUUCAUUCGGUAUGGGGUGGCACAGGUGAAACUUGUGUUUGGUGUUGAAAAAGAAGUGAAAAGCCUUACCAGCCACCUUCAAGUCAUUCAAGUUGUGCUCGAUGAUGCAGAGGAAAAGCAAGUGAAGGACAAAGCUGUUAGUCUUUGGCUGGGUAGGCUCAAGUACGCAUCCUACGACAUUGAAGAUGUGUUGGAUGAGUGGAUCACAGCAAGACGCAAAUUGCAAAUUGAGGAUGGCAUUGAUGAAAAUGCUCUUGUUGCUCCUCAUAAGAAAAAGAAGGUAUGUCUCUGCUUUCCCGCCUCUUGUUUUGGAUUCAAACAAGAAGAAUUUGGUUUCAAACAAGUCUUUCUCCGUCAUGACAUUGCCAACAAGAUCAAAGAAAUGAAUGAAGAGCUACAUGAUAUUGCCACCCAAAAAGACAUGUUUAAUCUUGUUAAGAGUGGCAAUAAAAGUAGUGAAAGACCAAGGCGUGUACAGAGUACCUCCUUGAUUGAUGAGGAAGAGAUUUGUGGUAGAGUUGGUGAGAAGAAUGAACUCAUAAGCAAGCUGUUGCGUGAGAGUAGCGAGCAACAAAAAGGCCUCCAUAUCAUCUCAAUUGUUGGUAUGGGAGGCAUAGGGAAAACUACUCUUGCACAACUAGCUUGUAAUCAUGACGAGGUGAAGAGAAAGUUCGACAAAAUUCUGUGGGUGUGUGUAUCAGAAACUUUUGAGGAGUUUAGGAUAGCCAAAGCGAUCGUUGAAGUUUUGGAUGGUCGUGAAUCUCAUUUAGCUGAAUUCCAUUCUCUUCUUCAACAUAUUUGUGAAUCAAUUGCAGGGAAGAGCUUUCUUCUUGUCUUAGAUGAUGUGUGGGAUGGAAAUUACUUGAAAUGGGAACCAUUCUACCGUUGUCUAAAGAAUGGUCUCCAUGGAAGUAAAAUUUUAGUUACCACACGUAAAGGGUCAGUCGCAUCCAUGAUGGGAUCCAUAGAUAUUAUCUCCGUGAAGGAGUUAGCUGAAGAGGAAUGUUGGUUGUUGUUUAACAAGAUAGCAUUUUUUGAUCGGUCCAUCGAGGAACGUGAAAAAUUAGAACAAAUUGGGCAAAGAAUUGCAGGCAAGUGCAAAGGUUUACCUCUUGCAGCAAAGACAAUAGGGAGUCUCAUGCGUUCUAAACAAACUGAAGAAGAGUGGAAAAGAAUUUUAAAUAGUGAUUUAUGGAAAGUAGAAGAGAUUGAGAAAGAUGUUUUGUCCUCUUUAUUGUUGAGUUAUAAUGAUUUGCCAUCUAGAGUAAAAAGAUGUUUUUCAUAUUGUGCUGUCUUUCCAAAAGACUACGAUAUAAAAAAAGACAAACUAAUCACAUUAUGGAUGGCUCAAGGUUAUCUUAGUGCAGAACAAGAUGAAGAGAUGGAGACAGUAGGUGAAAAGUAUUUUGGCAUCUUAGCUUCUCGCUCGUUUUUUCAAGAGUUUAAGAAAAGUUAUGAUAAUCGGAUUAUAGCGUGUAAGAUGCAUGAUAUGGUACAUGAUUUUGCCCGAUUUGUAAGUCAAAAUGAAUGUUUUUCGAUGGCAAUUAAUGAUAGUGAAGAACCAAAUGCUACAAACUCUCUUGAUGAGAAGGCCCGUCAUUUAAUGUUAAUCUUUAGUAUAGGGGCUUCAUUUCCUGUUUCCACUAGUAGAGUUAAAAGAAUGCGUAGCCUCUUAAUUAACUAUAGUGGAUCUGAUCAUUCAUCAUUAAAUGGUGAGAUCCUAGAAGAAUUAUUUGGGGAAUUGACAAGUUUAAGGGCAUUAGAUUUUGGCGAACCGUACGACACAAAUUUUUCUUUGACUCUGGAGAUUCCAAGAAAUAUAGAAAAGCUGGUACAUUUGAGAUACCUUAAUUUGUCUUAUCAGGGAAUAAAGAAACUACCGGAGACAUUGUGCGAGUUGUAUAAUCUAGAAAAGUUAGAUAUUAGUUGGUGUUUUAAUCUUAAAGAAUUACCUGAAGGGAUUGGGAAGUUAAUAAACAUGAAGCAUUUACGAAAUAGAGGUACUAAUUCUUUAAGGCACAUGCCAGUAGGGAUUGGGAGAUUAACGGGUCUUAGGACCUUGGGUGAGUUCCACGUGAGUGCAGGAGGAGGUGUUGAUGGUAGGAAAGCGUGUAGGCUUGAAUCUCUUAAAAACUUGGAACACCUUCAAGUAUGUGGUAUACGUAGACUGGGUGAUGUAUCAGAUGUGGGCGAGGCUAAGCGAUUAGAACUUGACAAAAGGAAAUACCUCUUCAGUUUGACCCUUGAGUUUGAUAAGAAGGAAAGAGGAGGAGAAAUGAGGAAGAACGAGGACGAUCAACUUCUUCUUGAAGCCCUGCGGCCACCUCUCAAUUUAAAGGAAUUAGAGAUACAGUACUACCGAGGCAACACUGUUUUCCCCAGCUGGAUGACGUCAUUAACCAACUUAAAGAGUUUAGAUCUCUCUUCCUGCGAAAAUUGCGAGCAGCUGCCUCCUUUGGGAAAAUUGCCAUCCCUUGAAGCACUCAGCCUAUUGAUUAUGCGGAGUGUGAAAAGAGUGGGUGAUGAAUUUUUGGGGAUAGAAAGUGAUCAUCAUGGCUCAUCUUCAUCUUCAUCGGUUAUUAUUGCCUUCCCCAAAUUGAAAUCACUUAGUAUUGAGGGAUUGAUGGAAUUGGAGGAGUGGGAUUAUGGGAUUACAAGAACGGGAAACACCGUCAUCAACAUCAUGCCACGUCUUUCUUCCUUGACAAUUGGGAGUUGUCCCGAAUUAAAGGCACUGCCUGACCACAUUCAUCAAACGACAACAUUGAAGGAAUUGCAUAUUUGGGAUUGCAGGCUUCUGGAAGAACGUUAUUGCAAGGGGGAAGGAGAAGACUGGCCUAAGAUAUCACACAUUCCCAACCUCCAUAUUGGGCUUUGACAAGUAAUUUCUUCUCUUACUCUGAUUUGCUUUGUUCUUGUUUUUAAUCUAAUUAAGAAGCGUAAAUAGCAUUUUGAAUCAAACUCUAUAUCAGAAAUCUGCAAUACUUACUUUCUAAUAUUCUGAUUUUCAUAUCCUAUGAAUAUACGAUUUUUAAUUUGUGAGAUGGGUAACGUUAUUGUAAAAGAUUAUUAAUGCAAUAUGAGUAAUUCUUUUACAGGACAAGUGACCUACAUUUAGUUUGGCUUUGGAGUUGAAUAAUAACGUUUUGAGGUCCCGACAUCCAAAAAACGAAGCUUAAUUUGCCACAGAUUGAACGUAUUGCCAUUAUUGACAAUUUUCUGCACAAGCGUGACUGAACUUAGGUUGAUGUCAAAAGAGGUAAAUUAUUGGCAUGCCUGACUAUUUUGACCAUUACAUGAUUCAUAAGUUUACAUUAAUUUUGAUUUUGAGUUGAGUGAUUAGUUUUCUAGGUUUGCUUACUUUAACUGGGUGACCAAUUUCUUGUAACUAAAUGUAUGAUGUGAUGCAGGAAGCAGGGUAGGAUAUGAAAGAGAAGCUUAUUAGAGGAAGGAUUGCCAGUAACAGAAUCCAAAGAAAAAGAAACCAUUUCGAGGCAGCAGUUGGCAGUUGGCAGUGAAUGGAGCCCCUUGAAAAAAUUCCCAAGCCGUUGCACUGCAAUUACGAUCAUCCUCGGCCUCAGGUAAUUUCUUCUCCUGCAUUUUUGUUAUUUGCUAUCAAGUGACUAUUUUAAGUAUGAUUGCAUUAAGCUGCUGCUGGGAAAUUUGAGGUUUUGAUGACUGCCCAUGCUAUUGUCAGAAGCUGCGGUUCUUUUCAUCAGCCUGAACCUGGACCUGCCGCUAUGGAUAACUCAGGUUUUUUUUUUUUUUAAUCAACUGCCAUCUUUUCCACUGUUUAGAAACUCUUAAGAUUAAACUUUAGUAAAGUUGUUUUAGUUAUCCAUGUAAUCGGGCUGAGGAUACUUAGCUGCCUAUUUAGGCAAAUGUCAGAAUGUUCGCUGGGAACUGGUGUGGACUGGCAAAGGAUGAUGAGAUAGUUUUUUGAGUGAGUAAAUUUUGGGAGCUUGAGUGUAUUGGGAUUUGCAAUUACAAUCAUCGUCUGCCUCAGGUGAUUUCUUCUCCUGCUCUGUCAUUGUUUGUUCUCUAAUUCAAAAGCAUAAAAUAUUUCAAUCAAUUUUAUGCCAGGAAUAUGCAAAAGUUUCUAAUAUUUUAUUUCCAUCUGUUACAAGAUCAAACUGAAGUAGAACUCAAACAAAAGUAUGCUACUUCUUGCGGAAAUCUUGCCUUUGUUCAGAUUAUGAAACCAUUUCCAUGCAGCAAAUUCAUCCAAAAGUUUGAAUAAGUUUCAUGGUUGGACACUGUUGGCUUCUUUUUCUUCUGGGGUGCAUUUAGGUGCUAUCAAGUGACAGCUGUAAGUAUGAUUGCACUAAGCUGCCGCUGGGAAAUUUGAGGUUUUGAUGGCUGCCCAUGUUAUUUUCAAGAAACUAUUGAUGUAAGAAGCUGUGGUUCUUUUCAUCAGCUUGAACCUGAAACUGUCGCUAUGGAUAACUCAGGUUUUUGUUAUCAACUAUAUCAUCUUUUUCACUAUUUUGAAACUCUUAAGAUUAAACUUUAGUAAAGUUGUUUCAGCUAUUCAAAUGAAAAACUCAUUGAUUUGAGACUUCCUUCAUUAUUGUUUCUAAUUACAAUGCUAACGAUCCAGAUAAAAUAAUAUUUAAUCGGCGAAGGUGUCCCUUGGAAGUACAUCCUUCUUUUUCUUUUAUUAUAUAAAUUCUUGCAAUGAGCUUAGUGAAGCUGUUGUGCUAAUCAUGCCACUGCAUAAUUUGGCCCCUAAUGUGGGUACUCUGUUACAUUGUUCUGCAAAUUCUCCGGAAGUUAAAAUCAAUAAAUUUUCUAUUAGCUCUAGUGCUUUGACCUAAAUGCUAUUCUAUAUUUUGAUUACAAUGUUUUAACCUUUAAAUUAACUACCCCUAGAUGUUGGAUUUUCUAGAACUUCAAAAUACAUAAACCGUCAGACAUUUAAGCAUCCAAAGAUACAUUAUAUAUUUCUGUGUCUCUAUUUGUAGAUGACAUUUAAGCAUCCAUAAACCGUCAGACAGAGGAAGGGCGUUCAGUGCAAAGAUUCUGUUGACCUAGGGUUGACUGCAUAAUGUCACUUGUUCGCAAUCUAUUAUUUAUUUCAUAUUUUGAAGAAUUUAAUGGGUAAUCCUAAUUGUUUGUUUUGGCAGGUAUGUGUUGUUAUCUCCUUCUAUCUAACAGUCGUACCUAAAUAGCAUAGUUCCAAAGAGGUAAAUUAUUGUCAUGCCUAGAUAAUUUGGCCAUUUCCUAAUUCAUAAGUCUACAUUAAUUUUGAUUUUGAGUUGACUGAUUUCUUUUCAAGGUCUGCUUCCUUAACGGAGUGACCAAUGUUUUUCAACUAAAUUUAUCAUAUGAUGCAGGAAACAGGGCAGGAUAUGAAAUGAGAAGCUCAUUGGUGGAAGUAUUGCCAGUAGCAGAACCCAAUGAAAAUGAAACUAUUUCAAGGCAGCAGUUGGCAGUUGCAAGUGAAUGGAGGCCCUUGACAAAAUUCUCAAGCGAUUGCAAUGCAAUUACGAUCAUCCUCAGCCUCAGGUAAUGUCUUUUAUUGGUACCCAACAAAAAUGCAAGGUCUGUGAGAAGACAGUUUGUCCAGUUGAGCAGUUAUCUACUGAUGGGGUUGUUUAUCACAAGUCUUGCUUCAAGUGCUCUCACUGCAAAGGCACACUCAAGCUAAGCAAUUACUCAUCCCUGGAAGGUGUUCUUUACUGUAAGCCUCACUUUGAGCAGCUUUUGAAGGAGUCGAGUAACUGCAACAAGAAUUUCCAAUUACCUGCAAAGUCAGCUGAGAAGUUAACUCCUGAGCUGAGAAGGUCGCCUAGCAAAGUUGCCAGCAUGUUCUCUGGGCCCAAUAAAAAUGUGCUUCUUGCAGUAAAACAGUGUGUCCGUGGGAGAAGGUAGCAGCGGAAAAUCAAGCCUCUCACAAGACAUGUUUCAAGUGCUCACAUGGUGGUUAUUCCAUUAGCCCGUCAAAUUACGCAGCCCUAGCAGGCAUCUUGUAUUGCAAACAUAAUUUCUCCCAAUUGUUCAAGGAAAAAGGCAGCUACAACCACCUUAUAUCAAAUCUGCUCCCAUGAAGCGUGCUGCAGUCUCUGUUCAAGAAGCUUGAACAUGUUAUGUUAUCUUCCAUAAAUCUUAUUUGGCGUGGGUUUUCUCUGGCUUGAGGGUGUGCUUUCUAUUUUGAUCCCUCUUGUUGUUUUUGCGGGGAACUACCAAACCUUCGGUUCCCUCUGCUUCUUUGGAUCAUCUUUGUUUGGACAAAUUUCAUGUAAUUAGAGAUACCGAUUUAUGGGAGGCAUAAUCCCAUGGUCGUAAAUUGACCAUUUUCUGGCAAGUUCUUUUUAAAAAGAUAUGAGCAGUUGUUUAAAAAAAAAAAAAUAGCUUGCCUUCAUCAUUGUAUGUUACCAAACUGCUAUGUAUAGCUGUUAACUAUGAGCAUCCGAAAAUAUGGUGCAUCGUGAUUCAUGUAGUGCAAUAUGGCUACCAACGCAUCCUAAAUGGAAUAUUACUCAGUUAGUCAGCAAAAUAAGACAACAUAACUGAUAUUAAAAAAAUAAAAACUACAUUAAUAAGUGGGCAAGAUCAUGCCAGUUUAACUUUUCGCGAGUCGCUGCUGGAGAUAAUCAAAUCGGGGCAGAGAAAAGGAGAAUGGAAUCAGAGGCUAAGAUUAAUAAGUGGGCUUCUGCUUGCUUUGCCCCUCUUUCUUAAACGAUUGGUAGACUGCUGCUUCCACCGAUUAACCGGGUCUUCAACCACUGCUUUUACUGCCUGCCAUCUUGUUGUUUGUCGAAGGGAUGAAUUCGAGUCGAAAAGAGAAAGCGCGCUGAAAAAGAUAAAUCACUAGUGGUUAACUGCUGACUCAGCCAAGUGUUGGCUUCACUUGAUUCACCGAUUGAGGUUAUUUUGUCUUCUAUCUAAUGCAGCGAAGAAGCUUUGCUGCUUAACAUGCUGCAAUGCAACUUUAUCCUUUGAAGUUCACACUUCAGGGCUGCGCACUUUAUGUAAUCCUAUGAGUAAAAAGAAUUUGUUUUCAAAUGUGAAAAAAGAAAAUGUAAGGUAGUAACUAAUAUAUUAUAGCAUCAAAGCAAGAUUUGAUAUGAAUUUAGUACAACAAAGAACAUCAAAUCUGUGAUUCCUUGUCUAAUGUCACCAUCGAGCAACAAAUUUAAAAGCCUACCUAUCAAAUACACGAGGCAAUAAACGGAGAAAAAGUUGAAUUACAAGAACAAGUUUACAAUUCUUGUCAAUGGUUAAUGAUUCGUGAACUGAGAUAGCAUUCAAGAAUCCAAUUUCAAUACAACAACGUAAAAGAUAAACAGAUGAUGAAUUUUAUGAGAUAAAGAAGGAGAUCGUGUUUUAUCGUAUCUCUAUUUUCUUUCUUUUUAAAUUUAAAAUAAGCUUUUCAACCGGUUUAUUAACCGGUUAUAAUAUUUUUUAAAAUAAUUAAAUAUUUUCAUUAUUAAAAAUAAUGUGUACCGUUGAUUACAUCUAACGGUACAUAUUUCUUACACUACUAAUACGGUAAAAAAAAAAAAAAGGGCAUCAUAAAGGGACCCUUAAAACAUUUUCAUUUGAAAUUAUUUGGUGUAGUCAAAAAGUUAAGAAAGAAAUAGUUGUCCCUUUGGUCAUUUCACAAAAAUGAAAGCCCCAUAUAACAUGGACUUGAAUGGAAACCCAAUUGUUUGUGUUUGAUUUCAAGCUUUAUCGGACCUUUGGACCUGGAUACUUUACUGCGGCCUCUAAGCGCUAUAAAUUUGUUUUUUGGGAUAAAAGGCGCUUCAAUGAAAAAGCACUUUAAAACUUUGGAUUUUGCCAAAACUUCAAAGCGGUUGGUCCAGUUACGGUGUUAUGCUAACGGGUUUAAAGGUUCCGAUCCAAUGAGUUAGGGUGGAAUAUGAAUAUAUAAAUUCCAUAGCAUGUAAGGACUAGGAUUUGUUUGUUCAUAUUAAGAAAAAAGAUCUAAAAAUUUGAUGAUCAGAAGAAAAUAGACUCUUCUCUGUCUGAAUAAGAAGAAAGCAUAAUGCGCCUCCAAUAGAGAGAAAAGGGACUUAAUUUCACUUGCGUCAAAUGUUCCUCAUUCUUUGAUGGAAGAAAAACUCUUAAUAGUCUAUUGUUUUUUUUUUUUUCAUUUUUAUUUAAGUUUCACAAUAUUUUAGUAGUUGAUCAAAUUAUUUAGAAUUAGACAUUUAAUCUAGGGACAAUGUGAACUUUUUAAAAAUCUAUCAGGUGAUUUCAUAAUUUUAUAAUUCAGUUGGGGUAAUUUCUCAAACUAUAAACAAAUUAUCGUGUUUUGUAAGUUGAGGUCCAAUGGCGUUUUGGCACAUCAUAUGAUAGACCACUAUAUUGAGUUGCUUUACAAAAGAUUAAUAUUUUUAAAAUUAUUAGGUAAGUUUAGGCUCAGUGGCACUUUAACUCAUGAUAUGAUAGUCCGGGUUUUCGAGGACCACUAUAUUGUAUUGAUUUAAAAAAAAAAUUAAUAUUUUUUAAUAUUAAUAUUCUAAAUUAUAUUCAGUUAAAAUAUUAAAUAUUAAAUACAUUCUUAAUAUUAAUAUUCUUAGAUGAAAUUCUUUUGCUGACUUAAGAAUAAAAUAUUAAAUAAUUUUAUUUUUCUUUUAUUGUGUAACGUGGACCCAAAAAAAAAAGGAAAUGAAUUUAAUAAAACCUUCAUUCCGCCAACAUGCAUGUUAAUUGUUUCCAAAUUCCAACCUCCGUACUCUCUUGAGGAGUUUCCCAUUCAUCAAUUAUUAUUUUUUAUAAUCCAUACCAUCCUGAUAUAAUUAAACACCAUUAAUAAUGUACCAGCCUUUAAAUAGUAAUUAAUUUAGUUCUGAGAAGGAAAAAAAAAACAAAAAAACUACUUUGACCAGAAAAAUUCCCCGUUCUAUUGCCUAUAUAUGAACUGAGCUGUGCAAUUGAUCAAUUUCAAAAACUUCCUCAGCUGACCAAUUUUGAGCAAUUACUACAUAACAUAAAACCAAAUGCUGGAUGAAUUGGCAUCUCUGAAAACCCCAGCUCACACGUACCGACAGAAAGAGACUCUAGAUGUAUUCAAACAUUAAAUAACUGCAUAUGCUCUUCAAAAGAUGGAAGGAACCAUGGAUUAAAAAGAAGCAACCAUCUAAACAAGAACUUAUAUUAAAAAGCAAAGGAAGUAACACAUUAAAUUGAGAAGUGUGAUCAUCACUAUGAAGCUUCUAUAAGUAAUUUAAGAAUAGUAAUAAAAAACUAUUCUAAUAUAAGUAAUAAAUAUGGGAGACAUCUUUGGCUAAUAUGUAAUAAUAAUCUCGAGCAGCAGACGGACUCUUAUUUGCUCCAAUUUGAAUGGUGGUGUUAAGCAAUUUAAAUGUGAAGCCACUCGAGGCUCUGAUUGUGACAGCGGAAGCUAUACAGGCACGGCAUCAGAACAAGAAGAAGGAGCCGAACAACAUAUUUCAGUUCUCAAGAGAAGAAUAGAUUCUCAAACAAACUUCAAUUUUGAGAAGAAGAAGAAGGAUUCAUUAUCAUGGCAAGCUCAAAAAUGCAUUGGUAGAUUUUUCUACGAAAUGGGUAUUGAUUUCAGUGUUGCUAAUUCUCCAAGCUUUCAAGACAUGAUAAAUGCUAGCCGUGGUAAGGAAAAGUGUGAGAUCCCCAGUUGUCAGGAUUUGAAGGGGUGGAUCCUUCAUGAAGAAGUGAUGGAAAUGCAAGAAUAUGUGAAGAGGAUAAGACAUUCGUGGGAAAGUACUGGGUGCAGCAUUUUGUUGGAUGGAUGGACUGAUGAAAAUGGUCGAAACUUGGUCAGUUUUAUUGUGGAUUGUCCUCAGGGACCUAUUUAUCUGCGAUCAUCAGAUAUUUCAGCCUUCGUUAGUAAUGUUGAUGCCCUGCAGUUAUUAUUGGAUGGAGUCAUUGAGGAGGUUGGAGUGAAUAAUGUUGUUCAAAUUGUUGCAUGUUCUACAUCAGGUUGGAUGGGGGAUGUGGGCAAGCAGUUUAUGGAAAGGCGAAGGACAGUGUUUUGGACUGUAAGUGUGUUUGAUUGCAUUGCUCUGAUGCUUGAGAAGAUUGGUACGAUUGAUUUUGCUAGGGAGAUAUUAGAAAAGGCCAAGACCAUUACAAAGUUCAUUCAUGGCCACACAACGGUCUUGAAACUCUUUGGAGAUUUUACUGGCAAGCGGAACCUUAUCAAGCCCUCUAAGUUGAGAUCAGCAAUGCCUUUCUUGACUUUAGAAAAUAUUGUGGCGGAAAAGAAAAACCUUAAGGCCAUGUUUGCCUCAUUUGAGUGGAAUAGAACUAAAUGGGCUUCAAGAACAGAGGGGAAGAGGAUAGUUAAUUUAGUGGAGGAUCGUUCUUUUUGGAGCACAGCCAGGAUGGUCCUAAAGGCAACUAUACCCCUUGUGCGUGUUCUGUGUUUGAUCAAUGGGGCUUAUAAACCACAAGUGGGUUACAUCUAUGAAACCAUGGAUCAAGCAAAGGAGACAAUUAAAGAGGAAUUUAAGAACAAGAAAACCCAAUAUUGGCCAAUUUGGGAAAUUAUUGAUGACAAAACGCUAUUUCCGCAUAUUAUUAUUAUCAGAUUGUGUCUAAUGUCAGAUAUUGCCGACCACCUACAAUGCCACACAGAGAACCGCUACAAAUUCCUGUAACUUCCUUCCUGUACUAAAAUUAAAGGAGUACCCCAUCCUCUGCAGUAAAUACAUAGUCCUACUUACGGUUCCUUGUUACUUCCUUUGCUUUUUCAUCUGCAGUAAAUAAGAUAAAGGUGUCUCCCACAGUUGAAGACGGACCCUUGUUGCCAAAGAAUAGUAAUAAAAAAUAAACCACUUUCAUCUUGUACUGAAGUCUAUACUUAAGCUUCUAUAAGUAAUUUAAAAAAGCAUUUACCAUUUUAAACAUCAUAAUGAUACAAUUAUCUUAGUUUUAUCAGUAUAUAAGAAUUACUUAUAGAAUAGUAAUAUAUGUUUAUAUUUAAAUUAGUACAAUUUUAUAUUGAUAAUAAUAAUAAUUUUCAAUUGAAAGUGAAACCUUUAGACAUUUACCUAAUGAAGUUAGUUAAUCGGGAGGGUUGGAAAAAAAAAAAGUUGACGCAAGUCAAUACACAAUAAUUAAUUAAAUCCGGAGUGACUAAAACAGAGCCACUACUUUUUCAAAAAUAUCUGCAUUCAUCACUUUCUCCAGCAGCUAGUCAGCUACACACGAAUCAAUUUCUCUCCUCGUUUGUUGUCAUCCAAAAUUGUUCACCAAUACCAUGGCUGAUGCAAUCGUUUCCACUAUCUUGGAGCAGCUGAUUUCCUUCGCUGCUGAAGAGAUAAAACAACAGGUGAUCGAAGUUACACCCCUCAUAUUACAAAUACUUCCAAUGAUUUUAAUUGGUUUUGUUUUUAUCAAAAACAUUAUAUAUUUUUGCUUUUUUUUAUUUAUCUGAUAAUUUUAUAUUUUGAAAUUUGAAUUGAAUUUAAUUAAAAGGUGAUGUAGUGACCACUUAUUUUUAUUUUAUUUCAUUUAUAUUCUCAAUAACUACUCAUAUUUUGGUAACUUACUAUAACUUCCAUAUCUAAGAAAUGAUCCAAACCCACAAUUUUAAUGAUAAGAUUGGUUGAAUUAAAUAUCACUUGGCCCACAUGAUUUGUUUUAAUUAUUUUAUAUUUUCAUUCAACCAAUGAAUUAGUGCCACGUCAGUUUGUACAAAAUAAGUUUGUACAAUAGUUUGUGGUUGUAUCAUUACUCUUUAGUAAAGAGUAAUGAUAUAGCCACAAACUCUUGUACAAACUUAUUUUGUACAAACUUAUGUGGCAUGAUAAGAUUGGUUGAAUUAAAUAUCACUUGGCCCACAUGAUUUGUUUUAAUUAUUUUAUAUUUUCAUUCAACCAAUGAAUUAGUGCCACGUCAGUUUGUACAAAAUAAGUUUGUACAAUAGUUUGUGGCUGUAUCAUUACUCUUUAGUAAAACCUCAACUCAUCACUGAAUCCCAUAGCUAUUACUUAGACUCUAUGAAAAAUUUCAUAGUUUUCUUACAUUCUUUCAGUUUGGUAAGUGAUUUCAUAUAAUUUCUUUUCAAGUUAAAUUUUAAUUUGGUUUCUGAUAUAGUCUCUUUGCCGAAUUGUAUCUUUUAUGAUUCUUGGAUUUUGGGCUCCAACUUUUUAGGAUUUGAUAGUCACAUUUUAUGCCAUGCUCAGAUUGAUUUUCAUGAUUUUUAGUACCCGUUAAGUGACGUACAAUUUGACAAAAGUUUGAAAGGAAAUAUGUUUCAGAAUUCUGUUUUAAUUGACCUUUUAGUGGAAAUAGGAUGCUUAUAACUUAAUGUGGAUGGUUCGUAAAAUCAUGAAAUUUGGAUAGGAUUCACUAGCAAUAUGUACAAGACUCUCCAUAAAGUUUCAUAAUUUUUCAUUCGGUCUGGGGUGGUACAGGUGAAACUUGUGGUUGGUGUUGAAAAAGAAGUGAAAAGCCUUACCAGCCAUCUUCAAGCCAUUCAAGUUGUGCUCGAUGAUGCAGAGGAAAAGCAAGUGAAGGAAAAAGCUGUUAGUCUUUGGCUGGGUAGGCUCAAGUAUGCAUCCUACAACAUUGAAGAUGUGUUGGAUGAGUGGAUAACAACAAGACGCAAAUUGCAAAUUGAGGGUGGCGUUGAUGAAAAUGCUCUUGUUGUUCCUCAUAAGAAAAAGAAGGUAUGUCUCUGCUUUCCCAGCUCUUGUUUUGGAUUCAAACAAGAAGAAUUUGGUUUCAAACAAGUCUUUCUCCGCCAUGACAUUGCCGACAAGAUCAAAGAAAUCAAUGAAGAGCUCCAUGAUAUUGCCGCUCAAAAAGACAUGUUUGAUCUUGUUAAGAGUGGCAAUAAAAGUAGUGAAAGACCAAGGCGUGUACAGAGUACCUCCUUGAUUGAUGAGGAAGAGAUUUGUGGCAGAGUUGGUGAGAGGAAUGAACUCUUAAGCAAGCUGUUGUGUGAGGGUAGCGAGCAACAAAAAGGCCUUCAUAUCAUCUCAAUCGUUGGUAUGGGAGGCAUAGGGAAAACAACUCUUGCACAACUAGCUUGUAAUCAUGACGAGGUGAAGAGAAAGUUCGACAAAAUUCUGUGGGUGUGUGUAUCAGAAACUUUUGAGGAGUUUAGGGUUGCCAAAGCGAUCGUUGAAGUUUUGGAUGGUCGUGAAUCUCAUUUAGCUGAAUUCCAUUCUCUUCUUCAACAUAUUUAUGAAUCCAUUGCAGGGAAGAGCUUUCUUCUUGUCUUAGAUGACGUGUGGGAUGGAAAUUACUUGAAAUGGGAACCAUUCUACCGUUGUCUAAAGAAUGGUCUCCAUGGAAGUAAAAUUUUAGUUACCACACGUAAAGGGUCAGUUGCAUCCAUGAUGGGAUCCAUAGAUAUUAUCUCCGUUAAGGAGUUAGCUGAAGAGGAAUGUUGGUUGUUGUUUAACAAGAUAGCAUUUUUUGAUCGGUCCAUCGAGGAACGUGAAAAAUUAGAACAAAUUGGGCAAAGAAUUGGAGGCAAGUGCAAAGGUUUACCUCUUGCAGCAAAGACAAUAGGGAGUCUCAUGUGUUCUAAACAAACUGAAGAAGAGUGGAAAAGAAUUUUAAAUAGUGAUUUAUGGAAAGUAGAAGAGAUUGAGAAAGAUGUUUUGUCCUCUUUAUUGUUGAGUUAUAAUGAUUUGCCAUCUAGAGUAAAAAGAUGUUUUUCAUAUUGUGAUGUCUUUCCAAAAGACUACAAUAUAGAAAAAGACAAACUAAUCACGUUAUGGAUGGCUCAAGGUUAUCUUAGUGCAGAAGAAGAUGAAGAGAUGGAGACAGUAGGUGAAGAGUAGUUUGGCAUCUUAGCUUCUCGCUCAUUUUUUCAAGAGUUUAAGAAAAGUUAUGAUAAUCGGAUUAUAGAGUGUAAGAUGCAUGAUAUGGUACAUGAUUUUGCCCGAUUUGUAAGUCAAAAUGAAUGUUUUUCGAUGGCAAUUAAUGGUAGUGAAGAACCAAACGCCACAAACUCUCUUGAUGAGAAGGUCCGUCAUUUAAUGUUAAUCUUUAGUAUAGAGGCUUCAUUACCUGUUUCCACUUGUAGAGUUAAAAGAAUUCGUAGCCUCUUAAUUAACGAUAGUAGAUCUGAUCAUUCAUUAUUAAAUGGUGAGAUCUUAGAAGAAUUAUUUAGGGAAUUGACAAGUUUAAGGGCAUUAGAUUUUUGCAAAUCGUAUAACGCAAGUUGGUCUUCGACUCUGGAGAUUCCGAGAAACAUAGAAAAGCUGGUACAUUUAAGAUACCUUAAUUUGUCUUAUCAGGGAAUAAAGAAACUACCGGAGACAUUAUGCGAGUUGUAUAAUCUAGAAAAGUUAGAUAUUAGUUAUUGUUAUAAGCUAGAAGAAUUACCUGAAGGGAUUGGGAAGUUAAUAAACAUGAAGCAUUUACGAAAUAGAGGUACUAGUUCUUUAAGGUACAUGCCAGUAGGGAUUGGGAGAUUAACGGGUCUUAGGACCUUGGGUGAGUUCCACGUGAGUGCAGGAGGAGGUGUUGAUGGUAGGAAAGCAUGUAGGCUUGAAUCUCUUAAAAACUUGGAACACCUUCAAGUAUGUGGUAUAUGUAGACUGGGUGAUGUAUCAGAUGUGGGCGAGGCUAAGCGAUUAGAACUUGACAAAAAGAAAUACCUCUUCAGUUUGACCCUUGAGUUUGAUAAGACGUAAAGAGGAGGAGAAAGGAGGAAGAACGAGGACGAUCAACUUCUUCUUGAAGCCUUGCGACCACCCCUGGAUUUAAAGGAAUUAGAGAUACGGUACUACCGAGGCAACACUGUUUUCUUCCAUGUUGGAAUUGGAGGAGUGGGAUUAUGGGAUUACAAGAACGGGAAACACCGUCAUCAACAUCAUGCCACGUCUUUCUUCCUUGGAAAUUGUUGCCUGCCCCAACUUAAAGGCGCUGCCCGACCACAUUCAUCAAACGACAACAUUGAAGGAAUUGCGCAUUGUGCAUUGUGGGCUUCUGGAAGAACGUUACCGCACGGGGGAAGGAGAAGAGUGGCCUAAGAUAUCACACAUUCCCAGCAUAGAUAUUGAUUAAGAAGGAGAAGAGUGACCUAAGAUAUCUCACAUUCCCAACCUUGAGAUUUGGCCUUGACAAGUAAUUCCUUCUCUCACUCUGAUUUGCUUUGUUGUUCUUUUUAAUCUAAUCAAGAAGCAUAAAUAGCAUUUUGAAUUAAACUCUAUAUCAGAAAUCUGCAAUACAUAUUUACUAAUAUUCUGAUUUUCAUAUCUUAUGAAUGUACGAUUCUAAUUUGCGAUAUUUAACGUUGCUGUAAAAUAUUAUUAAUGCAAUAUGAGAAAUUCUUUUGCAGGACAAGUGACCUACGUUUAGUUUGGCUUUGGAGUUGAGUAAUAACCUUUCGAGGUCGCCACUAUAAAAACGCGAAGCUCCAUUUGCCACAGAUUACAUGUAUUGCCAUCAUUGACAAUUUUCUGGAUAAGUGAUGAAGGGUGAGAAUGGUGCUAGAAUAUUGAAUAAAGCUGUCGUGACUGAACUUACGUUGAUGUCAAAAGGGGUAAAUUAUUGGCAUGCCUAGCUAAUUUGACCAAUACCUGAUUCAUAAGCCUACAUCAAUUUUGAUUUUGAGUUGAGUGAUUAAUUUUGAAGGUUUGCUUACUUAACUGGUAACCAAUUUCUUUUAACUAAAUGUAUCAUAUGAUGCAGGAAGCAGGGCAGGAUAUGAAAUGAGAAGCUUAUUAGUGGAAGGAUUAUCAGAAACAGAACCCAAAGAAAAUGAAAACAUUUCAAGGCAGCAGUUGGCAGUUGGCCGUGAAUGGAGCCCCUUGAAAAAAUUCCCAACCCAUUGCACUGCAAUUACGAUCGUGAGUAUGAUUGCACUGCAAUUUCGAAGCUUCUUCUCCUGCAUUUUUGUUAUUUGCUAUCAUCCUCUGCUUCAGGUGAUUUCUUCUCCUGCUCUGUCGUUGUUUGUAUCUCAAUCAAAUUCUAUAACUGGAAUAUGCAAAAGUUUCGAAUUUUUAUUUCUAUCUGCUUGCAUUGAUAACAUCGCGGCAUAUGCACUAGUUAAAGAUCAAACAGAAACAGAGCUCAGGAAAAAGUUUCUUCUGCCAUCAUAUUUGAAAAUUCAUGUAAAAUGUAGACAGUAAUCAGCAAAAAGGUGAUUCGCAAUUUGAUUUUUUUUAUGAAAUUAAUUGUUAGGUUGGAGUUGCCAAUUAACAAUUUUAACCCCCUUUGACUUUGAAGGAAUUAGAGAUAUGGUCAUACAGAGGCAACACUGUUUCUGCAAGUAGUCCUCUCUUUUCUUUUUAUUAUAUUUUAUUUAGUUAUUAUUUAUUAUUUAUUUUUUGGUUUACUCUGCUUCUUCUUUUUACGUUUCUCAAAUUUUGAAUUUCAUUGCUUUUGAACAUACGACAGUCUGUUAUGUGGCGACCCUGGUUCUUAAUUAAGGUUGUGAAAUAUUAUUGUAAAAGAUGAUUUAUUCAAUUUGAGUAAUUCGUUUGCUUUGAUAAUGAUAGUAAUUUUUUAUUUUGACAAUUUGCAAGGUGAGAAUGGUGCUGAUUGGUGAUUCAGGAUAUGGUUCAAACACCAUUGAAUAAAGCUAUGGACAUGGUGGCUCAACUUAGCUAGAUUGCUAUCAAAAUUGGUAAGUUGGCUUGUCAAUGUACCGAUGCUUUUGUUUUCUCUCAACCCUAAUUACCUUAACUUCAUUUAGUUUGGCUUUGGAGUUGAGUAAUAACUUAUUGUUCAAAUGUUAUUUCCUUAUUGUUCUAAUUCAUCAAAUGUUAUUUCCUUGUUGUUCCAUUGAUAUAUUGGUUGCAUAUCAAGCAGAAACAGAAUCCAAAGAAAAUGAAACCAUUUCCAGGCAGCAGUUGGCAGUGAAUUCAUGCAAAUGUUGAUGCCAUUCAUAGAUGUUGAAGACAAUGUUGAGCCAAAGGCGAUAAAUCAUUAAUGCAUAAUUCCCAAAACCUCUAUCCUUCUCUCAUUGUAAUUUGAUUUGAAAUGAAUAAUUGCUAGGUAAUUGAAGCCAAUGUUGUUAAAGACCGUGUUGAGCUACCCAAGCUAAGAAGUUAGUUGCCAAAAAAUGCAGGGGAUCAAAAGAAGCAUUGCAUUUGAAAAGGCAUGAGAUUCUGGUGGCUACAUGUCAACUCAUAUAUGUUUGAAUAAGUUUGAUGGUUCAAGAUUGUUAGCUUCUGUUUAAAUUUGUGCUACUGCAGUGCUACAAUGCUGCUACUGGGAAAUUUGAAUCCCAUAUUAGACUUUCCUCACAUCAGAAGCUGUGGAUCUUCGGACAUCAGGUUUUUUCACAGUUCUGAAACACUCAGGAUUAAACUCUAUUAAAGUGUUGUAGUUAUCUUGUUGUCAGAAUUCCCAUAUUAUUAUCUUUUUCAUGUAAAAUUAUCUUGUUGUCUUCGCCCAUGAAUCUAAGCUAAAAUUUGAACCAAUUGUUUGCUAUUAUAAAUUUCGUUGUUAAAUGUUAAUUGUGAUGUUGGUGUUGAGUUUCUUUUAAAGUCAGAGAAGCCUGACGAUUGAGUUCCAUGGGAUUCUGAGAAGCAGUAAUAUUUUGAACAAGUGAAGGUUCUUCGUUUUUAAUUACGUUCUGCACUUUUACAGUAUGUGCAGAUGUCUAAGAGGCAGGAUUUUAAUUUCUGUAAUGCUAAAUUUCGCAAAACAAUAAAUAAAUAAAUGCAUGACAGUGACUUCAAGAAUUUAGAUUAUUGAAUUUGGUCAUUUUAAAAUUGUUGGAAUAUUGAACUUAAGUAAUUUUGAUAAACCAGAGCUCAGAAAUGUAGAAUAUAAAUAUUGGAGAUUUGGACUUCAAUCAUUAGAUUUGAAGCUAAAGAGGUAAGCCAUUAAUUACAUCAAAGGAUUUGGAAAAUGGAGGGAUUGGAAAAAGGAAACUUUUUCAUAAACUACAAGCAUUGGGCAGUUUCAUUUGUCCGAUUCAAGAGGAACGUCACAGAAAGGGGUAAAGAAAAGAGUAGCCUAAGAUAUUUAAGACAAUGUUGAGCCAAAGGAAACAUAAAUCCCAACCAUUGCAUGCGAACAUGAUCACAAUAAGGUCAAGAACCUACCAAACCAUUUUUUUGAGAAUUUUCAAUUGAAAGUGAAACCUUUGGACAUUUACCUAGUAAAGUUAGUUAAACGAGAGAAAUAAAGGGGAAAAGAAAAGUUGACUCAAGUCAAUACAGAAUAAUUAGUUCAAUCUGGAGUAACUAAAACAGAGCCACUAUAUUUUCAAAAAUAUCUGCAUUCAUCACCUUCUCCUACAGCUAGUGAGCUAAACACGAAUCAUUUCCUUUUAGCAUUUUUGCAGCAUCAACUUCUCUCCUCGUUUGUCAUCCAAAAUUAUUCACCAAUACCAUGGCUGAUGCAAUCGUUUCCCUUCUCUUGGAGCAGCUGAUUAUCUUUGCUGCUGAAGAGUCGAAACAACAGGGGAAGCUGGUGAGUGUUGGAUGAGUGGAUCACAGCAUGCGCCAAAUCGCAAAUUGAUCAAUGCUCUUGUUGCUCCUUAUCUGAAGAAGAAGGUGCAAAUUGAGAGCUGCAUUGCACUGUCAUAACAUUUAUUGUAAUUUCAUUUGGAGAUUUUAUGGAUAAUGAUUUGGUAGACUUUAUAUGCCGUCUUCUUUCUUUUUGCAGUGAUAUGUUUGUAUUCAAUGUGCUUGUGCUUAUUCUGUGGUUUUUAAAGUAGGUGUUUUUAUGAUAAACUAGGUCUUGUGUAUUGUAUGUACUAUCUAGAGAAGAAUAUUGACUGGUUGCAGUCGAAAUUGGAACCACUUUUGAAAGGUAAGAAGAGGCCAUUUUCCUUCAUUCUAAUGCCAAUAAUGCUGUCAUGAGACUCAUAAAAAAUGUUAAAACAUUAAUGUUUUUGGUAUUUUGCAGAUCAUUAUCUUCUGUUUGAUUUUCCUGGCCAAGUUGAAUUAUUUUUUCUUCAUUCCAAUGCCAAGAAUGUUAUCAUGAGACUCAUAAAGAAGUUAAAUCUCAGGGUAUUGUUACAUCUUGCAUCUAUGAAGGGACUCAAAGAGUUGACAUGAAUUCAUCUUUGUUAUUUUGAUGCCAGAAUUGUGCAAUUCUCAGUUGGUUCCUUUCACAUGCAGUUGACUGCAGUGCAUCUAGUUGAUGCGCAUCUUUGCAGUGACACUGGAAAGUAUGUUAGUGCUUUGCUUCUCUCGUUGUCUACGAUGCUACAUCUGGAACUUCCCCACGUCAAUGUCUUGUCUAAGAUCGACUUGAUUGAGAAUUAUGGAAAGCUAGGUGUGGUUUUAAGUGUCUCCCUCCUACUUGUUUGUUUAGUUUGAAAUAUCAGAUAUUAUCACGAGCUCCUAUCUGCUACGUUUCCUCACCAAUCAAUUACUUUGGGUAUGUUGCAGCUUUUAAUCUCGAGUACUAUACGGAUGUGCAAGAUUUGUCAUAUUUACAGCAUGCUCUGGGUCAGGACCCUCGUUCUGCUAAGUACAGGUUUGAAUUCUAGCUGAAUCAAUGAUGCAAAUUAUGUCCAUUGCUAUUUUUGACUGUCGUUUCUAUCAUUUUCAAUUGUUACCUCCCCUUGCCAUCUACUGCCACACUGCAAUGCCUACACAAAUGUUAUGAAAUUUGUCAAUGGCAAUGCCAUCCUGUUUGUCCAGAGACAGCUCUUAGAUGCAAGUGAACAAUUUUUGGCUUUGGCCGUUGUACAGCCUUAGAUUUCAACUUGCCAUAUCUUGUCUCGGAAGUCAAAAGAAAGCGUAUAUGUUAGCCAAAUUUUAUUUGAAUUUAUUGAGUAACAAUGAAUGGUUCGGAAAAACAGUUCCUCUUUUGUUUUGAUCAGACUCAAUGAAUAAGUGUUUAAAAUGUGCCUGUCCUAGAAAUAUAGAUGUGUGGUUUCGCAAAAUUUUCUUGAUCUUAAGAAAGAGUUAUCUUGAAAAGAAGAUAACAUGGAGAAUUCAGCAACUAUACAGUCAUAUUGCGUCUGUCAACUUGGGUCAGAUGGUGUCGUUUGGAUGGAGAUGUUAGGUCCCAGAUGGUAUGCUUGUUAUCAAAUUCCAGUCUAAUUCAUUCAUGCUUUGAUGACAUAUGCGGUGCAGCUUCUUAUCUAAGACCUGCAUAUGUUCAGUCAUCAUUCAGUUCUGUAUUUGGCUGUCAUUCUUUCAAUGAAUUCAAACCACUUUCUGAAUACUUGCAAAUUCAUCCAGUGUUGUCAUUGAGAUUCCAAUAUGUAAAGGAGCAAUAGUUGCCCUUGAUAGUAUGCUUAUUGAUUGCCUCUUGCCUCACUCAGCCUAAGGAGUCUGGUUGUAUGGUGUUCUUGUAAUUUCAUUUGGAGAUAAGUAAUAUCUGUUGUUCAAAUGUAUUUUAUAUACAAGCAGUUAAUAAUUCUGCUUGCAGAAAGCUUACAAAGGAGCUGUGUGAUGUAAUAGAAGACUACAGUCUGGUCAAUUUUUCAACCUUAGAUAUUCAGGUCAUCAGUUUCUCUUGAAUUCUUUCUUGAGUUUCUUUGAAUUAUUUGUGAAUAAGAUCUUAGUUGGCUGCUCCUCUUCAGGAUAAGGAAAGUUUGGCAAAACUCGUGAAGCUGAUAGAUAAAAGCAAUGGGUACAUCUUUGCUGGCAUGGAUGCCAGGGCAGUUGAAUUCAGCAAGAUUGCCGUUCGCGAUGUGGAUUGGGAUUAUUACAGGUAUCCUUCUUUUCACCUAUUUUCAAUCUUGUGAUUCUCAUAUUCAUAAAACUUUCAUGGUUCAUUGUAUGCAUCUGCAUCUUCUAAUUUGUACGUUUGAGAGACUAAUUUUGCUGUUAGGUAGGCGUCAAAUUUGAUUCAUGCGUUUUUCAUAAAUUUACCAAAAUCAUGGAAACUUCUUUUUCCCAGAUAUUGUAUCCACACUUUUCCCAUGUAAUUCAGUCAGACAAGUUCUGCUUAACAAAGAUAUCUACAGUAGCUGAAGUGCAGGAAAAGUACAUUAAGGAUGAUGACGAUGUUAACUAAAAUGGGACACGAAGAUAUGUGGUGUGCAAACCGUAAGCAUGCCUCUUACUUUUGUGCAUGUUUACUUGCUUGUGAUUCAUGUUUGUUAAUCUAUUAUGCUCUUUUGUUGGGUUUAUAAAGUUUUCAAUCAAUCAAACAUUUGACUGAUUCAGACAGGACAAGCGGGGAAGAGGUGGUUUUAAUCAAACCACUACUAAUUAUGAUGUAUCUCGGACCUUUGUACAAUAUCAAGCGAUUUUUUUAGUUGAAUCAGCUGGUGUACACAAAUGUCGUUUAUUGAUUUUUCUCUAGUAUAGUUCGUAAUUUUGGUAACACAUCUACUCUAGUAUCGUUUGUAAUUACAAGAAACAAAGUAAUGAAAUUUAUCACUGCAUUCAUAGUUAUGCUUAAGCUCAAAGAUCACUGUGAAUAUCAUUUUGGGGCCUCUAUUUGUUCUAUAACAUGAUGUUGACACGUGUCAAAUUUUGAAGCUUGUGAUUAAAAUACUAUUCACAUAUAUAUUUUAAGUACCACUAAUAAUUAAAUAUAUUAAUAAAUAUGGGCAAUGGGGAUAAAAUAAAAUGGUUUUAUUUUUUGAAUUACUCAACUGCUUCAAACUUCUAAGAAGUAGAUUUACGAUGAGUGGAAUCUUAAAUUGAGUACGAGUUAGGGAUAACUUAUAAAAUUGGGAUACAAGCUUCAAAGAAAGUGUAUUACUAUUCAUAUGUAGAUUUCGAAUUAAGAAGAUAUGCCAGCUAAUUGUAUAAGAAUGUAAAAAUUGAUCACAGGCAUAAUCGCAAAUGAUGAAAUGAGCUACCUUGAUCAAAAGGUCAAGAACCUACCUUACUUCUCUUAGGGAUAAGUUGCAUCAACCGUUGUGAUAUUGAUAUUUAUCUUGAGCCAGUAAAAGUGAAAGCUUCCCAAUUGAAGGAAAGUGAAGAGAAGAUUCUAUGCUCUAAUUAUUAUUAUUAUUAUUAUUUGUUAGAAUGAAGUGCGAAGUGAGCACAUCAUGCAAGCUCAGCAGAUGUGAUAAGGUGACUUGUAACUCAGCUGGCACAAGAGACAAAGUGUAGUGGAGAAAAGUUUCCCAAUUGAUGGAAAGUGAAGGGAAGAUUCUAUGCUCUAAUUAUUAUUAUUUGACAAUGAAUUGGCAAAUAAAAACAAAAUAGCAGGCCUGUAAAGUAAUGAAGUGGAGACAAUGACCAUGUGAUUGAUUGGUAAAUAAAAACAAAAGAGCAAGCCUGUAAAGUAAUAUAAAUUAUAGUGUAUAUUCAAGUUAAAGUAAUGGAAACAGUGUGCAUCCACAAAAAAUUCUUUUAUCUCUCGUUGUCUUAUUCUUUUCUUUAUUUACGUUUUCCAGAAGUAAAGCCAUACAUGUGAUGAAGCAUAGAUAAGAAAGCUAUCGCCCGAAAUUCAUUUUGCACAAACACUUCAAUAUCCUUUUGAUCACUUUUGCAAACAUCAAUUUGUCUCCUAUUGUAUUCACCAUGGCUGAUGCAAUCGUUUCCACUAUCUUGGAGCAGCUGAUUUCCUUCGCUGCUGAAGAGAUAAAACAACAGGUGAUCGAAGUUACACCCCUCCUAUUACAAAUACUUCCAAUGAUUUUAAUUGGUUUUGUUUUUAUCAAAAACAUUAUAUAUUUUUGCUUUAUUUUAUUUAUCUGAUAGUUUUAUAUUUUGAAAUUUGAAUUGAAAUCAUGAAAUUUGGAUAGGAUUCACUAGAAAUAUGUACAAGACUCUCCAUAAAGUUUCAUAAUUUUCAUUCGGUAUGGGGUGGUGCAGGUGAAACUUGUGGUUGGUGUUGAAGAAGAAGUGAAAAGCCUUACCAGCCACCUUGAAGCCAUUCAAGUUGUGCUCGAUGAUGCAGAGGAAAAGCAAGUGAAGGAAAAAGCUGUUAGUCUUUGGCUGGGUAGGCUCAAGUAUGCAUCCUACGACAUUGAAGAUGUGUUGGAUGAGUGGAUCACAGCAAGACGCAAAUUGCAAAUUGAGGAUGGCGUUGAUGAAAAUGCUCUUGUUGUUCCUCAUAAGAAAAAGAAGGUAUGUCUCUGCUUUCCCGGCUCUUGUUUUGGAUUCAAACAAGAAGAAUUUGGUUUCAAACAAGUCUUUUUCCGUCAUGACAUUGCCAACAAGAUCAAAGAAAUGAAUGAAGAGCUACAUGAUAUUGCCACUCAGAAAGACAUGUUUAAUCUUGUUAAGAGUGGCAAUAAAAGUAGUGAAAGACCAAGGCGUGUACAGAGUACCUCCUUGAUUGAUGAGGAAGAGAUUUGUGGUAGAGUUGGUGAGAAGAAUGAACUCUUAAGCAAGCUGUUGUGUGAGAGUAGCGAGCAACAAAAAGGCCUCCAUAUCAUCUCAAUUGUUGGUAUGGGAGGCAUAGGGAAAACUACUCUUGCACAACUAGCUUGUAAUCAUGACGAGGUGAAGAGAAAGUUUGACAAAAUUCUGUGGGUGUGUGUAUCAGAAACUUUUGAGGAGUUUAGGGUAGCCAAAGCGAUCGUUGAAGCUUUGGAUGGUCGUGAAUCUCAUUUAGGUGAAUUCCAAUCUCUUCUUAAACAUAUUUAUGAAUCAAUUGCAGGGAAGAGCUUUCUUCUUGUCUUAGAUGACGUGUGGGAUGGAAAUUACUUGAAAUGGGAACCAUUCUACCGUUGUCUAAAGAAUGGUCUCCAUGGAAGUAAAAUUUUAGUUACUACACGUAAAGGGUCAGCCGCAUCCAUGAUGGGAUCCACAGAUAUUAUCUCCGUUAAGGAGUUAGCUGAAGAAGAAUGUUGGUUGUUGUUUAACAAGAUAGCAUUUUUUGAUCGGUCCAUCGAGGAACGUGAAAAAUUAGAACAAAUUGGGCAAAGAAUUGCAGGCAAGUGCAAAGGUUUACCUCUUGCAGCAAAGACAAUCGGGAGUCUCAUGCGUUCUAAACAAACUGAAGAAGAGUGGAAAAGAAUUUUAAAUAGUGAUUUAUGGAAAGUAGAAGAGAUUGAGAAAGAUGUUUUGUCCUCUUUAUUGUUGAGUUAUAAUGAUUUGCCAUCUAGAGUAAAAAGAUGUUUUUCAUAUUGUGCUGUCUUUCCAAAAGACUACGAUAUAAAAAAAGACAAACUAAUCACAUUAUGGAUGGCUCAAGGUUAUCUUAGUGUAGAACAAGACGAAGAGAUAGAGACAAUAGGUGAAGAGUAUUUUGGCAUCUUAGCUUCUCGCUCGUUUUUUCAAGAGUUUAAGAAAAGUUAUGAUAAUCGGAUUAUAGCGUGUAAGAUGCAUGAUAUGGUACAUGAUUUUGCCCGAUUUGUAAGUCAAAAUGAAUGUUUUUCGAUGGAAAUUAACGGUAGUGAGGAACCAAACGCCACAAACUCUCUUGAUGAGAAGGUCCGUCAUUUAAUGUUAAUCUUUAGUAAAGGGGCUUCAUUACCUGCUUCCACUCGUAGAGUUAAAAGAAUGCGUACCCUCUUAAUUAACUAUAGUAGAUCUGAAUCAUCUGAUCAUUCAUUAUUAAAUGGUGAGAUCCUAGAAGAAUUAUUUAGGGAAUUGAAAAGUUUAAGGGCAUUAGAUUUUGGCGGAUCGUACGACACACAUUUUUCUUUGACUCUGGAGAUUCCAAGAAACAUAGAAAAGCUGGUACAUUUAAGAUACCUUAAUUUGUCUCUUCAGAAAAUAGUGGAGCUACCGGAGACAUUAUGCGAGUUGUAUAAUCUAGAAAAGUUAGAUAUUAGUUAUUGUUAUAAGCUAGAAGAAUUACCUGAAGGGAUUGGGAAGUUAAUAAACAUGAAGCAUUUACUAAAUAAAAAUACUAGUUCUUUAACGUACAUGCCAGUAGGGAUUGGGAGAUUAACGGGUCUUAGGACCUUGGGUGAGUUCCACGUGAGUGCAGGAGGAGGUGUUGAUGGUAGGAAAGCAUGUAGGCUUGAAUCUCUUAAAAACUUGGAACGCCUUCAAGUAUGUGGUAUACGUAGACUGGGUGAUGUAUCAGAUGUGGGCGAGGCUAAGCGAUUAGAACUUGACAAAAAGAAAUACCUCUCUUGUUUGACCCUUGAGUUUGAUAAGAAGGAAAGAGGAGGAGAAAGGAGGAAGAACGAGGACGAUCAACUUCUUCUUGAAGCUCUACAACCACCUCUGGAUUUAAAGGAAUUAGAGAUAUGGUACUACCGAGGCAACACUGCUUUCCCUAGCUGGAUGACGUCAUUAACCAACUUAAAAAGUUUAGAUCUCUCUUUGUGCGAAAAUUGCGAGCAGCUGCCUCCUUUGGGAAAAUUGCAGUCCCUUGAAAAUCUCCACAUAUGGCGCAUGGCGAGUGUGAAGAGAGUGGGUGAUGAAUUUUUGGGGAUAGAAAGUGAUCAUCAUGACUCAUCUUCUUCUUCAUCAGUUAUUAUUGCCUUCCCCAAAUUGAAAUCACUUUCAAUUAACGAAAUGGAGGAAUUAGAGGAGUGGGAUUAUGGGAUUACAAGAACGGGAAACACCGUCAUCGACAUCAUGCCACGUCUUUCAUCCUUAACAAUAAUUCUUAGCCACAAAUUAAAGGCACUGCCCGACUACAUUCAUCAAACGACAACAUUGAAGGAAUUGCACAUUUUGGGGUGUGACCUUCUGGAAGAACGUUACCGCAAGGGGGAAGGAGAAGACUGGCCUAAGAUAUCUCACAUUCCCAACUUCGAGAUUUGGCGUUGACAAGUAAUUUCUUCUCUCACUCUGAUUUGAAUCAAACUCUAUAUCAGAAAUCUGCAAUACUUACUUUCUAAUAUUCUGAUUUUCAUAUCCUAUGAAUAUACGAUUUUUAAUUUGUGAGAUGGGUAACGUUACUGUAAAAGAUUAUUAAUGCAAUAUGAGUAAUUCUUUUGCAGAACAAGUGACCUACAUUUAGUUUGGCUUUGGAGUUGAAUAAUAACCUUUCAAGGUCCCGACAACCAAAAAACGAAGCUUAAUUUGCCACAGAUGGCACGUAUUGCCAUUAUUGACAAUUUUCUGCACAAGCUUAGGUUGAUGUCAAAACAGGUAAAUUACUGGCAUGCCUGACUAUUUUGACCAUUACAUGAUUCAUAAGUUUACAUUAAUUUUGAUUUUGAGUUGAGUGAUUAAUUUUCUAGGUUUGCUUACUUUAACUGGGUGACCAAUUUCUUGUAACUAAAUGUAUGAUGUGAUGCAGGAAGCAGGGCAGGGCAUGAAGAGAGAAGCUUAUUAGAGGAAGGAUUGCCAGUAACAGAAUCCAAAGAAAAAAGAAACCAUUUCGAGGCAGCAGUUGGCAGUUGGCAGUGAAUGGAGCCCCUUGAAAAAUUCCCCAAGCCGUUGCACUGCAAUUACGAUCAUCCUCGGCCUCAGGUAAUUUCUUCUCCUGCAUUUUUGUUAUUUGCUAUCAAGUGACUAUUUUAAGUAUGAUUGCAUUAAGCUGCUGCUGGGAAAUUUGAGGUUUUGAUGACUGCCCAUGCUAUUGUCAGAAGCUGCGGUUCUUUUCAUCAGCCUGAACCUGGACCUGCCGCUAUGGAUAACUCAGGUUUUUUUUUUUUAAUCAACAGCCAUCUUUUCCACUGUUUAGAAACUCUUAAGAUUAAACUUUAGUAAAGUUGUUUUAGUUAUCCAUGUAAUCAGGCUGAGGAUACUUAGCUGCCUAUUUAGGCAAAUGUUAGAAUUUAGUUUGUUUGCUGGGAACUGGUGUGGACUGGCAAAGGAUGAUGAGAUAGUUUUUUGAGUGAGUAAAUUUUGGGAGCUUGAGUGUAUUGGGAUUUGCAAUUACAAUCAUCGUCUGCCUCAGGUGAUUUCUUCUCCUGCUCUGUCAUUGUUUGUUCUCUAAUUCAAAAGCAUAAAAUAUUUCAAUCAAUUUUUAUGCCAGGAAUAUGCAAAAGUUUCUAAUAUUUUAUUUCCAUCUGUUACAAGAUCAAACUGAAGCAGAACUCAAACAAAAGUAUGCUACUUCUUGCGGAAAUCUUGCCUUUGUUCAGAUUAUGAAACCAUUUCCAGGCAGCAAAUUCAUCCAAAAGUUUGAAUAAGUUUCAUGGUUGGACACUGUUGCCUUCUUUUUCUUCUGGGGUGCAUUUAGGUGCUAUCAAGUGACAGCUGUAAGUAUGAUUGCACUAAGCUGCUGCUGGGAAAUUUGAGGUUUUGAUGGCUGCCCAUGUUAUUUUCAAGAAACUAUUGAUGUAAGAAGCUGUGGUUCUUUUCAUCAGCUUGAACCUGAAACUGUCGCUAUGGAUAACUCAGGUUUUUGUUAUCAACUAUAUCAUCUUUUUCACUAUUUUGAAACUCUUAAGAUUAAACUUUAGUAAAGUUGUUUCAGCUAUUCAAAUGAAAAACUCAUUGAUUUGAGACUGACUUCAUUAUUGUUUCUAAUUACAAUGCUAACGAUCCAGAUAAAAUAAUAUUUAAUCGGCGAAGGUGUCCCUUGGAAGUACAUCCUUCUUUUUCUUUUAUUAUAUAAAUUCUUGCAAUGAGCUUAGUGAAGCUGUUGUGCUAAUCAUGCCACUGCAUAAUUUGGCCCCUAAUGUGGGUACUCUGUUACAUUGUUCUGCAAAUUCUCCAGAAGUUAAAAUCAAUAAAUUUUCUAUUAGCUCUAGUGCUUUGACCUAAAUGCCAUUCUAUAUUUUGAUUACAAUGUUUUAACCUUUAAAUUAACUACCCCUAGAUGUUGGAUUUUCUAGAACUUCAAAAUGAUUAAUGGAGAAAGAUCCCAUUAUCGUUAUUGCUAUAAGAAAUUGAUUUAUGCAUCCAAAGAUACAUUAUAUAUUUCUGUGUCUCUAUUUGUAGAUGACAUUUAAGCAUCCAUAAACCGUCAGACAGAGGAAGGGGGUUCAGUGCAAAGAUUCUGUUGACCUAGGGUUGACUGCAUAAUGUCACUUGUUCGCAAUCUAUUAUUUAUUUUAUAUUUUGAAGAAUUUAAUGGGUAAUCCUAAUUGUUUGUUUUGGCAGGUAUGUGUUGUUAUCUCCUUCUAUCUAACAGUCGUACCUAAAUAGCAUAGUUUCAUCUGCGUUACCAUGUGAUGUACAUAAUUUCACAUUUGCCUCAGAUUAAGCUUAAUUUCCCACAGAAUAGAGCUGUCGCGACUGGACUUUUUGAUGUCCAAAGAGGUAAAUUAUUGGCAUGCCUAGAUAAUUUGGCCAUUUCCUAAUUCAUAAGUCUACAUUAAUUUUGAUUUUGAGUUGACUGAUUUCUUUUCAAGGUCUGCUUCCUUAACGGAGUGACCAAUGUUUUUCAACUAAAUUUAUCAUAUGAUGCAGGAAGCAGGGCAGGAUAUGAAAUGAGAAGCUCAUUGGUGGAAGUAUUGCCAGUAGCAGAACCCAAUGAAAAUGAAACUAUUUCAAGGCAGCAGUCGGCAGUUGCAAGUGAAUGGAGGCCCUUGACAAAAUUCUCAAGCGAUUGCAAUGCAAUUACGAUCAUCCUCAGCCUCAGGUAAUGUCUUUUAUUGGUACCCAACAAAAAUGCAAGGUCUGUGAGAAGACAGUUUGUCCAGUUGAGCAGUUAUCUACUGAUGGGGUUGUUUAUCACAAGUCUUGCUUCAAGUGCUCUCACUGCAAAGGCACACUCAAGCUAAGCAAUUACUCAUCCCUGGAAGGUGUUCUUUACUGUAAGCCUCACUUUGAGCAGCUUUUGAAGGAGUCGAGUAACUUCAACAAGAAUUUCCAAUUACCUGCAAAGUCAGCUGAGAAGUUAACUCCUGAGCUGAGAAGGUCGCCUAGCAAAGUUGCCAGCAUGUUCUCUGGGCCCAAUAAAAAUGUGCUUCUUGCAGUAAAACAGUGUGUCCGUGGGAGAAGGUAGCAGCGGAAAACCAAGCCUCUCACAAGACAUGUUUCAAGUGCUCACAUGGUGGUUAUUCCAUUAGCCCGUCAAAUUACGCAGCCCUAGAAGGCAUCUUGUAUUGCAAACAUAAUUUCUCCCAAUUGUUCAAGGAAAAAGGCAGCUACAACCACCUUAUAUCAAAUCUGCUUCCAUGAAGCGUGCUGCAGUCUCUGUUCAAGAAGCUUGAACAUGUUAUGUUAUCUUCCAUAAAUCUUAUUUGGCGUGGGUUUUCUCUGGCUUGAGGGUGUGCUGCUUUCUAUUUUGAUCCCUCUUGUUUUUUUUGCGGGGAACUACCAAACCUUCGGUUCCCUCUGCUUCUUUGGAUCAUCUUUGUUGGGACAAAUUUCAUGUAAUUAGAGAUACUGAUUUAUGGGAGGCAUAAUCCCAUGGUCGUAAAUUGACCAUUUUCUGGCAAUGUUCUUUUUAAAAAGAGAUGAGCAGUUGUUUAACAAAAAAAAUAUUCGGCCUUCAUCAUUGUAUGUUACCAAACUGCUAUGUAUAGCUGCUAACUAUGAGCAUCCGAAAAUAUGGUGCAUCGUGAUUCAUGUAGUGCAAUAUGGCUACCAACGCAUCCUAAAUGGAGUAUUACUCAGUUAGUCAGCAAAAUAAGACAACAUAACAGAUAUUAAAAAAAAAACUACAUUAAUAAGUGGGCAAGAUCAUGCCAGUUUAACUUUUCGCGCGUCGCUGCUGGAGAUAAUCAAAUCGGGGCAGAGAAAAGGAGAAUGGAAUCAGAGGCUAAGAUUAAUAAGUGGGCUUCUGCUUGCUUUGCGCCUCUUUCUUAAACGAUUGGUAGACUGCUGCUUCCACCGAUUAACCGGGACUUCAACCACUGCUUUUACUGCCUGCCAUCUUGUUGUUUGUCGAAGGGAUGAAUUCAAGUCGAAAAGAGAAAGCGCGCUGAAAAAGAUAAAUCACUAGUGGUUAACUGCUGACUCAGCCAAGUGUUGGCUUCACUUGAUUCACCGAUUGAGGUUAUUUUGUCUUCUAUCUAAUGCAGCGAAGAAGCUUUGCUGCUUAACAUGCUGCAAUGCAACUUUAUCCUUUGAAGUUCACACUCCAGGGCUGCGCACUUUAUGUAAUCCUAUGAGUAAAAAGAAUUUGUUUUCAAAUGUGAAAAAAGAAAAUGUAAGGUAGUAACUAAAUAUAUUAUAGCAUCAAAGCAAGAUUUGAUAUGAAUUUAGUACAACAAAGAACAUCAAAUCUGUGAUUCCUUGUCUAAUGUCACCAUCGAGCAACAAAUUUAAAAGCCUACCUAUCAAAUACACGAGGCAAUAAACGGAGAAAAAGUUGAAUUACAAGAACAAGUUUACAAUUCUUGUCAAUGGUUAAUGAUUUGUGAACUGCAUAGCAUUCAAGAAUCCAAUUUCAAUACAACAACCUAAAAGAUAAACAGAUGAUGAAUUUUAUGAGAUAAAGAAGGAGAUCGUGUUUUAUCGUAUCUCUAUUUUCUUUCUUUUUAAAUUUAAAAUAAGCUUUUCAACCGGUUUGGUAACUGGUUAUAAUAUUUUUUAAAAUAAUUAAAUAUUUUCAUUAUUAAAAAUAAUGUGUACCGUUGAUUACAUCUAACGGUACAUAUUUCUUACACUACUAAUACCGUAAAAAAAAAAAGGCAUCAUAGAAGGACCCUUAAAACAUUUUCAUUUGAAAUUAUUUGGUGUAGUCAAAAAGUUAAGAAAGAAAUAGUUGUCCCUUUGGUCAUUUCACAAAAAUGAAAGCCCCAUAUAACAUGGACUUGAAUGGAAGCCCAAUUGUUUGUGUUUGAUUUCAAGCUUUAUCGGACCUUUGGACCUGGAUACUUUACUGCGGCCUCUAAGCCCUAUAAAUUUUUUUUUGGGAUAAAAGGUGCUUCAAUGAAAAAGCACUUUAAAACUUUGGAUUUUGCCAAAACUUCAAAGCGGUUGGUCCAGUUACGGUGUGUUAUGCUAACGGGUUUAAAGGUUCCGAUCCAAUGAGUUAGGGUGGAAUAUGAAUAUAUAAAUUCCAUAGCAUGUAAGGACUAGGAUUUGUUUGUUCAUAUCAAGAAAAAAAAUCUGAAAAUUUGAUGAUCAGAAGAUAAAAACACUUAAACACGUUUAUUACAGAGAAACAAACGACAACAUGAUACUAGUAGUAGUUAUUCUUUUCAUCCGAUAUAUUACAUGGUAAUAUCACUACUCGUUCCACUGGUUUCAUAUACACCAUCGAUCAGCAACAUGAUAAUUUUGUGUCAGUUCAUUUUGUUUGUAGGAAAGAGCAGUGUAUUUAUAAUAAAAAGAUUUUAAAAUAUAAAUUGCAUAUUUGUUUAUUACUGUUGUUUGGUCUAAUUUCUUAUGUAGAAUUGCUUGUCAUUCUUUGGACGUUAUUGGUUAUAUUUUUGUCAGACUUGGCGUAUAUAUUCACAUACAUUUUAUUUUGUCAUUUUUUAGAACAUUUUUACACGCCAUAUUAUCACUACUCUUCUCUGUCUGAAUAAGAAGAAAGCAUCAACGGAGGUGUAUUACCACUGUUUCUUACUCAGUUAUCAUCAACGGAGUACCAAGAGGCUUGAUUUUUCCUGAAAGAGGACUUAGGCAAGGGUGUCCACUCUCCCCAUACCUGUUCCUUUUAUGUGCUGAGGUCUUUUCCAGCUUGCUGUCCCAGGCAGAAAGAAAUUAGCAAAUUAAGGGCUUGAGAUUCACUAAAGAUGUUACUAUCUCCCAUCUCCUCUUUGCGAAUGAUAGUCUAAUUUUCACAAGAGCUGCAGUGGCUAAUUGCAAGCAUCUAAAAGGUCUAUUUGAUACUUAUGCGAAGGCAUCGGGGCAUAUUUUUAACUUUGAAAAGUCAUCUAUGUUUUUCAGUGGUAAAAUUUUUUAGGGGCAGAUUUCAGCGAUCAAGAGUAUCUUCAAGCUUAAGGUGGUUCCUGUUGUGCAAAUUUUAAUGAACUCGCAAGCGCACGAAUCUAUUGUAGUAUAGAUCAAUGGUGACGAGUGUCGAUCCCACGAGGAGGUGGAUUUUAAUUAUAUGUAGAAUUAAUUUUGUAAAUGGGUGGUUGGAAUUGUAGUGGAAAUGAUUUGGAAUAUGCUAAAACUUAAAUUAAAAUGGCGAGAAUAAAUUAUGAAAUUGGAAUUGCAAUGGCGAGAAUAAAUUGAAGUGAAAUCUAUUGAAAUAACGUACUUGGGUAUCCGGAUCCGUAUCAACAUGCAUCAUGGGCUAAAUAAUCCGUAUUAAUGCCAAUUAAAUCAUGAGGGGGGAAUCCACACCUCAUGAACCACGCUCUAAUCAAUAUGGUGCUAAGGGCUUAUCGUGCCAAAUAAUAAUAACCUUAUACUAGAGAGCCGGUGUAACCAAGGCGGUAUCUAGACAAGAUUACUAUUAUUUGUCGACGAAAAGUCAAAACAUCCACAAAAACUAGAGGGGAAGAGAAAAUAAAUUUACCAAAUUAAGCCCAUGAAAAUAAUCCUGUGUGAUGCAUGCACCGUACGCGAAAUUUUUCGUCCACUGAUAUGCUGCCACGUCACCAUCAACAGUACAUAAGAAUUUUAGUCCAACAGGAUCGUGACACCUCAUCAGUCAAUGCCACAUCAUCGGUCAAUGCCACGUCAUCGAUCCGUCUAUGUGAACAGUGUCGUGAACAGUAACGUAGACAGUACCGUAUACGUGAAUAGUACCGUACAUGUGAAUAGUGCCAUUUUUCCUUUUAUGCUCCUCCUAAGGUUUUCGACCGUCCUGAGUUCAAAAGUGAUGUCCGUUUUGCUGUCUGAUCUCUCCUUUAUUGUGAAAUGACUAUAAUGCCCCUAAAAUACAUAAAAUACUUAAUUAAAAUAACACACACGUAAUUACAUCACAAAAAGGUUAAAUACAUAAAAGUAAGGGUUGUUAGUAAGACUUGAAAUGUAAAAUGAUGGUUUUCUCCUUUAUAAAUAUGCAUUUUCUAAUACUCAACACACCCCCCAACCAGCUUAUUGCUAGUCCCUAGUAAAUAAAGCGAAAACAAAAUUCAAAUUCAAAAUAUUUUUUUAGAAACACUCGUGUUUAUUCAAUCAGAUUAAUGAUAGCAAUCAAAUAAAAGUAUAAGCAUUAUCUCCAGUCUAAAGCAAUAUCACACCCAUAUCAACCAUCCACAUGAAUCGGCCCAGUAGACUUUGUUAUAGCUACUUUCAAGAAUGACAUGUUAAACCCCAAAAUCUCACUGGAAGUAGUGACACUCUCACAAAGAAAUUAAAACCCAAUAAACAUAGUCACUCCAAUGAAUAGUAAUUGAGAGAGAAAAUAAUAAAGAAAUGAUAUCACAUGCUCUCACCAAGAUGAAAUAAAUAUGCCCUCAGCUUAGAAAUAAUACGAUCUCAAGUCAAAUAAAAUGUUAGUCAACCCACUUUAUUUAUCUUCUUUUUUUUUUUAUUAUUAUGCAUCACUACAUCUUUUUAGCCCAUAUAACUAGCUUCUACUUCAAACUAUAGUUCCCUAAAAUCAAGAAGGACUUUUAUUAGGACGUAACGUAGGCUAGGGAUAUGGCUAACAAAGAAAGGAAAUAAGGAAAACAAAGUGUAUGUUUGAGAAAAAUGCAGAAAUAUAUAUAUAUAUAUAUAUAUAUUUUUUUUUUUUUUUGAAGUUGCAAGGUGGAUUUCACCUAUUAUUGUUAUUUUAUUCUUUUGAAACAACAACUUUUGUUUUUUUGUUUUUUUUUUAUUUUUUGUUUUUUUUUUUGCUUUUAUUUGGCAUAACUUCACUGAACAACAUAAUUAUUUACAUUUUCUCAAACAUAAAUAGGUGAUGGAACUUAUAAGACAUCGAGUAAUACUCCAAAUCGGAGUGAGUCAAGAUGAUAAGUUGACAAAGAAAAGGUUUUAUUUAUUUAUUUUUUUUUAAAGGCUCAAAAGGGGUAACUAUGGAUAUUUAAUAAAAGGGAUGGCUAGAAAGGCUCAAACGGAUCAAAGAUGGCCUUUCCAUCGUCUUUUAGGGCUCUAAAUAAUUAUCCAUAUCUACUAGUUAGAUGGGCCUCCCAAUGUAGCAACACACAUUUUUUUUUUUUUUUUUUAAUUUUACCAUUUUUUUUAAAGGGUUAACUCAAAAGAAAUCUAGAGAUCGUGUAUAAAAUAAUAAACUGCUAAGCUGUAUAGAAAAUGGGCAAAAGGGUUACUCUCCAAGAAAAUGAUAGGCUCAACAACUCACUUGACACUUAUUUAUGACAUGUUCAUUCCUUCAAGCAACUCAUAUUUGUCUCCGACAUCAACAUGUAAAGUAGCAAACAUAGCGUAACAUCACUUAAGACCAAAGAUAAUACAAAUACUAAAAUUUGAAAUUAAUCAUGUCAUCCAAUGUUAAAACAAAUAACACAAAUUUUUUUUUUUUUAAACAACAUUCUACCCCCCAACCUAUUCUAAACAUGAAAAGAAAAUAUGCAUGCAGAAAUGUGAAAAUGAUGUAGAAAAAUUAAUUAGAAAAAGAUUUUUUUUUUUUAAAACUAAGAAGAUGCGUUUCUAGAGGCACUACACUCCAUAUUCAGCCAUCUUCGACUCAAAAGUUGGAAAAUGUAUAUUUAUAGAGGAGAAAAUAAAAAGAAGAAGAAAAAUGAAGUAGAAAAAUUAAUUAGAAAAAGAAUUUUUUUUUUCGAACAAUGAAGAUGCGUUUCUAGAGUAACUACACUCCAUAUUCAGCCAUCUUCAACACAAAAAGUUAGCAACAGUUAGUUUCUACAACAAAAAAUUAGUAAAAACUUAACCAAGAUUCCACAAUUGUCGACUAUUCCCUCCCCCCAACCAGAACGAAACAUUGUCCUCAAUGUUUGAAAGGAAAGAAGUAGAGUUUAGAAGACAUCACCUGGGUGGUGCAACACAGAAGAAUAUAUUUACAGGCGGAGAGUUAAAUCUAAUUUGUACUUCUUACUGCGGCUACUGUUACCAUCAUUAGUUGGUCGCUCCAACACAAAGGUCCAGGGGUCUGGCUCCGGUUUAUAAGCUUGUAACAUAUCAAGUAGCUCAUUAGCAGUGUGAGCACAAAUAAAGAGUUUUUUCACAUUAGAAUGCGAUAAAGUCAUCAUAAAAGUUAUUGACAUUUAACAAACCAAUAGGUUUCUGGUGGAUGUGCAGAUGGGCCCAAGAUGCUAGUGUCAUAAAUGCUUCUAGUGUUGCAAGAUCUCCUGGAAGGAAAAUAAAAGCAUCAGCAUGAUUAAGCAUUUCAGUUAUUCUUUCUUGCAUACCUGAGACGACUAACUCUUCUCCAGUUGAUGAGUCAGACGAACUGCCCAAUGGUUUUAGGACUCUUGGGAUGAUGCCUAACACUUGACUUCCUCUGAUAAAAGCUGCUUCUGAGACCAUUUUUGAUAACCCUCGGUUACCUCCUCCAUACACCAAGUGUAAUUUUCUCGCUGCUAUGCUUCGACCAAGAUCUAUGGCUGCCUCCACAAACUCUUUAUGUUUGCCACAGGUAAAUCCAGAAAGCACACAAAUGUUCUUGAAUUGUCUAAUGGGAGUAGCUGCCAUUGUGAUACUUCUCAAAAACAAUUUGUGAGUGCUUGACAAAAGAUAAAUCACAUUUAAGAAUCUUGGUGACAGUGGAUCACAACUGUGAAUGAGGUAACAUGUCAGUGUCAAAUAACGCGUAAAGCACGUGGCUCGCGAGUCAAAAAGGAAACAAUAAAAAAAAGAAAAAGCAAACAGUAACAAAAUUAUUAAAGACAAAAAUAAAACAACAGUGAAAUGAAAUAAAAUAACAGUAAAGUAAAAGGAUAUUUACACGUAGUUGCGACUGUGGCUCACAUCUUCCUCUGGUUUUACGUCCAGAAACGGCUUGAACGCCCUCUAUGGGUCGAGGAUAGGCUUCCUAUCCAGUUUUCUUAUAAACUGGCAAACAGGGUCGUUUAUAGUCAGAUUCCCGAGACUAUAUCGUGCAUGCUCUUUCUGGAAUAAUGGCCAUAACUGGAGAACCGCUCCUUGCACAUAUCCACUAGGAUGCGUUUCAAGAGACAAAAGGAUAUCAUCCAAUGACUCCUUAUUCAAGCCAUCCCUAAUGAAUUGAAUCUUAUAUUCCCUGUUAUCAGACACCAUUCCUAAAGAACAUGGGUUUCUAUCGCAACUCAUUCUGGCACACUUAUGACAAGCAACAGAAAUUCUUCGAGCUCGUCGUUUUCUUCCAUAAUUUCCUUUACCACAACCAGGCAUGAAUGCAAUAAAUUUUGGAGGAAACUCACCUGCCGAUCGUACUUUAGCCUCGAUUAACCAACGGAUGUCAGCAGGUAUGUUAUUCCUCAUGAGUAAUCGCAUGCGUUCGGAUCGAGCUUUAUAGAUCGUAAGGAGGGCAUUCUGAGGAAGUGAAGGGAAUCGCUUGUGAAGCUUCGCUAGAAUCUCGUUUCUGUUCAUACUUUCACCUCAGAAUGUCAGUUAUUAUGGGAAACUGAAGUAACCGACUUGAUUGUCACGGAGUACCGUUAUCCGCCACUUCACCGGGGUAACAAACUAAAGCACAUAAACAGAAAAACAAAUCAAAACACACAAAGAAAAUUAAAAUCGUCCUCUUAUUGAAUUUACCUCAAGCUCCAACUGGAUGUCGUAAACACUUCUCUCAAUGUCUCUGAGUUGGCGUUCUAAACCCUCAACAUAGGCUACUAACUCUGGUGGUUGUAGAGCCCAAAUGCGUUGUGUUUUACAAAAUUGAAUCUGCCUUUUGAGAUGAGUUUUGAUACGUUGAAGUGGUUUAAGAAUGUUCAGGAGGAACGGUCUAAGUAUGAGACUCAUGAUUAAAAAUGAUAAGAGAAAACUUAAUGGUAAAAUAAACACACUUAUGCAAAAACAAUUUCAAUUAGCAAAAGAAUAAUAAUAAAAAGAAAGAAAGAAAAAUCAAAUCAACGAAAAGAAAAAAAAUCAAUUCAAAUUUGGUGGGUCACUCAAAUUUAUUUCGGUGUCUUCUCUAUGUGGUUGGUACUCAAGAUAUGGCUUUAAUCUUUGACCAUUAACUUUAAACGUGACACCGUUCUUUGGGUCCUUAAUUUCAAUUGCCCCAUGUGGAAAAACAGUAUGAACAAUAAAGGGACCAGACCAUCGAGAGCGUAACUUACCUGGGAAUAGGUGCAAGCGAGAAUUGAAUAAAAGCACUUUCUGACCUGGAGUGAAAGAUUUUCUCAUAAUGUGCUUGUCAUGAAAGACUUUCAUUCGUUGCUUGUAAAUUUUGGCAUUUUCGUAUGCAUCAUUGCGAAUUUCUUCAAGUUCUGCCAGCUGUAAUAUUCUUUCUGAGCUGGCUUGUUGCAUGUCAAAAUUGAAUUUCUUGAUGGCCCAAUACGCACGAUGCUCGAGUUCCACAGGUAGGUGGCAAGCUUUUCCAUACACUAGCCUGUAGGGUGACAUCCCAAUCGGGGUCUUGAAAGCCGUUCUAUAUGCCCAUAAUGCAUCAUCAAGUCUUAAUGACCAAUCUUUCCUGUCUGGCCUCACCGUUUUUUCUAAUAUGUGCUUUAUUUCUCGAUUGGAUAUCUCAACUUGGCCACUGGUUUGCGGAUGAUACGGGGUCGCCACUUUGUGUGUGAUUGAAUACUUUGUCAAAAGAGCCUUGAAUGCUUUGUUACAAAAGUGGGCACCACCAUCACUGAUUAUCGCUCGAGGGAAUCCAAAGCGUGAAACAAUGUUGCUUUUCAAAAAUCCUAUCACCACUUUGUGAUCAUUGGUUCUGCAUGGAAUUGCUUCCACCCAUUUCGAUACGUAGUCAACACCAACCAAUAUGUAUUGAUGGCCAAAAGAAGGGGGAAAGGGUCCCAUGAAGUCGAUACCCCAUACGUCAAAAAUCUCAACCACUAAAAUUGGAUUUAGUGGCAUCAUGUUCCUUCGUGUAAUGCUCCUCAUUCGUUGACACCUAUCACAUGAAGAACAAAAAGUGUAAGCAUCUCGAAAUAUAGUUGGCCAAUAAAAACCACAUUGUAAAACUUUAGUCACGGUUUUCUUAGCACUGAAGUGGCCUCCACAAGCUUGUUCAUGGCAGAAUGAAAGGAUAUUCUGAAUUUCACUUUCUGGGACACAUCGUCUAACAAUUUGGUCUGCACAAUACUUGAACAAAUACGGGUCAUUGUUGAGUGUUAGAAAAUGCAUAUUUAUAAAGGAGAAAACUGUCAUUUUAUGUUUCAAGUCUUACUAACAACCCUUACUUUUAUGUAUUUAACCUUCUUGUAAUGUAAUUACGUGUGUGUUAUUUUAAUUAAGUAUUUUAUGUAUUUUAGGGGCAUUAUAGUCAUUUCACAAUAAAGGAGAGAUCAGACGGCAAAACGGACAUCACUUUUGAACUCAGGACGGUCGAAAACCUUAGGAGGAGCAUAAAAGGAAAAAUGGCACUAUUCACAUAUACGGUAGUAUUCACGUAUACGGUACUGUCUACGUUACUGUUCACGACACUGUUCACAUAGACGGAUCGAUGACGUGGCAUUGACCGAUGAUGUGGCAUUGACUGAUGAGGUGUCACGAUCCUGUUGGACUAAAAUUCUAAUGUACUGUUGAUGGUGACGUGGCAGCAUAUCAGUGGACGAAAAAUCUCGCGUACGGUGCAUGCAUCACACAUGAUUAUUUUCAACCAAACCGCGUUACUGUUCAUCCGGGUCAAACCGUGUUACUGUUCAUCCGCGUGGUCAAACCGUGGACUGUUGACUGAUGACGUGGCGCAAUCCUGAGCGUCCAAACUGUUUUUAAUCCGAUGGCCAUGAUUUACUCCAUGUAUCUAUAAAAAGGGGGCCUCCCCCCCAUAAUUUGAUAUCUCUGAAUCCAUUUUUGGGAUCCAUUUUCUGUAAUUCCUUCUCCAUCUUGUAUUUUCUUUGUAUUUUAAUAAAUUCCCUUUUUGCCCCUAGUUCAAUUAUGAGUAGCUAAUUUCUUUUCAAGCUUGGGUUGAAGGUGAAGUCUCAACAUGUGUCAUGGGCUUUAUUUGGUAAAUUUAUUUUCUUUUCCCCUCUAGUUUUUGUGGAUGAUUUGACUUAUCGUCGAUAAAUAAUAAUGAUCUUGUCUAGAUACCGCCUUGGUUACACCGGCUCUCUAGUAUAAGGUUAUUAUUAUUUGGCACGAUAAGCCCUUAGCACCAUAUUGAUUAGAGCGUGGUUCAUGAGGUGUGGAUUCCCCCCUCAUGAUUUAAUUGGCAUUAAUAUGGAUUAUUUAGCCCAUGAUGCAUGUUGAUACGGAUCCAGAUACCCAAGUACGUCAUUUCAAUAGAUUUCGCUUCAACUUAUUCUCGCCAUUGCAAUUCCAAUUUUAGAAUUUAUUAUCGCAAUUUCAAUUCCAAUUUUAGGAUAAUUUAAAUCACUUCCACCACAAUUCCAACCACCCAUUUUGCAAAAUUAAUUCUAUACACAAUUAAAAUCCACCUCCUCGUGGGAUCGACACUCGUCACCAUUGAUCUACACUACAAUAGAUUCGUGCGCUUGCGAGUUCAUUAAAAUUUGCACAACAGUCAUCCCAAAAGAAAUUCUUUAUUUCUACAAAGAAUUUAGCCUUGUCUUGCUUGGUCCAAUGCUCUGGAAAUUUACCUGUAACAAGAUAAUUAACUAUAUCAGCAUACCAAGGUAAUACUUCCACAUUCAUCAAUUGUUCAUCUGGAAAUGACUCAUUCAAUAUUAAUGGCUCUGUAAUUGUGUCAAAAUGGAGACGAGAGAGGUGGUCCGCCACAACAUUCUCUGUGCCUUUCUUAUCUUUGAAUUCCAAGUCAAACUCCUGCAAAAGUAACACCCAACGAAUUAGUCUAGCUUUUGCAUCUUUCUUUGUGAGAAGAUAUUUAAGAGCAGCAUAAUCUGUGAAUACAAUUAUUUUACAACCAAUGAGAUAAGAUCGAAAUUUUUCUAAUGCAAACACUACUGCUAGCAUUUCUUUUUCAGUAGUUGAAUAAUUCAACUGUGCAUCAUUGAAUGUCAUACUAGCAUAGUAAAUAACAUGGGGAAUUCGAUCAACUCUUUGUCCUAAUACUGCUCCUACGGCAUAAUCAGAUGCAUCACACAUUAGCUCAAAUGGUAAGCUCCAGUUUGGGGCCUGAAUGAUGGGUGAUGAUGUCAACAACUGUUUUAAUUUUUCAAAUGCAACAAGACAUGAAUCAUUAAAGACAAAAGGUACAUCCUUAGCAAGUAGAUUGCAUAAGGGUCUAGAAACUUUGCUAAAAUCUUUAAUGAAACAUCUAUAAAAACCAGCAUGCCUAAGGAAAGAUCUUACUUCUCUGAUUGUUUUGGGUGGAGGAAGAUUAGAAAUGAGAUCCACCUUGGCUUUGUCAACCUCAAUACCUUUGCUCGAAAUGAUGUGACCGAGAACAAUACCUUGUUUUACCAUAAAAUGGCACUUCUCCCAAUUUAAGACUAAGCUCUUCGCGGUACAUCUCUGCAGAACUAGCGUUAGAUGAUGUAAACAUUGAUCAAACGAGUCACCAAAGAUAGAAAAAUCAUCCAUAAAGACUUCAAGGAAUCGUUCAACCAUAUCAGAAAAAAUGCUCAACAUGCAUCGUUGAAAUGUAGCAGGUGCAUUACAUAAUCCAAAUGGCAUUCUCCUAUAUGCAAAAGUGCCAAAAGGGCAAGUAAAAGUAGUUUUCUCUUGAUCUUUUGGUGCUAUGGGAAUCUGAUUAUAUCCUGAGUAGCCAUCUAGAAAGCAAUAAAAUUCAUGGCCUGCUAAUCUAUCAAGCAUUUGAUCAAUAAAUGGUAAAGGAAAAUGGUCUUUACGUGUGACAGAAUUCAACUUUCUAUAAUCAAUGCAUACACGCCAUCCUGUAGUUACUCUAGUUGGUAUCAAUUCAUUAUCAGCAUUGGUAACUACUGUGACUCCUGACUUUUUGGGGACAACUUGUACAGGACUGACCCAUGAACUAUCAGAAAUUGGGUAAAUGAUACCUGCGUCUAAUAGCUUAAGGACUUCUGUUCUAACAACUUCUUUCAUAUUAGGAUUUAACCGACGUUGCAUUUCCCUAGUAGAUUUAGCAUUUUCAUCAAGGUGAAUGUAAUGCAUGCAGUCUACUGGAUUUAUACCUUUUAUGUUCGCUAUGGUCCAUCUUAAUGCUCCUUUGUGCUAUUUAAAACAUCCAACAACUUACCUUUUUGUUCGUCAUUUAGGGAUGAUGAGAUGAUUACCGGCAGAGUACUUUCUUCUCCCAAAAACGCAUAUUCCAAUGUGUUGGGUAAUGGUUUGAGCUCGAGUUUCGGUGGUGAUUCUGAUGAUGGGAUGAGUUUCUUCUCUGAUGGUGCUAGUUGUUCAACUCUUGACUUCCAUUUAUUAGUGUCCAUGGAUGGUGCUGAGUCAAGUAGGGCGUUGACCUCAUCAACUGAUCUGUCAAUAUCAAAAUCCAAACCAAAGUGAGUUAAACAUGUUUAUAAAGGAUCAUCACUAAGGUUUGAAAGAAAAGUAUUAUCAACUAUUGUUUCUAUUAAAUCCACAUCAACAAUUCCAUCAUCUGCACUGUGAGGUUGUUUGGCAAUGUUGAAGAUGUUCAGCUCCAUAGUCAUGCUGCCGAAGGACAACUGCAUAUUUCCAGUCCUGCAUUGAAUGUGAGCAUCCGCAGUUGCCAAGAAAGGUCGACCUAGAAUAAUAGGGAUGUGCUUCCUUGAAUCCUGUAUUGGUUGAGUGUCAAUUACAAUGAAAUCAACAGGAAAAUAAAACUUGUCUACCUGGAUAAGCACGUCCUCCACAAUACCACGAGGUAUUUUCGUGGACCGAUCUGCAAGCUGUAACACCACUGGAGUUGGGUGUAAUUCUCCCAGUCCAAGUUUCACGAAUACAGAGUAAGACAAAAGAUUUACACUAGCUCCUAAAUCCAACAAAGCAUUCUCAAUUGUGUGGUUCCCUAUACUACAUGAGAUAGUGGGGGAGCCUGGGUCUUUGCAUUUUAAAGGAAUUUUAUGUUGGAGUAUAGAACUAACAUUUACUGUUAAAAAUGCCUUCUUUUGAACAUGCAUAUUUCUCUUUUUAGUACAAAGGUCUUUAAGAAACUUGGCAUAAGAUGGAACUUGCUUUAUAGCAUCAAGUAAAGGGAUGUUAACACUUACCUGUUUGAAGAUUUCGAGAAUCUCACCUGUGGAUUUUCCCUUCUUUCCUUUCGCUAACCUCUGAGGAAAUGGAGCUUUGGGAACGUAUUCUCGUGGGUUGGUUUCUUCUUUUUCCUCCGGUGGUGAGUCCUCAACAUUCACAGGUACAAUUUGAUUUUCUUUUGUCACCGGCAUCUCCACUUUGUUGUCGACUUCCUUUCCUUUUCGCAAGGUCAUGACUGCUUUGACCUCUCCAUGCUGUUGUGGUGAACUGGUACUUGCUUCAUGUACUCCUUUAGGAUUAGGCACUGGUUGACUUGGAAAUUUACUUUUCUCAACAGUAAUUGCCAAGGUCUGAACUGAAGAAGCAAGUUGUCCCACCAUCUUCUCGAGGCUUGAAACUGAUUGGGCUUGUGAGUUGAAGCCCGCUCUCAACUCAUUUCGUAGUCCAUCAAUAGUGCGGUUCUGUUGCUCAAUCGUAGAGUGAGUAACAUUCUUGAGAUUUUGGAAUGAAUCCUCCCAUGGUCUGGGUUGAGAGUAGUUCUUGUUCUGAUUGUAUGGUCUGAAUGGUGGCUGAGAGGCUUGAGGAUUUUGAGGAAUUUGUUGCAUUGGUGGAGCUGGAGCUGCUGGUCCAUUCUGUUGGAAUCCUUGAGACCAUGAAAAAUUGGGGUGGUCUCUCCAUCCAGGGUUAUAUGUGUUGGAGUAUGGGUUGUAAUUAGAUGGCUUUCUCAUUACACCUAUGGCAUUGGCUUGAUCUGGAUAUGAGUCAGGGUCACGUGAUUCUGUUGAUUUAGCAGUCGAUAACGAUGUUAUUUGUCGAGCAAGACCUUCAACCAUCUCCUUGACUUCUUUGAUUCCCGAAGUUGACUCGCCAAUGUGAACCUCAUUCACUCCUUUAAUCCUUCUAGUAUUCCUGAGUGAUCGACUCCGUUGUUGGGAAUUGUCCGCUUGUCGCUGGAAAAACUCCCAAAUUUCUGAUGCACUUUUUGACAUUAGCUCUCCUCCACUUGUUGCCAUUAGCCAUUCUUGCACAUUCGGCAAUAAUCCCUUCAAAAAGUAUUGGUAUUGGUGCCAUUUCUCGUACCCAUGAUGUGGACACUUCAAGAGUAGUCCAUUGAAUCGCUCCCAAGUUUCGAAAAACUGCUCGUCCUCUCUUUGUGUAAACUCUGAGAUUUCCCUGCGAAUAGAAUUGGUUUUAUGCACUGGGAAAUAUUUAUUUAGAAAUUUUGUAACCAUUUGUUCCCAUGAUGCAAUGCUAUUAGCAGGCAAAGUAUUUAACCAUGAACGAGCUCUAUCCUUUAAAGAAAAUGGGAAUAAUCUAAGUUUAACAUCAUCGUCUGAAAAAUUUUCAUAUUUAAAAGUUUGACAAAUGGCAUGAAAAUCAUUCAGAUGAUUAUAUGGGUCCUCAUUUUCUAGGCCAUAGAAUGUGGGGAGACAAUUUAGCACACUAGGUUUUAAUUCAAAACUCCUAGCAGCUACAUUUGGGUAUCUUAUGCAUGAUGUGCUCAAAUUAGCUAAGGGACUAAAAUAAUCCUUAAAUGGCCUCUCCUGUGGUGCUUGUAAAUCCAUUUUAUUUUUAAAUUGUUUGUGUGUGCGAAGUGUUUUUUCUAAUUCAAGGUCUAUAGGUUCAAGAUUUGGUAAUAAUGACCUACGACCAUGCAUGCAAAACAAAUAAAAUAAAAAUAAAGAUGGGAAUAAAACGAAUAAAAAUAAAGAAAAAUGAGAAAUUACGAUACUAACCUUAUUGCGCUGUUACAACUUUUCUAUAAAAACACACUAAAACAAAUACGUGAAAUAAAUUAACUAAAAAUAAAUUAAUUAAAAAAAAUUACAAAGAAAAAUAACUUAAAAAUUAAAUUGCAGAAUUGUAAAGAAUAGAGAAAGAAAAGAAAUUAUUACCUCUAAUUGCAGAUUCACUUUUUUUUUUCUCUUUUUUUUUAUAAAAAAAUACAAGAAAACAAAUAAAAGAAAUUAUUCACAAAAAUUAAUUCUAUGAAUUAAAAUUACUUACCUCCCCGGCAACGGCGCCAAAAACUUGUUGUGCAAAUUUUAAUGAACUCGCAAGCGCACGAAUCUAUUGUAGUAUAGAUCAAUGGUGACGAGUGUCGAUCCCACGAGGAGGUGGAUUUUAAUUAUAUGUAGAAUUAAUUUUGUAAAUGGGUGGUUGGAAUUGUGGUGGAAAUGAUUUGGAAUAUGCUAAAACUUAAAUUAAAAUGGCGAGAAUAAAUUCUGAAAUUGGAAUUGCAAUGGCGAGAAUAAAUUGAAGUGAAAUCUAUUGAAAUAACGUACUUGGGUAUCCGGAUCCGUAUCAACAUGCAUCAUGGGCUAAAUAAUCCGUAUUAAUGCCAAUUAAAUCAUGAGGGGAGAAUCCACAUCUCAUGAACCACGCUCUAAUCAAUAUGGUGCUAAGGGCUUAUCGUGCCAAAUAAUAAUAACCUUAUACUAGAGAGCCGGUGUAACCAAGACGGUAUCUAGACAAGAUUACUAUUAUUUGUUGACGAGAAGUCAAAACAUCCACAAAAACUAGAGGGGAAGAGAAAAUAAAUUUACCAAAUUAAGCCCAUGACACAUGUUGAGACUUCACCUUCAACCCAAGCUUGAAAGAAAAUUAGCCACUCAUAAUUGAACUAGGGGCAAAAUGGGAAUUUAUUAAAAUACAAAGAAAAUACAAGAUGGAGAAGGAAUUACAGAAAAUGGAUCUCAAAAAUGGAUUCAGAGCUAUCAAAUUAGGGGGGGGAGGCCCCCUUUUUAUAGAUACAUGGAGUAAAUCAUGGCCAUCGGAUUAAAAACAGUUUGGACGCUCAGGAUUGCCCCACGUCAUCAGUCAACAGUCCACGGUUUGACCACGCGGAUGAACAGUAACACAGUUUGACCCGGAUAAACAGUAACACGGUUUGGUUGAAAAUAAUCCUGUGUGAUGCAUGCACCGUACGCGAGAUUUUUCGUCCACUGAUAUGCUGCCACGUCACCAUCAACAGUACAUAAGAAUUUUAGUCCAACAGGAUCGUGACACCUCAUCAGUCAAUGCCACAUCAUCGGUCAAUGCCACGUCAUCGAUCCGUCUAUGUGAACAGUGUCGUGAACAGUAACGUAGACAGUACCGUAUACGUGAAUAGUACCGUACAUGUGAAUAGUGCCAUUUUUCCUUUUAUGCUCCUCCUAAGGUUUUCGACCGUCCUGAGUUCAAAAGUGAUGUCCGUUUUGCUGUCUGAUCUCUCCUUUAUUGUGAAAUGACUAUAAUGCCCCUAAAAUACAUAAAAUACUUAAUUAAAAUAACACACACGUAAUUACAUCACAAAAAGGUUAAAUACAUAAAAGUAAGGGUUGUUAGUAAGACUUGAAAUGUAAAAUGAUGGUUUUCUCCUUUAUAAAUAUGCAUUUUCUAAUACUCAACAGUUCCCAAAUAUGAAAGAUGCUUAGGCCUCCCAUCCAUGAUAGGCCGGAAGAAGAUGAGUUUUUUCAAGGAUGUCAAAUUAAAGGUUUUAAGAAAAAUUUCCAACUGGCACCAUAAAAUGUUCUCUAGUGGUGGAAAGGAAGUUCUUUUUAAAGCAGUCGCUCAAGCCAUCCCAGCAUAUGCCAUGAGCGUUUUCAAGCUCCUGAAGGGGCUAUGUGAAGACAUCCAAAGAGUUAUAGCCAAAUUUUGGUGGGGUUCGAAUCAAGAUAAGCAAGCAAUACACUGGUCGAGAUGGGAAAAAUUAAGUUGUGCAAAGAGUAGAUGGGGGCUGGGAUUCAGAGAUUUUACCAGCUUCAAUCAAGCAAUGGUGGCUAAACAAGGUUGGAGGCUGCUUCAGUUCCCGGAUUCCCUGGUAUCCAAGUUACUGCAGGCCAAAUACUACAGGAACUCCUCAUUCUUGAAUGCAAAGGAAGGUUCUAAUCCUUCUUUUAUCUGGAAAAGCAUCCUUUGGGGUAGGCUAGUUAUAAAAAAAAGGGCAAGAUGGCGAAUUGGGAAUGAGAGCAAUAUUCGGGUGUACAAAGACAAUUGGCUGCCAAGAUUGGAUACUUUCAAACCGAUAUCCCCUCCAACAUUGCCCAUGGAAACAACAGUGGCCAAGUUGAUAACUGAGGACAGCCACUGGAAUGAAGCUAAGCUAAAGCACCACUUUUUCGAGGAGGACACAGAAGCAAUACUCAAAAUUUCCCUCCCCCCAAGCCAUAAAGAGGAUUCCUUACUAUGGCAUUUUGACAAAAGAGAGGCAUACACUGUAAAAAGUGGCUACCAGGUGGCUCUCAAGCUUAAAUUCCCAAAUCAGGCCAGCAGCUCAGCCAGCCCCCCCCCCAAGAUGGAAUAAUCUGUGGUCUCUUAACUGGCCUGAAAAAAUCAAAAUCUUCAUGUGGAGAGCAUCCAAAAACCUUUUUCCAACAGCUGAAAACUUGUGGAAAAGAAAAUGUCUCCAAGAUCCAAUUUGCAAAAGAUGCUGCAGAAGUGUAGAAACCACUUACCAUGCUCUGCUAGAGUGUAAAGCAACGAAGAAGAUCUGGAAUCAUGCUCCUCUCCAGCUGAUAAGAAGCUACGCAGAACUAAUCGUGUAGCCAAACCCAACAGCAAGUACAUGGAAUAUGCAUGGGCACGUCAUUAGCCAUGCAACGUUUGAGAUGAUGAUCUGGAGCUGACUUCUUCAAAUUAACCGUUGCUUAUUUGGAGGAGAUCUUUCAUGCAAGUAUUUGUUUUGGUAUAUUUUGGAAUAAUAGUCAGGUUGUUGAGAUGUUGUUAACGACUUGAUUUAGUUAGCUUUGUUCAAGCCUUGUUUCACGGCUAAGGAAAUUAGUUUUGUAUUAGACUAUAAAUAAGCUCUUUUAUUCAAUAAGAAGAUCAUCAGAUUUUUAUUCCAAAAACAUUAUUUGUGGUAGUUCUCGCCCAAAGAAGAACAAGCAAUUUACUUUGUCAAUUCUGCUAGUUUUGACUGGGACCUCUAUUAGUGGUAUCAGAGCUAGGUUAGGAUGGCAACCAACAAAGAGCGUAUCGAGCGAAUAGAAACAGAGGUCGGAGAUAUACAAGACAAGAUGCAACAGUUGGAGUUGGGGAUCAAUGACAAAUUGGCACACAUUGAGGCAACAUUAAGCAAGCUUGCGGACUCAAUCAAUACUUCAAGAGGGUUGCCAAGUAUCAACAACAAUACUGCAUCUUCACGACUGGGCCGAGAAGUCAGUACAGGAGGGCCUCAACAUUUCCAAUCCAAGGUAGCAAAACUAGAAUUCCCUCACUAUUCGGGCGACGACCCCACCGAAUGGUUCAAUCGUGCAAGUUAGUUCUUCGAAUAACAGGAAUCAACAGACGAUCAGAAAGUGGUUCUAGCGUCAUUCCACUUGGAGGGGGAAGCAAAUCAGUGGUGGCAGUGGCUUCGAAGGUCUUAUCAAGAUGAAGGCAAAGUCGUGACUUGGGAGGUGUUUAUGGAGGAGUUAUGGGCAAGGUUUGGACCGACAGACUGUGAAGAUUUCAACGAGGCUCUCUCACGGGUUAAACAAACCGGUACUCUCCGUGACUACCAGAAGGAAUUUGAACGACUCGGAAACCGUGUUCAAGGCUGGACACAGAAGGCACUUGUUGGAACAUUCAUGGGAGGGCUUAAACCAGAGAUAUCUGAAGAAAUUCGGCUGUUUCGACCGAGGACUCUUAAGGAAGCAAUAAGCUUGGCAAGAAUGAGAGAUGAGCAACUGACCCGACAACGGAGACUGUUGAGAUCACCAAUCCUCACUCGUUCACCAACGGCUCAAGUCACCAACCAACGUGCUUCACCAACAGUACCCUUUAAGAGACUUUCUUGGGAGGAGAUGCAAAAACGCAGGUCACAAGGAUUAUGUUUUAACUGUAAUGAAAAAUUCUCUGCAGGUCAUAAGUGCAUAAAGGCGCAAUUGUUAAUCUUAGAAGCAGAUGAUAACGAAGAGUCCACGGAAACAACGCAACAUGAGUAUGAGACGGAAGAGCACGACAAACCUAAAAUAACAUUCUAUGCUUUGGCGGGUUAGGCUGCUCCUCAGACAAUGCGAGUGAAAGCUAAGAUUGGGCCACACGAGAUUAUUGUACUAGUGGACAGCGGCUCAACGCACAAUUUUAUCAACUCGCGUUUGGCUAAUAUGCUUCAGCUCCCAGUUCAACCGACAUCAGCAUUUCCAGUAAAAGUGGCCAAUGGAGAGAAAGUUAUUUGCCAGGGGAAACAUGACAAGGUACAUGUUUUAAUUCAGGACAUCCCUUUUGAACUUACUCUCUACUCAUUGCCGAUUACAGGACUCGACGUGGUGCUUGGUGUCCAAUGGCUUGAAAGCUUAGGGUCGGUGGUUUGUAAUUGGAAACAAUUAACAAUGGACUUCGAUUGGGAUAAUGCUAAGCGAAGGUUGCAAGGGCUGGAUCCACAAACAAUUCAAGCUACAACAUUAUCUGAAGUUGCCAAAGAUAUGAAACAAGGGCACAACGUGUUUGCUAUAUGUCUCUAUUUAAACAAUGAGGAAUCAUAUACAGUAGCACCGGCCAGCAUGAGGAGUUUGCUAGAGGAAUAUUCCGAGCUGUUCGUGGAACCCAAACAACUCCCACCAACACGGGAAAUCGACCACCAAAUCACUCUUAAAGAAGGAACAGAACCAAUUAAUGUGAGACCCUACCGGUACGCUUAUUUCCAAAAAGCGGAGAUUGAGAGACAAGUGAACGAAAUGCUGUCUUCCGGGCUCAUUCGACCAAGCACCAGCCCCUUCUCAUCACCGGUACUCCUAGUAAAAAAAAAGAUGGCAGUUGGAGGUUUUGUACUGACUACAGAGCACUCAACAAGGCCACAGUAAAAGACAGAUUUCCAAUACCAACAGUAGAAGACAUGUUAGAUGAAUUGCACGGUGCAACAUUCUUCACCAAACUAGACCUCAGAGCCGGCUACCAUCAGGUACGGCUAAACUCAUCAGAUAUACAUAAGACGGCUUUUCGCACACACAAUGGCCAUUAUGAAUAUCUGGUCAUGCCAUUCGGCUUAUGCAAUGCUCCCUCUACUUUUCAAGCAAUUAUGAAUGCUAUUUUUCGGCCCCAUCUUCGGAAAUUUAUAUUGGUAUUUUUUAACGACAUCUUGAUUUAUAGUCCCACGUGGGAAUGUCAUUUGAAACACGUUAGACAGACCUUGGAAAUUCUUAAACAACAUCAAUUUUUUGUCAAGGCUAGCAAGUGCAAUUUUGGCCAGCAAGAACUUGAAUAUUUGGGACACAUCGUCACUUGCCAUGGUGUGAAGGUGGAUGAACAGAAAAUUGCAGCAAUGGUGUCAUGGCCAAAGCCACGGAAUAUUACAGAGCUAAGGGGAUUUUUAGGCCUAACAGGGUAUUAUCGCAAGUUCGUUCGUGGGUAUGGCCUGUUAGCCCGGGCCCUAACCAAUCUUCUUAAGAAAGGACAAUUCGGGUGGAAUACUGAAGCUGCAACAGCAUUUGAGCAAUUGAAACUUGCCAUGACUCAAACUCCAGUACUUUCUAUGCCUAAUUUUAACGAUGUUUUUGUUAUUGAAACUGAUGCGUCCGGUGAUGGCAUAGGAGCAGUACUGCAGCAAAACGGAAAACCAAUAGCUUACAUGAGUCGAGCGUUGGGUAUAACAAAAAAGACUUGGUCGACAUAUGCGAAAGAGAUGUUGGCAGUGGUAGAGGCGGUCAGAUUUUGGAGGCCUUAUUUACUGGGACAACGAUUUGUGAUACAAACAGAUCAAAAAAGCUUAAAAUAUCUCUUGGAGCAGAAGAUAGCAACUCCUGAUCAACAGCAAUGGAUGGUCAAACUCAUGGGUUACGAUUACGAAAUCCGAUACCGCCCCGGCAAGGAAAACGCUGCUGCCGAUGCACUCUCUAGAAGAACUGACAGCCCAACUCUUAAUCAUCUUUUUGUACCGCAGGUGUCACUAUGGGGAGAAAUUAAAAAGGCUAUGCAUGAAGAUGAUUAUCUAAAGAAGAUUGCACAGCAAGUUGAGACUCAACCCGACGGCCCUUACACGGCAAAAAACGGCCUCAUAUUCUUCAAAGGCAGGGUAAUAGUUCCGCGAAAGAUGCGUGACUUAUUAUUAUUUGAGGCCCACAAUACGAAAAUAGGAGGGCAUUCCGGAGUCCUUCGCACUUACAAACGCUUAGCGCAGCAAUUUUAUUGGCCCUCAAUGUUUCAAUCUGUUCAUGAUUAUGUAAGUAAGUGUGUUGUUUGCCAGAAGACGAAGAGUGAAACGCUACAACCAGCAGGGCUUCUUCAACCGUUGCCUGUUCCUUGCCAAGUGUGGGAGGAUAUUUCUUUAGAUUUUAUUGAAGGGCUGCCUAAUUCACAAGGAAGAGAUACAAUAUUUGUGAUAGUCGACAGGCUCAGUAAAUAUGCAUUCUUCCUUUCCUUAUCUCACCCAUUUACCGCUAAAUCUGUUGCUGAAAGAUUUGUUGACGGAGUGGUAAAACUACACGGCAUGCCCAAGAGUAUUGUAAGUGAUCGGGAUCCAAUAUUUAUUAGCAAAUUUUGGAGUGAAUUUUUUACACUGUCAGGCACACAAUUAACGAUGAGUUCAGCCUAUCAUCCGCAAACGGACGGCCAAACAGAGGUUGUUAACAGAUGUCUGGAGCAAUAUUUACGCUGCUUUGUCCACCAGUGGCCACGCAAGUGGAACAUGUAUCUGUCGUGGGCUGAGUUUUGGUACAAUACCACUUUUCAUGUAUCCACCGGAAUGACCCCUUUUCAAGCUCUCUAUGGCCGGCCUCCACCUUCUGUCCCCAUGGAUUCGAUCGGGUCUUCACCGGUUCACGAAGUCGAUCACGCCUUACAGACCAGAGAUGAGUUAUUGCGGCAACUAAAAUCUAACCUUGCUGCAGCGGCUAAUCGAAUGAAACAAACGGCCGACAAGAAAAGGAGGGAUGUCGAAUUCAAAGAAGGAGACAUGGUGUACUUGCGCUUGCAUCCGUACCGGCAAUCUUCAGUUUUUAAACGUGCACAUCAAAAAUUAUGCAACAGGUAUUUUGGACCAUAUCAAAUAAUUCAAAAAGUGGGGCCUGUCGCUUUUAAGCUCCAGUUGCCAGAAGGUGCCAAGGUCCAUUCUACAUUUCAUGUUUCAGUACUAAAAAAAGCAGUGGGAGAUUCGACAGAGAGCAGCACGGAGUUACCUCCUAUAGAUGAUGAAGGUGUGCUGGUUUUGGAGCCUAAAUCAGUUCUGGACACUCGGUGGCUUAAAAGAGGUGGUACUGUUAUUGAGCAAAGUCUGAUUCACUGGAACAAUCAACCAAUGGAAGAGGCCACUUGGGAAGAUACUGUCGUCAUUAAGCAGCGGUUUCCUUCGCUGACCCUUGAGGACAAGGGUCCUCUUUCAUGGGGGAGUGAUGAUAAGAAGCUACGCAGAACUAAUCGUGUAGCCAAACCCAACAGCAAGUACAUGGAAUAUGCAUGGGCACGUCAUUAGCCAUGCAACGUUUGAGAUGAUGAUCUGGAGCUGACUUCUUCAAAUUAACCGUUGCUUAUUUGGAGGAGAUCUUUCAUGCAAGUAUUUGUUUUGGUAUAUUUUGGAAUAAUAGUCAGGUUGUUGAGAUGUUGUUAACGACUUGAUUUAGUUAGCUUUGUUCAAGCCUUGUUUCACGGCUAAGGAAAUUAGUUUUGUAUUAGACUAUAAAUAAGCUCUUUUAUUCAAUAAGAAGAUCAUCAGAUUUUUAUUCCAAAAACAUUAUUUGUGGUAGUUCUCGCCCAAAGAAGAACAAGCAAUUUACUUUGUCAAUUCUGCUAGUUUUGACUGGGACCUCUAUUACCAGCCCAAUUUUCAGAAUUCUCCAAACCAGAGCAUCCUCAGCAUCAUCCAAAAUAUGCCCUCCAAUAUGCGGAAGUCUAAUUUCGAUCUCUUGAUCUCUCUAUGUUGGGUGGCUUGGUAUGCUCGAAACAAGUUUAUUUUCGAAGGUAAGAAGAUAGACCCAAGGCUCUCUGUAGCUAAAGCUGAAGCAGUGAUUGAUGCUUUCCAAAGAGCUAGGAAGCCUGGAGCCACUCAUAUCCAUAACAGCAGCAAAGUACCUCAGCAUAAGUGGAAUCCCCCUCCGAAGAAUGUUGUCAAGGUUAACGUGGAUGCAGCCAUCAACAGCAAGAGUCAAAUGGCAGGCUUAGGAGCUGUAAUUAGAGACUCAAAGAACAAAUUUGUAGCUGCAGGCAUCAUGCAAACUGGUUUGAAGGAGCAUGUCAACUAUGCAGAAGCUGAAGCCAUUGUAUAGGGUUUAAAGCUAGCUAGAAGGGCAGCUCUUUCCACUUUGAUCAUAGAGUCAGAUUGCCUAGAAGUGGUUGAGUUAGUAAACAACAUAAAGAGCAACAAAACAGGACAAUGGUGGAUAAUUGAAGAGAUCCAGAACUAAAAAAGUGAGUUUUGUAAUGUAAUUAUCAAUCAUAUCCCUAGAACCUAUAAUGUUUGUGCUCAUUCCCUAACAAAACUUACUGUGGGAGCAAAUACGCCUGCUGUCUGGUUAGACCAUAUUCCAACAGAGGUGAUGAAUGUUCUGAUUUAGUGUUGUUUUUAAUGGAAAGGAUUACUUUCUUCAAAAAAAAAAAAAGAAUAAGAAGAAAGCAUAAUGCGACCCUCCAACAGCUUAAUCUAUGGAAUUAUCGUGUUUUGUAAGUUAGGGUCCAAUGGCGUUUUGGCACAUCAUAUGAUAGACCACUAUAUUGCGUUGCUUUACAAAAGAUUAAUAUUUUUAAAAUUAUUAGGUAAGUUUAGGCUCAGUGGCACUUUAACUCAUGAUAUGAUAGUCCAGGUUUUCGAGGACCACUAUAUUGUAUUGAUUUAAAAAAAAAUUAAUAUUUUUUAAUAUUAAUAUUCUAAAUUAUAUUCAGUUAAAAUAUUAAAUAUUAAAUACAUUCUUAAUAUUAAUAUUCUUAGACGAAAUUCUUUUGCUGGCUUAAGAAUAAAAUAUUAAAUAAUUUUAUUUUUCUUUUAUUGUGUAACGUGGACCCAAAAAAAAAAAGGAAAUGAAUUUAAUAAAACCUUCAUUCCGCCACCAUCCAUGUUAAUUGUUUCCAAAUUCCAACCUCCGUACUCUCUUGAGGAGUUUCCCAUUCAUCAAUUAUUAUUUUUUAUAAUCCAUACCAUCCUGAUAUAAUUAAACACCAUUAAUAAUGUACCAGCCUUUAAAUAGUAAUUAAUUUAUUUAUCUAAUUCACCAAAUGUUUUUUCCGGUACAUAUCUCCAUUGGUAUCAAGAAGAAGCAGAACCCAAACAAAUGUUUCUUGCAUCUUCAUAUUUGUGCAAAUUCAUCCUUUCAUUGAGAAUAACCAUUUCCAGGCAGCAGUUGGCAAUCAAUUCAUGCGCACGUCGAUGCUAUUCAUAGAUAUUAAAGACAAUGAUGAACCAAAGGUGAUAAAUCAUAAAUGCAUAAUUACCAAACCUCCAUCCUUCUCUCAUUAUGAUUUGAUUUUAAAUGAAUUAUUGCUUGGUAACAUUAUUUCCAACCAUUGCAAGCCCUUUUUUUUUUUUGGGAGAAAUUUCAAUUGAAAGUGAAACCUUUAGACAUUUACCUAAUGAAGUUAGUUAAUCGGGAGGGUGGAAAAAAAAAAGGUUGACGCAAGUCAAUACACAAUAAUUAAUUAAAUCCGGAGUGACUAAAACAGAGCCACGACUUUUUCAAAAAUAUCUGCAUUCAUCACUUUCUCCUCGUUUGUUGUCAUCCAAAAUUAUUCACCAAUACCAUGGCUGAUGCAAUCGUUUCCACUAUCUUGGAGCAGCUGAUUUCCUUCGCUGCUGAAGAGAUAAAACAACAGGUGAUCGAAGUUACACCCCUCAUAUUACAAAUACUUCCAAUGAUUUUAAUUGGUUUUGUUUUUAUCAAAAACAUUAUAUAUUUUUGCUUUAUUUUAUUUAUCUGGUAAUUUUAGAUUUUGAAAUUUGAAUUGAAUUUAAUUAAAAGGUCAUGUAGUAACCACUUAUUUUUAUUUUAUUUCAUUUAUAUUCUCAAUAACUAACCAUAUUUUGGUAACUUAAUAUAACUCUCGUACAUAAGAAAUGAUCAAAACCCACAAUUUUAACUCUGUAUAAAUAUUCAACGUUGAGUCAUUAAUUCUCAACUCAGCACUGAAUCCCAAAGCUAUUACUUAGACUCUAUGAAAAAAUUCAUAGUUUUCUUACAUUCUUUGAGUUUGGUAAGUGAUUUCGUAUAAUUUCUUUUCAAGUUAAAUUUUAAUUUGGUUUAUGAUAUAGUCUCUGUGCCGAAUUGUAUCUUUUAUGAUUCUUGGAUUUUGGGCUCCAACUUUUUAGGAUUUGAUAGUCAUAUUUUAUGCCAUGCUCAGAUUGAUUUUCAUGAUUUUUAGUAGCCGUUAAGUGACUUACAAUUUGACGAAAGUUUGAAAGGAAAAAUGUUUCAGGAUUAUGUUUUAAUUGACCUUUUAGUAGAAAUAGGAUGCUUAUAACUUAAUGUGGAUGGUUCGUAAAAUCAUGAAAUUUGGAUAGGAUUCACUAGAAAUAUGUACAAGACUCUCCAUAAAGUUUCAUAAUUUUUCAUUCGGUAUGGGGUGGCACAGGUGAAACUUGUGUUUGGUGUUGAAAAAGAAGUGAAAAGCCUUACCAGCCACCUUCAAGCCAUUCAAGUUGUGCUCGAUGAUGCAGAGGAAAAGCAAGUGAAGGACAAAGCUGUUAGUCUUUGGCUGGGUAGGCUCAAGUACGCAUCCUACGACAUUGAAGAUGUGUUGGAUGAGUGGAUCACAGCAAGACGCAAAUUGCAAAUUGAGGGUGGCGUUGAUGAAAAUGCUCUUGUUGUUCCUCAUAAGAAAAAGAAGGUAUGUCUCUGCUUUCCCAGCUCUUGUUUUGGAUUCAAACAAGAAGAAUUUGGUUUCAAACAAGUCUUUCUCCGUCAUGACAUUGCCGACAAGAUCAAAGAAAUCAAUGAAGAGCUACAUGAUAUUGCCGCUCAAAAAGACAUGUUUGAUCUUGUUAAGAGUGGCAAUAAAAGUAGUGAAAGACCAAGGCGUGUACAGAGUACCUCCUUGAUUGAUGAGGAAGAGAUUUGUGGUAGAGUUGGUGAGAGGAAUGAACUCAUAAGCAAGCUGUUGCGUGAGAGUAGCGAGCAACAAAAAGGCCUCCAUAUCAUCUCAAUUGUUGGUAUGGGAGGCAUAGGGAAAACUACUCUUGCACAACUAGCUUGUAAUCAUGACGAGGUGAAGAGAAAGUUCGACAAAAUUCUGUGGGUGUGUGUAUCAGAAACUUUUGAGGAGUUUAGGGUAGCCAAAGCGAUCGUUGAAGUUUUGGAUGGUCGUGAAUCUCAUUUAGCUGAAUUCCAUUCUCUUCUUCAACAUAUUUAUGAAUCAAUUGCAGGGAAGAGCUUUCUUCUUGUCUUAGAUGAUGUGUGGGAUGGAAAUUACUUGAAAUGGGAACCAUUCUACCGUUGUCUAAAGAAUGGUCUCCAUGGAAGUAAAAUUUUAGUUACCACACGCAAAGGGUCAGUCGCAUCCAUGAUGGGAUCCACAGAUAUUAUCUCUGUCAAGGAGUUAGCUGAAGAGGAAUGUUGGUUGUUGUUUAAAAAGAUAGCAUUUUUUGAUCGGUCCAUCGAGGAACGUGAAAAAUUAGAACAAAUUGGGCAAAGAAUUGCAGGCAAGUGCAAAGGUUUACCUCUUGCAGCAAAGACAAUAGGGAGUCUCAUGCGUUCUAAACAAACUGAAGAAGAGUGGAAAAGAAUUUUAAAUAGUGAUUUAUGGAAAGUAGAAGAGAUUGAGAAAGAUGUUUUGUCCUCUUUAUUGUUGAGUUAUAAUGAUUUGCCAUCUAGAGUAAAAAGAUGUUUUUCAUAUUGUGCUGUCUUUCCAAAAGACUACGAUAUAAAAAAAGACGAACUAAUCACAUUAUGGAUGGCUCAAGGUUAUCUUAGUGCAGAACAAGAUGAAGAGAUGGAGACAAUAGGUGAAGAGUAUUUUGGCAUCUUAGCUUCUCGCUCGUUUUUUCAAGAGUUUAAGAAAAGUUAUGAUAAUCGGAUUAUAGCGUGUAAGAUGCAUGAUAUGGUACAUGAUUUUGCCCGAUUUGUAAGUCAAAAUGAAUGUUUUUCGAUGGCAAUUAAUGGUAGUGAAGAACCAAACGCCACAAACUCUCUUGAUGAAAAGGUCUGUCAUUUAAUGUUAAUCUUUAGUAAAGGGGCUUCAUUACCUGUUUCCACUCGUAGAGUUAAAAGAAUGCGUACCCUCUUAAUUAGCGCUAGUGGAUCUGAUCAUUCAUCAUUAAAUGCUGAGAUCGUAGAAGAAUUAUUUAGGGAAUCGACAAGUUUAAGGGCAUUAGAUGUUAGCCAGGUGUCUUUGCCUACAGAGAUUUUAAGAAAUAUAAAAAAGCUGGUACAUUUAAGAUACCUUAAUUUGCGUUUUCCGAAAAUAGUGAAACUACCGGAGACAUUGUGCGAGUUAUAUAAUCUAGAAAAGUUAGAUAUUAGUUAUUGUUUUAAUCUUAAAGAAUUACCUGAAGGGAUUGGGAAGUUAAUAAACAUGAAGCAUUUACUAAAUAGAGGUACUAAUUCUUUAAGGUACAUGCCAGUAGGGAUUGGGAGAUUAACGGGUCUUAGGACCUUGGGUGAGUUCCGCGUGAGUGCAGGAGGAGAUGUUGAUGGUAGGAAAGCAUGUAGGCUUGAAUCUCUUAAAAACUUGGAACACCUUCAAGUAUGUGGUAUACGUAGACUGGGUGAUGUAUCAGAUGUGGGCGAGGCUAAGCGAUUAGAACUUGACAAAAAGAAAUACCUCUCUUGUUUGAGACUUCGGUUUGAUAAGAAGAAAGAAGGAGGAGAAAGGAGGAAGAACGAAGACGAUCAACUACUUCUUGAAGCCCUGCGACCAUCUCUGGAUUUAAAGGAAUUAGAGAUACAGUUCAACCGAGGCAACACUGUUUUCCCCAGCUGGAUGACGUCAUUAACCAACUUAAAGAGUUUAGGUCUCUCUUUGUGCGAAAAUUGCGAGCAGUUGCCUCCUUUGGGAAAAUUGCCAUCCCUCGAACAGCUCUUCAUAUCGUACAUGUCGAGUGUGAAAAGAGUGGGUGAUGAAUUUCUGGGGGUAGAAAGUGAUCGUCAUGACUCAUCGUCAUCUUCAUUAGUUAUUAUUGCCUUCCCCAAAUUGAAAUCACUUAGAAUUGAGGGAUUGAUGGAAUUGGAGGAGUGGGAUUAUGGGAUUACAAGAACGGGAAACACCGUCAUCAACAUCAUGCCCCAUCUUUCUUCCUUGGUAAUUGAUAGUUGCUACGAAUUAAAGGCACUGCCCGAUCACAUUCAUCAAACGACGACAUUGAAGCGAUUGUGGAUUUUGAAUUGUGGGCCUCUGGGAGAACGUUACCGCACGGGGGAAGGAGAAGACUGGCCUAAUAUAUCACACAUUCCCAACAUACAUAUUCGUUAAGAAGGAUUUGCGCAUUUGAGAUUUGGCGUUGACAAGUAAUUUCUUCUCUUACUCUGAUUUGCUUUUGUUGUUGUUUUUAAUCUAGUUAAGAAGUGUAAAUAGCAUUUUGAAUCAAACUCUAUAUCAGAAAUCUGCAAUACAUACUUUCUAAUAUUCUGAUUUUCAUAUCCUAUGAAUAUACGAUUUUUAAUUUGUGAGAUGGGUAACGUUACUGUAAAAGAUUAUUAAUGCAAUAUGAGUAAUUCUUUUGCAGGACAAGUGACCUACAUUUAGUUUGGCUUUGGAGUUGAAUAAUAACCUUUCGAGGUCCCGACAAACAAAAAACGAAGCUUAAUUUGCCACAGAUUGCACGUAUUGCCAUUAUUGACAAUUUUCUGCACAAGUGAUCGAGGGUGAGGUCCUGUCCUGAAUAAAGCUCUCGUGACUGAACUUAGGUUGAUGUCAAAAGAGGUAAAUUAUCGGCAUGCCUGACUAUUUUGACCAUUACAUGAUUCAUAAAUUGAGUGAUUACUUUUCAAGGUUUGCUUACUUAACCGGGUGACCAAUUUCUUGUAACUAAAUGUAUGAUAUGAAAUGAGAAGCUUAUUAGUGGAAGGAUUGCCUGUAACAGAACCCAAAGAAAAUGAAACCAUUUCAAGGCAGCAGCCGGCAGUUGGGAGUGAAUGGAGGGCCUUCACAAAAUUCUCAAGCAGUUGCAAUGCAAUUACGAUCAUCCUCAGCCUCAGGUAAUUUCUUCUCCUGCUUUGUUUUUAUUUGUUACCUAAUUAAGAAGCAUUAUUUGUUUUUAUUUGUUACCUAAUUGAAGGACAAGUGCUGAAGAGUGGGAAUGGUGCUAUAUUGGGGAAUAAUGCAGGAGGAGGUAAAUUAUUGGGAGUUUCUUCAACCUUGUUUUCUUUGAACCAGCGCCUGAUCCACAAGACUCCGUUAAUUUGGCUUUUGAUCGGCUGAUUGAUAAAUUUUCAAUUUCUUUUGUGAUAAAUGUAUAUGUGAAGCAGGCAGCAGGACAUGACUGUGGAAAAGAGAAGAUCUUAGUGAAAGCUGAGACUCAGAUAUUUCUACAAAGUAUGUGUUUUGGCUGAUUUAUCUAAUUCAUGAAAUUUUAUUUCCAUCUGUUACAAGAUCAAACUGAAGCAGAACUCAAAGAAAAGUAUUCUACUUCUUACGGCAAUCUUGCCUUCGUUCAGAUUAUGGAACCAUUUCCAUGCAGCAAAUUCAUCCAAAAGUUUGAAUAAGUUUCAUGGUUGGACACUGUUGGCUUCUUUUUCUUUUGGGGUGCAUUUAGGUGCUAUCAAGUGACAGCCGUAAGUAUGAUUGCACUAAGCUGCUGCUGGGAAAUUCGAGGUUUUGAUGGCUGCCCACGUUAUUGUCAAGAAACUCCUCAUGUAAGAAGUUGUAGUUCUUUUCAUCAGCUUGAACCUAAAACUGUCGCUAUUGAUAACUCAGGUUUUUGUUAUCAACUAUAUCAUCUUUUUCACUGUUUUGAAACUCUUUAAGAUUAAACUUCAGUAAAGUUCUUUCAGUUAUCCACAUAAUCAGGCUGAGGAUACUUUAGUAAAGUUGCUUCAGCUAUUCAAAUGAAAAAUCUCAUUGAUUUGAGACUUCCUUCAUUAUUGUUUUUGAUUAAAAUGCUAAGGGUCCAGAUAAAAUAAUAUUUAAUUGGUGGAAGGUGUCCCUUGGAAGUACAUCAUGAUUAGCUGUUGUGCUAAUCAUGCCAAUGCAUAAUUCGGCCCCUAAUGUGGGUACUCUGUUACAUUGUUCUGCAAAUUCUCCAAAAAAGUUAAAUCAAUAAAUUUUGUAUUAGCUAGAUUAGCUCUAGGUUGUGAGGAGUCUGUCAUAUGGGAGAACCCAUUUCCAGAAAAUAUCUGGUAUUUGUUCCAGUCUUCUAAUGAAUGAAAGUUAUGAUUCCUUUUCAAAAAAAAAAAAGAAUUUUGUAUUAGUUCUAGUGCGUUGACCUAAAUGCUAUUCUAUAUUUUAGUGCCUUAAUUCUAGAACCUUGGCUCCUGCCAGAGCAUGCGGAGAUAAUGGUAGGGAGAGUGUUUGUGUAUUUUAACCAUGAUAAAGCUAAUGUUCCCAAUGAUUUCUGCUGGUGAGACUUGUGAAGAGGGUGAAUGAGGCAACUGCUAAUAUUCCUGGGUGGGAUACAGUAACUAGAGGCUGAGAUCAGGUGGUGGAAUUUUUUGUUUGAUCGAUGAUACCAGAAUUGUCCACAAAAAGUUUGUUGAUACAAAUUACAGGUGAUAGAAAGAGGUAUAGGUGGAGAAGAGAAAUCUGCGAGUCAAAUUAGGGAUAAUUGAUUUGCUGAUGCAAGUUACAUUGAAUAAUAAUAAUAACAAUUGCAUGAAGAUCCCUUAUUAAUCUUGUGUUCUCCUAUCUUUUACAUUCAGCUGGUAUACUUAAGCCUUGCUUGUGGAAUGUUUUAACCUUUAAAUUCACUACCCCUGGAUGUUGGAUUUUCUAGAACUUCAAAAUGAUUAAUGGAGAAAGAUCCCAUUAUCGAUAUCGCUAUAAGAAAUUUUAUUUAUACUUCCAAAGAUACAUUAUAUAUUUAUGUGUAUCUCUUUAUACAUGACAUUUAAGCAUCCAUAAACUGUCAGACAGAGGAAGGGGGUUGAGUGUAAAGAUUCUGUUGACCUAGGGGUUGCCUGCUUAAUGUCACUUGUUAGUGAUCUAUUAUUUAUUUCAUAUUUUGAAGAAUUUAAAGGGCAAUCCUGCUUGUUUGUGUUGUUAUCUCCUUCUAACUUACGGUCGUACCUAAAGAGCAUAGUUUCAUAUGUGUUACCCUGAGAUGUACAGAAUUUCACAUUUGCCUCAGAUUAAGCUUAAUUUCCCACAGAAUAGAGCUGUUGUGACUGAACUUAGGUUGAUGUCAAAAGAGGUAAAUUAUUGGCAUGCCUAGAUAAUUUGACCAUUUCCUAAUUCAUAAGUCUACAUUAAUUUUGAUUUUGAGUUGACUGAUUUCUUUUCAAGGUCUGCUUACUUAACGGAGUGACCAAUGUUUUUCAACUAAAUUUAUCAUAUGAUGCAGGAAGCAGGGCAGGAUAUGAAAUGAGAAGCUCAUUGGUGGAAGUAUUGCCUGUAACAGAACCCAAAGAAAAUGAAACUAUUUCAAGGCAGCAGUUGGCAGUUGCAAGUGAAUGGAGGCCCUUGCCAAAAUUCUCAAGCGGUUGCAAUGCAAUUACGAUCAUCCUCAGCCUCAGGUAAUUUCUUCUCCUGCUUUGUUUUUAUUUGUUCUCUAAUUAGGAAGCAUAAAGUAUCUUGAAUCAUUUUCUGUAUCUGGAAUAUAUGCAAGAGUUUCUAAAAUUUUGAUAUGAGUGUAAUGAUGGUAAUUUCUGUUUUCUGUCUGUCAUCAAAUGUUAGAAAACUUUCAUUGAGACCCUUGAACCGAGUCAUUUUUGACAAGUGAAGUGCUGAAGAGUGAGGAGUAAGAAUGGUGCUAGAUUGGGGAAUAAAGCAAAAGGAGGUAAAUUAUUGGCAGCUUCUUCAGCCUUAUUUUCUUUGGACCAGUGCCUAAUUCACAAGUCUCCGUAAUUUGGCUUUUGACCAGUUGAUAGAUAAAAUUUUAAUUUCAUUGGUGCUAAUGUACCCGUGAAGCAGGCAGAGAAGGACUGUGGAAAAGAGAAGGUUUUUAGUGAAAGCUUAAACUCAGGUAAUUCUAAAAAUUAUAUGUUUUGGCUGAUUUAUCUAAUCAGGAAAUUUUAUUUCCAUCUGUUACAAUAAAACAGAAACAGAACACAAAGAAAAAUAGUCUACCUCUUGUGGCAAUCUUGCCUUCAUUCAGACUAUGAAACCAUUUCCUUUCACCAAUUUCUUCCAAAAGUUUGAACACGUUUCAUGGUUGGACAUAGUUAGCUUCUUUCUCUUUUGGUGCAUUUAGGUGCUAUCAAGUGACAGCCAUAAGUAUGAUUGCAUUAUUGGGAAAUUUUAGGUUUUGAUGGCUCCCCAUGUUAUUGCCAAGAAAUUUUAAGUCCUCAUGUCAGAAGCUGCGUUUCUUUUCAUCAGCCUGAACCCGAACCUGUCACUAUGGAUAACUGAGGUUUUUGUCAUCAACUAUAUCAUCUUUUUCACUGUUUUGAAACUGUUAAGAUUAAACUUCAGUAAAGUUGUUUCAGUUAUCCAUGUAAUCAGGCUAAGGAUAUUUAGCAGCUUAUUUAGGCAACUGCCAGAAUUUAGUUUGUUCGCUCGAAACUUGUAUGGUGACAAGGAUACUGGCAAGGAUAGUGAGAUAGUUUUUUGUGUGAGUGAAUUUUGAAAGCUUGGGUGUUCUGGGAUUUGCAAUUGCAAUCAUCCUCUGCUUUAGGUGAUUUCUUCUCCUGUUCUGUCUUUAUUUUCUCUCUAAUUGAAAGCAUUUCAAUCAAAUUCUGUACCAGGAAUACGAAAAAUUUACUAAUAUUUUAUUUCCAUCUGUUUGCAUUGAUAACUUGGCCGCAUAUGUACUAGUUAAAGAACAAACAGAAGCAGAGUUCAGGAAAAAGUUUCUUCGGCCACCAUAUUUGAAAAUGAAACCAAUUCCAGGAAGCAGUUGGCAGCAAAUUCAUACAAAGUAUAGACAAUGAUGUGCAAAAAGGUGAUUCGCAAUUUCAUUUUUUUAAAAUGAAAUUAUUUGUUAAGUUGGAGCUGAUAUUGUUAGAAGGCCAUUGAGCUAACCUAUGACACUGCUUGCCUAGAUUGCAGGAGGUCAAGGCUCAAAAGAUGCACUGAAUUUUAAAAGGCAUGCAAUAAUUCUUAUGGCCAUUUGUCAAUGGUGGAAUGCUUUUAGCUUCUUUUCCUUUCGUGCAUUUUGGGGUUCUAUCAAGCGACAGCCGUAUGUAUGGAUGGAUAUAGCUGCUGCGUUGAUUUCUAAUGCGGUGGAGUAAUCGUCGUUAGAAUCUGAAUGAUAUGUCUAAGACGUUGCAUGCAUCAAGAAAAUUGCAGAUGAUUAAACCUUGCCAUCUAUGCGUUGUAUGAGGUUAUAGCAACUAUCUAUCUGGUCACCGUUUUAAAAGAAUAAGACAAAGGGAAAAAGAGAAAGAAAAGAAUGAUUCGACAAUGGCAUUAAAGUUCAACAUACCCCAAGAUCUUGUAAUAAUGCCAUUAAUCAUUUCUAGCUAGGCUAGCCUUAGAGAAAAGUGAAACUGUUGCACAGGUAGAAUCACACCCCUCAGAGAUAAUGUGUUUUUAUUCAGCUCUUCGAAUGAAUGAAGUUUAUUUUCUCGUCAAAAAAAAAACUGCUCGUUCCGCUGGUUUCAUACAAUGUCAACUAGAAACAUCAUACUUUCGUAUAAGUUCAUUAUUGUUUCUUGGAAAUAUCAGAAUAUUUCUUAGAGUUUGUAUAAAAUGAAAAGAUUUUAAAAUAUAAAUUUAAUAUUUGUUUAUUACCGUUGUUUGGUCUAAUUUCCUCGGGAGAAUUUUCAGAAUUUAUAGGACAUUAGUUUAUAAUUUGCGCAUUGACAUAUAUCUUAUUUUAUCAUUUUGAAUGAAUUGCACGGCGAGGCUUAUCAACUUUGGAUGAAUCCUCCAAUUGUCGCAGUCCAAGACUGGCUGCAGUGAGUGAAAAUUUACCCAUAUAUAUGCUGGCUAUUUUUAUUGGCGACGAAUUCGUUGUAGUUGGUCCAUCUUGCUAUUCUCGGACAAUAUUAGAGAAAAUAAUCAUAUUAUUUCGCGUGAUGUGACCUUCCAUAACUUAUCAAUUGAAUUACUGUAAAAUUAUUGUGUAAGUUUAGGCCCAAUGGCACUUUAGUUCGAUAGCCUGGAUUUAAAAGGAAAACUAUAUUGCAUUGCUUCAAAAAAAAAAAAUUAAUGUUUUUAAUAUGAAUAUUCUUAACUAUAUUCAGUUAAAAUAAUAUAUUCUUAAUAUUAAUAUUCAUAGAUGAAAUUCUUUUGUGGAUUUAAGAAUAAAAUAUCAAAUAGUUUUAUUUUUCUUUUGUUGUGUAACUUGGACCGAAAAAGAAAAUGAGCUUAACAUGACCCUCCUUCCGGCACUAUGCAUGUUUUUCUUUUAUUGAUGACAGUGCUCUUGGUGCUUCUCAUCUGCUUCUUGCUUUGGUUUCAAACAAGUCUUUCUCCGUCGAGACAUUUAUUGUAAUUUGAUUUGGAGACAUCUGUCGUUCAAAUAUAUUUCAUAUGCAAGCUGUUGAUAAUUCUGCUUGAGAAAGCCUACAAAGCAGCUGUGUGAUGUAAUAGAAGACUAUAUAUGCAAACGGUCAUCAGUUUCUCUUGAAUUCUUUCUUGAGUUUCUUUGAAUUAUUUGUGAAUGAGUUCUUAAUCGGCUGCUGCUCUUCAGGAAAAGGAAAGUGUUGCAAACUGGUGAAGCUGAUCGAUAAAAGCAAUGUACCAUCUUUGCUGGCAUGGAUCGAUGCCAGUGAGUUUUUUUAUUUGUCAACCUUUUUAAUAAUGCAUAUGUUUUUCUUCAACUUGAAGCGGCAUAUAAGACGAAAGAAGUGAUCUUUAAAGCAUUCUAUGGCAUUAUCCUUUCCUAUUAUAUAUAUCCAAUUGCUCCAAAUUAUUUGUAAAUUACUGAACACGAAUGCUGAUGAAUAAACUGAUGGCUCUAUGUAUGUAUGCACAUGCAUGGAGAAAUUUUAAGUCAGACAUUCUCAUAUAUAACUCGUGGGACCAAAUCAUUAAAUAAUCUUGAAAUCAAAGUAAUAAUUAAAUACAAAUAAAUUGCUCGAAUUGUACAUAUAUCUGAAUCAUGUAGUGAAGAAAAUACAACAACAACAACCAAUGGCUCAAAUUCCCCAUCAACUUCUAGUCUCAACACUUUUGAGUGUCAGAAGCAUUACUCUGCUACCAGUUAACAAACAUAUAAUUAGUAAUUUGCCAUUCACUUCCCUUUUAGGCCUAACACAUUUUCUAUAAAGGAGCCACAGAGUGAACUCAGCAGGAAACACUCAAUUUCAACCUACGUAGGACCAGGAAUUUCAACAAAAAAAAAAGUGUGCAAUUGCUUAUCCUAUCCUAUUGCUACUAGAAAGAAAGUGAACAAUUAAUUUCAGUGAAUAAAUUAAAAAAAAUUACUUCUGCAGAUACUCAAGCUAAGAACACAUUAACCCAUUAAAGACUCCAAAUUGCAUCAAACAAAUUGUUGUUAAACAAGUAAAACAAAGAAAGAGAGUUAAGGAAGCUGACCUAGUAGUAGGGGAGCUGAAGAAAGACUGCCAGUGAAUGUAAGAGAAAAUAAAAUGCAAGAAAUGGUGAAGUGCAGCUUUUCAUGUCAACUUGAAAUUGUUUCUUCUGUUUUUUGUAAUCUUUUGGAUUUUUCAAACAAAGAAAAUGAGGAGCAACCAGGGAGAUAAAAAGGGCGCCAAGGCAACUGUGUGUUGGGUUUAGAGCCAAAAAAAAAAAAGAAUAAGACAUCGUGUUCUUGUGGAGACCAGACCUAUUACGUAUAGGGAUGGCAAUGGGGCGGGGUGGGGGUGGGGAUGCCUACCCCAUUCCCCACCCCAUUAAAAAUUUUUGCCUCCAUUCCCCACCCCAUUCCCCAAUAAAUUUAGUGGGUUGGGGAUGGGGAAUCCCCACGUGGGGAAUGAUUCUCCCAUCCCCACCCCAUUCCCCAUUUACAUAUUUUAUAGUAGAUAUAAAAAUAUGAUUUCAGUAAAUUAAAAAUUAGAGACUUAAGAUAAAAUCAUCACAAUAUUAUAAAGUAUUUAAUUUUAAAAAAAAAUCUCUAAAAAUUUGAAACAAUAUCUUAAAAUGAUAUUAAAAGUGAAAAAUAUUUAAAGAAAGCAGCACCUUAAAAGAGAAAAGAAAAUAUAUUAAUGUUUUAAAGUUGAAAAAUAUUGUAGAAUUUUCUUUUAUUCAUAUUCUAUUUAUAUUACAUAAAAAUUAAAAAAAAUUAUUAAUUGACAUUAUAGUUGAUAAAAUAUAAAUUAUUAAAUAAGAAUUAAAAACAUAUUUAUAUAUAAUGGGGAUUGGGGUGGGAGUGGGGUGGGGAGUGCAAUACCAAACCCCACCCCGUUAACAAUUUGGGGAUUAUUUUUUCCCCACUCCCCACCCCAUUCCCCAAAAAUUAUUAAAAAAUUUCCCCAUUUGGGGUGGGGCUCCAUGGGGCCCCAAACCCGUGGAGGAUUUUGCCAUCCCUAAUUACGUAACGUCCCCUUCAAUACCACUUGUUCCGUAUCUGGUUUUUUCUUCGUCUUUUACAUAUUUAUCCUGUGAUUUUACAAUAACUAAAUAAUCCCCGCAUAGUUUGCAAUUUUAUUCAUUUGGGCCCUACAGAUUUCAGUAAUAGGAAUUAUUAAGGGACAAGAGCGCAAAACAGAAACUCUGUCCACUACUGAUGAUAUAACAACGAACCUUUGUAGUUUCUGCCUGUUAAUAUGAAUUGAUCAGGAGUGUUUCCUCACUUACAAAUUACGAAUUUACAAAAUAUGUAUGUAAGUAUGUGUGUACGUACGUGUGUAUGUAUGUACAUAUAUGCAUACACCUAUGUAACAUUUACUUAUACAUUCUUUUGAGUUUAAAUCUUAAUACACAUUUUCAUGAAAUUUUUAUUUUAUUAAGUAUACAACUACAUACAACUACAUUAAUGUAUAUAUUUUUUAUAUAAGACAUGCCGUCCUAUUAUUCAUAAGUAAACAAUGUGUUGUAAAUAGUAUUCUGUGUUUUCUCAAAGUUGACUUUUCGUCUUUUAUUUUCAGACGCAGACGCUAUGUCAUUUUGUAAUCUUCAAAACAUAUGCAGAGCAGAAUUGGUGUUAUAUGAUUUUGUGAUGCAAUAAGAUUUGCACUUCCUGUGCACUCAAUGGAAUCAUUUCUUUGUAACUAAUUGGGUGGUGGAAUGGUGGUCAAAUAUCGAACGAAGACAGAUCUAUCAAACUCCAGAAACAGGGAAACCAUGCCACGCUAGUAGACAAUAUGCUAGUAUGAACAAACUUGUUUGAAUGGCAAAAACGACAUGACCUGCUGUAGUAUUAGUUCUUUCCCGAACCAAAGGGUGAUUUGCUACGUUAGAUCAUGAAAAUUGAAAAAAAAAAUUAACCAAAAUAAAAAUUCUUACGGUAAGAAUAAAAAUUCUUAAGGAAUUAGUUAGUUAAUUGAUUGAUCGAAUUUAAUCUAAAUUGGAAAAUGAUAAGAUAAUUUUGAAUUUUUUAUUAUAAUUAUUAUUUUAAAGUGGGGUGGGUUUAUACAAUUUGAGGCUUUGAGCGGUGUAAAUAUCACUGCUGAAUUAUUAAAUAUACAGUGUAAAAUUUUGACCUUUAAAAUAUUCCUUUUUUUCAUUUAGCACUAUAAGUUUAAAAAUUUAACAUUUUACCUCAAUAAUUAAAUACUUUUAACUUUAAUCUUCAAAUAUUUACCCUACAACAUUCGGACCUAAAUUUUUAAUCCGACUCGGCCCCUGACCCAAGUGGGAAGAAGAUCAGGCUUAUAAGUUAUAACUAUCACCAACAUAACAUCUUCUGGAAAAUAAUAAGAUUACUCACCUGCAAUUAUGUGAUCAAACUAAUGGUAAGCAAAAUAGAACAGCGUUAUUUCAGUCCCCUUUCAGUUUCUUUAUCAUUUUUCUUUUCCUAUUUAUAAGCUUAAUUCGGUCCAAUAUCGGCUAAUUCACUUUGAUUUCACUUUUCUUUCUUUCGGUUCAAAAAAAUUGAACCCAUUGGCUGUCAAUUCAAUUUUGUUGAAAACCAACUUUGCCUGAAUUUGAGUAAUAAUAGAGGAAAAAAAAAGUGUACUUAGCAGAAGAGAUUUCUCAUUUUUUUCUCAUUCAAACUUCUAAAAUAAAGGGAAAAAAAAAACAAGAGUAAUUGUUAAUUAUCAAAAAUUUGUUUAUACUAUUCCACCAAGAAAAUUAUAAAAAAAAAAUUUAAAAAUUGGAGAAGAAAUAUGAGGUGAAAUACGUGGAUGGCUUAGACUAAUAAUGUGAACAAAUUCCUCUCGGAAACAUGUCAUUGUUCAUCCGGACAACACGCGGCAAUGAGAUUCAAGAAUUAAAUGAUAGGAAUCAACUGUAACCUCAUAAACAAAUGGCCUUGGAGUUGUAAACACCAAGCUCGGCAGAUUAAUUAAACAAGAAUAUCCGAAUUUUCUAUGAUAAUCUCUAGGAAACGAUCAGCUAUAAUAUACGAAAUUAAAAUAUUGCAUAUAUUUUUGAACUCAUGCAUUAAUUUCAAAAAUUAUAUCGUAUUAUAAUUUAUUCACAAAAGAAAGAAAAAUUCACUAAUCAAUUGAAUAAAUAUAAGUAUUUCAUCCAGUGUAAUACUUAUAUCAAUUGAAUAAAUAUAAGAAAAAUCACCAAAAUUCACUAAUCAAUUGGAUAAAUAUAAGUAUUUCUUCCAGUGUAAUUUUUGUUUAAUAGAAAAUCUAUUUGAGAUUUUGUGAGAAGAAACUCAACAAUAAAGUGUGAUAGACUUUGUGGGUAUUAAGAGUUUGACAAGUAUUUGAAAUCUGAAGUUUACGAGCAAACAAACUGAAAUCCGAAGUUUACUGAAGUUUACUAUCAAGAGUUUCAAAACAGUGAAAAAGAUGAUAUAGUUGAUGACAAAAACCUGAGUUAUCCAUAGCGACAAGUAACAUACUGAAGUAAGCCGUUGGGAGCUGGCCUGUUCAUGGGCUAUUUUUCUCUGAUGAUCUGCAUUUUUCUUCCUUUUAAGUGAACCUUGACUCGUAUCAAACCUGUCAAAAGAACAGUUCAUCAACUGAGCUGAGAUUUGCUUUCCUUUUUCAAAACCCACCUGAGAUAUUGUAAUUCCCAAAUUUCUCUCUCUCAGCUACACGAGCAAGCAGCCGCUUUUUCACUUCAUCGAAGAAGGUAAGCGAUAUAUCUAUUUCGUCCGAUUGAUUUCUUGUUUCCUUUUCAGUGUUCCGGUAAAUUAUUGGCAUGCCUGACUUUUUGACCAUUACACGAUUCAUAAAUUUAUAUUAAUUUUGAUUUUGAGUUGACCGUUUACUUUUACAGGUUUGCUUACUUUGACUAGGUGACCAAUUUCUUGUAACUAAAUUUAUGACGUGGGCAGGAUAUGAAAUGAGAAUCUUAUUAGUGGAAGGAUUGCCAGUAACAGAACCCAAAGAAAAUGAAACCAUUUCAAGGCAGCAGUUGGCAGUUGGCAGUGAAUGGAGGCCCCUGACAAAACUUCAGUAAACUUCAGAUUUCAGUUUGUUUGCCCGAAAAUUGCAUGGUGACAAGGAUACUGGCAAGGAUAAUGAGAUAGUUUUUGUGUGAAUGAAAUUACGAUCAUCCUCAGCCUCGGGUAAUUUCUUCUCCUGCUUAGUUGUUAUUUGUUACCUAAUUAAGAAGCAUAAAGUAUCUUGAAUCAUUUUCGUUGUCCGGAAUAUAUGCAACAGUUUUUUACGAUCAUCCUGAAUGACUACUAGAGACAGUCAAGCUAAUGACUAUAAAUUAAGCGCUUCUUGGGAGGUAACCCAAGCUUUCUAAACUUUAUUAUUGUCAAUUUUUUUUCAUAUUUUUUUCUUUUCUUUUACUUAUUUUAUUUUGUUUUAUCUAGAUUUUGCACGAGUUCGAGGGUCGAUGAACAUCAACUUUCCACAUGUCUUUCAACGGCUUAGCUACAACUUUACAUCUUCAAGUGCAAAACCGGGGGAGUUUCUCUUUUCCUUUUCUUUUUCUUUACAUUGAGGACAAUGUUUAUUUUAAGUUUGGGGGUGGGAAUAUUUGCUUUUCAUUUUUUUCCCAAAAAAAAAAGAUUUUAAUGCCUAUGAUGAGUUUAUGAUUGAAAAUGAAUAUGGUUCUUAGAAAGGGAUGAAUAUUAUCUUAGUUUAUACUUGAUUCUUGUGUUAGUUUCGUCUUGAUUGAGAUUCUUUAAAGCGAUUCUUUUAGAAUUUUGACUUGAGAUUUGAGAUUGAUACAGCCUAAGUUGAGAAUUUUAGAUUGAGUAAAUGAUUGUUUGCCUCGAUUCUACAUUACUUAAGUUUACCCAGGCACCAUAGUCAGAAAUAGCUACCUACAACCCUUAAGAGUGAAGCUAUCCUCGAGUAAUUUGGGCCUAUGUAUCACCAGUAUGUAGAGGAUAAUCUACCAUGAGAAGAAGGUUACCUUAAGGGGUAGAGUGAAAGCUCCUGACUAUGGACAAAGAAAUGAAAAAAAAAAAGAAAAAAAAAAGAGCACGAGCUUCAAGAAAAAUCAAAAGAAAAUGCUAAUUUAUGCCUGAGAAAAAAAAAAAAAGAUCAAGAUGAUGAGGUUAGUUUGACCUACCCUGUUUAUUAUUCGAGACAAGGGCUGUUGAUGUUGAAGAUCUUGAGAAUGAGUUUUGAUUGAAUUGAUUCACACACAACACAUGAAUCCAAUAUGAGAUGAGGCUGACCAUUGAAUUAAAGUUAGAACUUUGCUAGUAUUUUUAAUUUUCUUUGAGCUAUAUACUUUAUGCAAUCUUUGAGGCAUUUUUUAUGAUGUUUGUGGGUAUCAUCGCUGGAAACCCUCACGAGACUAUAACUCGUCCACUAGGGCCGCCUAGGGGUUUAAAGGCUUGUUGCAUACGCUAAAUGCAAUCGCGAUCACCUGCGAAAGUGGUUUAGUUAGAAUUUUCUUUUCGUAGUUUUUAUUUUAGUUUUUGCUCGAGGACUAGCAAAAUGUUAAGUUUGGGGGUAUUUGAUGUGCUCAUAAUUUAUCUAUUAUUUUAAUGCUUCCAUAACUUAAUUUUAUGUUAAAUUAUAUUUUAUUAUAUUAAUUUUUAUCUUAAUUUUUAUAUUUUGUCAUUGUAGGAAUAUUGAGAAUAUUCAUGAGAAAAGAAGCUUAAAGAGGAAACAAGUUGGAGUAUAAUGGAAAUAAUGUGGAAGCAAGAGGGAAAGAAAUAAAAAGCCAAAUCAAAGAAAAUUUAAUUUAAGCAUCAUGCAUGCAGUCACGUGAUGAAUAAAGGAAGAGAAGAAAAGGUCAAUAGGCUUUUAAUUUCAAGCUAGUUACGUAGAGCCCAUUUGACAAUUUAAAUGGCAAGCUUACAAUAUAUUAAAGGAAGCAAAUAUUUUGGCAUUGUUUGAAAAGGCUAUUCACGUGGAUGGGCUUUGGUUUCAAUUUUGAUUGGCUUAGGAAUGAAAUAGGCGGCUGGGCUUUUGUUUUUAAUUCCUUUCAUAAGAGGAUUUGACAAGCCACAACAUUAUAAAAAGGGAAAAGCCAAGCGGAAGCCAAAAAAAAAAAAAAAAUAAUAGAGCAGCAGCCGCAAGUUUUGAGCAAAACCGAGAGCAGCAUGAAUAAUUUGGAGCAGAAGGAAGACACAUUAAUUCUUGAGUUUUUCUUUCUCUCUUCUCUAUUAUCUUAUUUGAAUGUUUCCCAUUAAAUUCAUGGAUUAUCUUUAUAUUCCCAUGAACUAAUUUAUUUUACUAGAGCUACGAUGUCCUAGUGUUUUAAUCUCUUGGUGAUUUCUAUUACUGCUUGCAUCUUUAUUUGAUUUUUAGUUAUUUUAAUUUUUAAUUUAAAUUCGCUUAUUUGAUUGUUCAAAUAAAUUAGGGUUAGGAUAAUUUCGGUAACUAAUAGGAUAUUCAAUCUCAGUGGGAUGAUACUCUACUCUUCACUAUAUUACUUGUGCCGACUAGUACACUUGCUAAUUUAUGCAAUAGUUGACAGUUGGGAGUGAAUGGAGGCCCUUGACGAAACUUCAGUAAACUUCAGAUUUCAGUUUGUUUGCUCGAAACUUGCAUGGUGACAAGGAUACUGGCAAGGAUAAUGAGAUAGUUUUUGUGUGAAUGAAAUUAUGAUUAUCCUCAGCCUCAGGUAAUUUCUUCUCCUGCUUAGUUGUUAUUUGUUACCUAAUUAAGAAGCAUAAAGUAUCUUGAAUCAUUUUCGUUGUCUGGAAUAUAUGCAACAAUUUUUAAAAUUUUGAUAUGAGUGCAAUGAUUGUAAUUUCUGUUUUCUGUCUGUCAUCGAAUGUAAGACAACUUUAUUAAGAUUCUUGAACCGAGUCAUUUUUGACAAUUGAAGGACAAGUGCUGAAGAGUGGGAAUGCAAAAAGUUUUGUUGUUUUUAGCCUUGUUUUCUUUGAACCAGCGCCUGAUUCACAAGACUCCAUUAAUUUGGCUUUUGAUCAGCUGAUUGAUAAAUGUUCAAUUUCUUUGGUGAUAAAUGUAAUUGUGAAGCAGGCAGCAGGGCAUGACUGUGGAAAAGAGAAGAUUUUAGUGAAAGCCGAGACUCAGAUAAUUCUACGCGUUUUGGUUGAUUUAUAUAAUUCGUGAAAUUUUAUUUCCAUCUGUUACAAGAUCAAACUGCAAUUAGCAAUUUAACAUUCCCUUAAAACCACUAGCUACAUUUCAUCUUUGCACAAUUACACUUAAAAUUCCACUAAAAGAAACUCUUGAGUUGCUCGCAAGCUAUAUAUCAUUAUUCAUUGAAUUCUUACUGUUGAUGCGAGAUUCUGGUUACACUCUUCCGGCUACCAGGAUAUCUGCUCGAUCAACCUCACCUCGACUAGGAUCUCUCCUCGUAUGCUUUCUUCUCCAAGUACUCAUGCGUUCACAGAAACAAGUCAGAGCACGCCGGUUGUUUUCCCGGCGUAAACCCUCCGACGCUCAAGUCAGAUAUGAAGGCUUUGGGAACGCUUGCCACAGAUCUUAUGGCUUUGUAAAUAGUUUUCUCUUCUUUUCAAUUUCCUUAAUCUCUCUUCUAAUCUCGAAAUUGCUAACCCUUUUACCUUCGCUGGCUACCUUUUUAUAGGCCACUUCUGAGCCCAGGCCUUUUUCCCUUUGCGCUCGUCAUCCUCCCACUUCUCGAAAGUGGAUGCUCCAUUUCCGUAGUCGUGGGUGGUUGCGUGGCCCUCGUGCCUAGAUUCUCGGACUGGAAAGCAUGCCACGCCAACUGUCGUUGACCGGGUCUUCUCGAAUCAACCCUUAGCAGGAAUACAGCAGGAAUGGCUUCAGGCUUCUUAUAGGAGAUUGGCCUCGCGGAUGACGUGCUCGUGGACGAGCAGGGUAUUCCUGCUCCUGCUCCUGCUCCCCCGGAUGCCAGGCUCUUACGGGACCCAUCGGCUCGCAGAACUCUACCAUCAGAUAUCUGCUCAUCAUGCCUGGUCUCGUCGACGUAUUUCUCCUAAACACCGGUCCCCCAGUUUCUGGUGUUGGGUAAUGUAGUGGACCAGCAGUAGAAACUCGACAGUACUUGCUCGCGUGGGGUUGGAAAAGGCUUCCAAGAGUCAUGUCGCAUUUAAUUGCGGACGAGGUGAUGUGGCAGAGAUCUAACCCUCCAUUUGAAUUUCAAACCAACGGUUACGAGACCCUUGGGAUUUGGUGCCGUUAAAUGCUGGCAACCCAAGAUUUCGUCCCCAUUAGGAAACCCAAAUCCUUUCGAACGACAAAUUCAUCAUUCACUCCGUCUCCAUCUCUGUCUCUCCGGCAAAGAAGUUCCAGCAUAAAGGCCUCCAUCUCUGUCUUUCACCGACUGAACCAUUACUUCAGGUAUUUCUUCUAUUUCCUUAGUCUCGGAUAGUUGUAGAUAAUUUCUCUUCUCUUUUGCUUGGGUAGUAGUUGGUGGUGGUGUUGUGGUUAGAGCUUAGGGAAUGUCGAAAGGCAAAGAGAAUGUCAUUGAGGUUGACGACGAUGAGUUGGACUUCCUGCCUAGUUUGCUCACCGAUCCUGCUUUUGACCCCGGGAUCCCCUUAGAGCUCAUUAGAUCUAGUGUUGGCACUAGCGCUAGGAGGAUGUCCCCCCAAACAACCUCCACGAGUGGAAGUAGUGGUGAGGAGAGACCCUCUGGCUCGGAAGACACCCUAAGUGAGGAUCAAUGAGGUGACUCUGGGGAGGGGUCUUCACCAGGAACACCGCGACCAGAAGGGUGUAGUACAGUAGGAGGUAGAGCCUUGUCGCGGGAUUAUGCCAUUGAUUACAUGACCUGUACGACCACAUUCAACGAGCUGGAUGACCUCCGGCUCAGGUAUAGCAUUCCUGGUGAAAUUCCUCUCAAGAUCCCAGGAAAGAAGGAUACACCUAGCCGGCCUCCUCGGGGAUACGUUACCCUAUUUUUGGAGAGUUUUAGGCAUGGGCUGAGGUGUCCCUUGCAACCCUACUUUGCCCGGAUUCUUAACGGGCUAAACCUAGCUCCUGGUCAGCUGAACCCCAACGGGUGGAGAGUGCUCUCUGGUCUGUUCAUACUGUGGGACAGAUGUUGUCAAAGCGAGCCCACGGUCGACGAGGUGAAGCACCUGUACCAACUGAAAAGCAGCCCCAAAGACGUCGGCUGGUAUUACUUCCAAUCAAGUACCAAGAUCAGAAAACCCAUAACCGAUCUUCUUACUGGUGAUGGUGGGAAUUGGAAGAGGAAGUUCUUCUUCGCAGGGGGUCCCUUGUUGUUUGCACUUCACUGGUUUGUCUCUAAUCAAAUGUUUGUUUGUGUUGCAGGUUCUUGGGGUGUCCACUUCCCGCUUAAACCUGACCAGCUCAAACGAGUCGAGGCUGUACUAGCCAAUUCCUGCUCGAACCGAGAGCUGUUAACUAUAUACAACUUGCUCGAGUCUCGCUUGAUGCUUCCUGGCCAUAGGAUGGAGGACGCUGUGAUUGGGGCUCUGACCAGGAAACGUUCUCGACCUCCAACCACGAAGAGGGACCAGAGUAAGGACGCCCCUACUGCAAAGCGGGCCAACGUCGUGCAGCAGGUCUCUCCCUUGAAGACUUUACCUCCUGCUCCUGUCAAAGUCGGGGAAACUAGUGGAGCAGCCACAGAUCCUGCUUCCUCUUCUUCUCCUGUCGGCACUCGGUCUCGCUUACCUGACAGCCGAUCAGAACAAUUGGUCCCCUAUCUCAAUGAGUUAUCUAACCUCGUGAGCAAGAAUGACAUGGAGGACUUCGAUGGCUGCACCUUGGGUGAGCUGGUGGGGGCCAUGCAGUAUAGCGCUUUUCACCUCAGCUGCAUGACCACCUAUUACAAGGCCAAGGUUGGGCGCUACGACCGAAAGAUGAAGGAGGACAUUCAAUCGGCGACGACUAGAGCUGGCGUUGCCGAGAAAAAGGCAGGGGAGCUGAAUGUUGAGAACCUCAAGCUGAUGGAGCAGGAAUCUCUUGCUCAAGCAAAAGCCAUUACCCUCGAGGAGGAGCUGACCAAGGUCAAGGGGGAUCUGCAAAGGCAGAAGGCCACGUAUGAGGCUCAGCUCGAAUCCCUCCGCGACUCCCACCGGGCUCACGUCGAGAACUUGGAGAGGGAGGCCAAGAACCAGUAUGACCAGGGACUUCGGCAUUCCUAUCGUUGCAUCAUGGCCGUCCUCGGGAAGCAGCACCCUGAUCUGAAGAUGGAUGAUCUUGCAGUUGGUGUUGCUCAACAUAUGGACGAGGAAGCGGCCAAGGAAGAUGCCGAAGGGGUAGAGCCGAUCGUGAUUGAGGGGGAAAACUCUCCUCCUCGCACAAUCCCUGCUGACGUUGGCGAGGCGAGCACCGCUACUGAUGUUGGCGAGGCGCGCACCCCCCCGGACGCAACUGGUGAUACCCCCCCCCCGCACCUGAGGAGGUCCAGCCAACCAAUGCUGCUCGGCUUACUGAUCCGCCAUCUUCUUGAUAUAUUUCUUGUAUUGUAAUGAACAACGUUGAUGGAGAUUAUCUCCUCUGUUAAUUAUUAACACAUAAAUAAAGAUGUUUUUGAUUAUUUUCGUGUUGUAAUCAUGAGUUAUUUUUCGUUUAAUAAUCUGCCCGUCAUCGUCUGGUUGAGCAGGUUCUGGCCUGGCAUAUGGUUUUACCACAUGCCCUAGAAAAUUCUUCAAUGAUUGAGAUUCUGCUCGCCUUCGCGUGGUCGAGCAGAUCCUGGCACGCUUGGCUUCUGUCUCGCCAUAAACAGGCUUUGAGACUCGACGAGCCUUUGCAUGCCUUAGAAAUAUUUUUUUUUUUCGAUGCUUGGGGGUUCUGCUCGCCUUCGCGUGGUCGAGCAGACCCUGGCACGCUUGGCUUCUGUCUCGCCAUAAACAGGCUUUGAGACUUGACGAGCCUUUGCAUGCCUUAGAGAUUUUUUCGAUGCUUGGGGAUUCUGCUCGCCGUCACGUGGUCGAGCAGAUCUUGGCACGCUUGGCUUCUGUCUCGUCAUAAACAGGCUUUGAGACUUGACGAGCCUUUGCAUGCCUUGGAGAUUUUUUCGAUGCUUGGGGAUUCUGCUCGCCGUCACGUGGUCGAGCAGAUCCUGGCACGCUUGGCUUCUGUCUCGCCAUAAACAGGCUUUGAGACUUGACGAGCCUUUGCAUGCCUUAGAGAUUUUUUCGAUGCUUGGGGAUUCUGCUCGCCGUCACGUGGUCGAGCAGAUCCUGGCACGCUUGGCUUCUGUCUCGCCAUAAACAGGCUUUGAGACUUGACGAGCCUUUGCAUGCCUUGGAGAUUUUUUCGAUGCUUGGGGAUUCUGCUCGCCGUCACGUGGUCGAGCAGAUCCUGGCACGCUUGGCUUCUGUCUCGCCAUAAACAGGCUUUGAGACUUGACGAGCCUUUGCAUGCCUUAGAGAUUUUUUCGAUGCUUGGGGAUUCUGCUCGCCGUCACGUGGUCGAGCAGAUCCUGGCACGCUUGGCUUCUGUCUCGCCAUAAACAGGUUUUGAGACUUGACGAGCCUUUGCAUGCCUUGGAGAUUUUUUCGAUGCUUGGGGAUUCUGCUCGCCGUCACGUGGUCGAGCAGAUCCUGGCACGCUUGGCUUCUGUCUCGCCAUAAACAGGCUUUGAGACUUGACGAGCCUUUGCAUGCCUUGGAGAUUUUUUCGAUGCUUGGGGAUUCUGCUCGCCGUCACGUGGUCGAGCAGAUCCUGGCACGCUUGGCUUCUGUCUCGCCAUAAACAGGCUUUGAGACUUGACGAGCCUUUGCAUGCCUUAGAAAUUUUUCACAGUUUCAAGUGAAUGAAAUUCCUCGACGUUCCAUUAAUUGUAGGAUUCAACUUACAUGAAAAUGUUUGGUCGUAAAAUAAAUAACAGCAAAUACGAACAGAAAGAUCUUGAAAAUAUUAACGACUCUUACUGGAAAUAUUUCCUGAGAUGUGCUGCGUUCCAUGGGCGCUUCACCUCGUGGCCAUCCAUGCGAACCAGCUUGUAAGCUCCUGGUCCCACUAGCUGCUUGACUCUAUAUGGCCCCUCCCAAUUUGGACCGAGCACUCUUUGAGUCGAGUCUUUGGUGUUCUGAUUCACUCUCCUUAACACCCAAUCUCCGACCUUGAACUGCCGUAUGUUCACCUUCUGGUUAUAAUACCGGGCAACCCUCUGCUGGUAAAUGACUGAUCGCUCGGCUGCUUGCUCCCUCUUUUCCGUUAGCAGAUCAAGAUUCAAACAUAUCUGCUCGUCGUUCUCCUGUUCAUUGAAAUGAUAUGUCCGGUGCGUGGUCGUUCCUAUCUCAGUUGGCACGACCGCUUCAUGUCCAAAAGCCAAGGCGAACGGUGUCUCCCCAGUUGCUGUUUUGUGGGUUGUUCUGUAUGCCCAUAGCACACCUGACAGCUCAUCAACCCAUGCACCCUUUUUUGCUCCCAGCCUGGUUUUCAAAAGCCUCUUGAUGGUCUUGUUGGCUGCUUCUACUUGUCCAUUCGAUUGGGGGUGAGCAGGCGAGCAAUACUUCAGCUCUAUUCCGAGGUUCUGGCAGAAAUCCCUGAAGCUGUGAUUAUCGAAUUGUCUGCCAUUAUCCGUUACCAGGGCAUAAGGGAUCCCGUAUCGACAGACCAGGUUUCUCCACACAAAGUCUGUUGUUUUCUUCUCUGUGAUCUUGCUAAGGGCUUCUACCUCUAUCCAUUUCGUGAAGUAGUCUAUAGCAACUAUUGCAUGUGUUGCUGCUCCUCGUCCCUUUGGCAGCGGGCCGAUCAGAUCAAUUCCCCAUUGAGCAAAUGGCCAAGGGGAGGCCAUAGAGGUGAGCUUUUCUGGUGGUUGGUUGGAGAAACUUGCAAAACUCUGGCAACUUACACAGCUCCUGGUCUUCUCCUGUGCAUCCUGGUGCAUUGUCGGCCAGAAAUAUCCCUGCCUUAGAACCUUGUGGGCCAGGGACCUCCCACCAGAAUGAUUCCCGCAAAUUCCUUCAUGUACUUCUCUCAGUACGUAAUCUGCGUCGUCCUCAUCCAAACAUCGGAGGAAAGGUAGUAUAUAUCCUCGCCGAUACAGUACCCCAUCAAUCAUCGUGUAUCUUGAGGCCUGGGCUCUAACCUUCCGAGCUCGCAGCUUAUCUGGUGGUAAUACCCCGUCUCUGAGGUAUGAAAUUAUCGGGUCCAUGCACGAGCAUUUUUGUUCUAUCCGCAACACCCCCAAAUUCUGCUCGAUACUUGGGCUGGACUUCACCUCCAGAGGGACCGACUUUGGCAUUUUUGGGUCGGCUACUGCUGCCAUCCUGGCCAAAGUGUCUGCUCGACUAUUCUGCUCCCUGGGGAUCUGUAUCACCUCCACUGCUUCAAAUUUCCCCAUCAUCUGCCUGACUAUCUUCAGGUACUGCUCCAUCUUCUUCUCUCUUGGUUGGAAUCUUUCGCUGACAUGAUUCGCAACCAGCUGGGAAUAAGUUCUGAUCUUCACUCUGUCUGCUUUCACGGCCUUAGCCAAUUCCAAACCUGCUAUCAAGGCUUCAUACUCUGCCUGGUUAUUUGUGGCUCCAAAUUCCAACUUCACAACAUAAGAGAUCUCCUCCCCCUCCGGGCCUUCCAAGACAAUCCCUGCUCCAGAACCCUGCUCCCCUGAUGACCCAUCCACAUACAUCUGCCAUACUUGAGCUUCGCCACUGUCUGUGACUACAUCUGGUCCAUCUAAACAUACUUCGGGCUCUGUGAAUUCAGCUACGAAAUCGGCCAUUGCCUGAGCCUUUAUCGCUGCUCGGGGUUUGUAGUCUAUGUCGAACUCGCUCAGCUCUAUAGCCCACUUGACGAGCCGACCAGAAGCAUCUGGCUUGUGCACAGUUUGACGCAAUGACUGGUUUGUUAUUACCGAGACCGGGAAUGCUUGGAAAUAUGGCCUCAACUUCCGAGCCGCAACCACAAGGGCAAGUGCCCAUUUCUCCAACGGUGGGUAUCUGGUCUCAGCGUCGAGCAGGGCCUUGCUUGUGUAGUAUAUCGGAUACUGAACUCCUUCUUCCUCUCUCACCAGAACAGAACUGGCGGCCCGAUCCGAUACCGCCAAAUACAGAUAUAACUUGUCCCCAUCCCUCGGUGUGGACAGUAGUGGAGCUUGCUGCAAGUAUUGCUUCAAGUUCUGGAAGGCUUCCUCGCAUUCUGGUGUCCAUUCUGUUUUCUUUCCCCUCCUUAUCACUUAAAAGAAUGGCUGACACUUGUCUGUAACCUUGGAUAUGAAUCUGCUCAACGCAGCCAACCUCCCCGUGAGGCUCUGCAUCUCCUUCAGGUUACGAGGAGACCUCAUCUGCACAAUUGCCUGGAUUUUCUCCGGAUUUGCUUCAAUCCCCCUAUGGCUCACCAUGAAUCCAAGGAAUUUCCCUGACUCGACCCCAAAAGCACACUUCUCCGGGUUGAGCUUCAUCUUAUACUUCCUCAAAAGCCCGAAUGUCUCCUCGAGGUGCCUGACAUGUUCCUUCGAGAUUUUGGAUUUGGUGAUCAUGUCGUCCACGUACACCUCCAUGGUUUUCCCAAUCAACGGCUUAAAGACUUUGUUCACCAGCCUCUGAUAGGUGGCCCCAGCAUUUUUUAGACCAAAUGGUAUUACCCUGUAACAGAACAAACCCUGGUUAGUGAUGAAAGCCGUGCUCUCCUCAUCCUGCUCGUACAUGGGGAUUUGGUUGUAUCCCGAGAACGCGUCCAUGAAACUAAGCAGACCGUGUCCAGCCGUUGAAUCUACUAGUUGAUCGAUCUUUGGUAAAGGGAAGCUGUCUUUUGGGCACGCCUUAUUAAGGUCUGUGAAAUCCACACACAUCCUCCACUUGCCAUUUGCCUUCUUUACCAACACCACAUUCGAUAUCCAUUCAGGGUAAUUGACUUCCCGAAUGAACCCUGCUCUCAAGAGCUUCUCCACCUCGACAUUUAUAGCCUCAUACCUCUCCUGAUUGAAGCACCUCCUCUUCUGCCUUACUGCCCGAGCACCUUUCUUUAUUGCCAGCUUAUGACAUGCUACCUCAGGGUCAAUCCCUGGCAUAUCUUCAUGUGUCCAAGCAAACACAUCUGCAUGAGCCUGUAAGCAUUUCACUAACUCCUGCUUUUGCUCUCCCUUAAGUCUCGACCCGAUUCUGAUUGUUUUUCCCGGAUUCUCUGGUCCCAGGCUUACUGUUUCCAGAUCCUCUACAGGUUCUUGUCUGCCAUUCUUGUUUUCCACUCGGGUAUCGAGGGAUGUUAUCUGCAUUGCUUCCCUUGCUGCUGAGGAGUAGCAGCUUCUUGCGAUCCUCUGAUCUCCUCGUACCACUCCAACUACCCCAUUCACCCGGUACUUCAGAGCCAGAUAAUGGUUGGACAGCAUCGCUUUGCUCAUCCUCAGAAAUGGCCGACCUAGGAUCAUCUGGUAAGGACCUUCCUCAUCCACUACCAUAAAGUCCAGUAUCAUUGUCCUUUCUGUCGGGGAGCUCCCAAUCGUGAUAGGCAGCUCGACCAUGCCCAGAGGGACCAGCCUUCCUCCUCCAAACCCCUUCAAGGAGGUAUUGGUGUAAUCCAACUUCAGGUCUGCUAUUCUCAUCUCCUUCAGGGUUGACUUAAACAACACAUCAACUGAACUCCCUGUGUCAACCAGUAUCCUGUCAAACUUCUUGCUAGCAACAGUGGCCUUGAUGACCAAAGCAUCCUCGUGGGGGUAUAUGAUCCCUUCUUCAUCCUCAUCUGUCCACAUGAUUGGCACUUGCCUGACUCUUGCACGUUUGGCUGCUGGGGUGUUGAAGAAUACCUUUUUGCUGGUCAUGGCGUAUCUAGCAUAAUUUUUCCUCGAUCUGUUAGAAUCUCCGGCCAAUGUUGGGCCCUCAGCUAUAACCCUUACUGCAGGCUGCUCGCGCCUCAAGUUCCUGUCACUCUGCUCCCCUUCACUUGUUGAGGCUACCAUUGGGAAGGUCCCAUCUACGAACUCGUCCAGAUACCGAUUUCUCACUAAAUCUUCAACCUGGGUCUUAAGAUCUCUGCAAUCUGCUGUGGUGUGGCCAUGAGUGCCAUGGAACUUACAAUAGCGUCCCCUAUCCCUCAUGCUGGGUAGCUUGGUUAUUGGAGCAGGGAGGUAUAGCAACCCCCGAUCCUUUAUGGCCUCGUACACCUCGUCCAGGGACAUCUUCAAGGAAGUGUACCGCCCAUAGUCCUAGUUCUGGUCGAUCAGGUGUACUGCUCUUUCUCUGUUUGCUCCGUUCUGGGUUGGGGGCGGUGGCAGUACUUCUGGUCUGCUCCCUCUGCUACCGUGGGAGUGUUGAUGAGCACCAUAUGAUGAAUCAUGCCUUCUCCAAGGCUCCCUAGCUGUGGAACGAGGAGGCUGCGCCCUGCUGCGCUGAUACUGUGGUGGGCUCUGAUGAGGCUGGUAAGCAAUUACCCGACCUCCUGCUCCAUUACCCGAGGCCUGGUGGUCCCUCCUCCUGAUCGGCCCAUUCCCCGGUAAUGCUUUCUUCUCUUUCCUCCCCAACCCUUCUAACUGGUCUAUCUUAAUUCGUGCUGCCUUCUCCUCUUCAAUCUCAAUGUCUCUCUUAGCCUGCUCGUAUGCGGCCGCAUACGUCUGGAUAGCUGGGCUUCUCAAAUUGUACCACAGCCUUCCUAUCUUCACCCUUUCUUUCAAUCCCCUUAACGCCUGAGGGUGGUUGAAGGCUCCCAAGUCGAGGACAGCCCGAUGAAACCUCUUGAUGAAUUCCCGAAGGGUUUCUUGCUCCCCCUGUUUCAUGCUUUUCAGCUCCAUCAUGUCAUCUUCUGGGGCCAUUGCCCCACUAAACUGCUCUGCGAAUUCCUGGCACAUCUGCUCGAAGGUUUUAAUGCUGCCCCGAGGAAGUUUCCUGUACCACUCGCGUGCACGUCCCUCCAGGGAUAGUGGAAACACCCUGCACCUUUGGGGCUGAGAUAAUCCUUGUACCCCCGUUAUGUCAUUGAAGCGUUCUAUGUGCACCAGCGGAUCAGUUCGUCCCGAAUAUCUAAGGUCCGGGAGACGGAAAUCCCUCGGAAUAAUUGCCCUCAUGAUCUCUGCUGCGAGCAGUGAUUCUCCGUCCAGCAUUAUCCUCCAACCAGGAGCUCUGCUCCUUCCUUGCAUAUCGUCAAUUAUCUGCGCUAGUCUGCGCACUUCCUCCUCCAGCUGUACUGCACGACCAGGGUCACGUGCUGCAACUUGAUCCCUCUCUUGCUCUACAUCAUGCAAGUGUUGCCUCAACUCUGUUUCUUCUGCAUUCGCCACCCCGUCGUCCUCGUAAAAAAUCUGUCUUGCCGGGGAUUGCUCUUCUUCUCUAUGAAAUUCUCCCCGUAGAGGUAUGUUACCUCUCUCACCACUAAAUCUCCCGGUGGUUUGACUUCUCCUCGUACCAUCGGGACCUGGUGUCACUCCACCACCUCUCACCAUUUCCUCCUGGGUUACCCUUCGUUCACUCCGCAACUCAUGCAGGAUGGUUGUCAGGGUCUCCAUCUGCUUUUCCAUCCGUUCCAUCCGGUCGAACAUGGCUUUUUCCCGUGCUUCGCUGGCUAUCUCCCUCAGCGUUACAGAAUCGUUAAGCCUCAUAUCACCCCCUUGUGCACUACUUCCUCCUGCCUCCAUUGCUUUUCACUUGCUUCACUCCUCUUCUUGCUAUCAACAGAAGCUUUUUGCUCAGCUCCCCACAGACGGCGCCAAAAUGUUGAUGCGAGAUUCUGGUUACACUCUUCCGGCUACCAGGACAUCUGCUCAAUCAACCUCACCUCGACCAGGAUCUCUCCUCGUAUGCUUUCUUCUCCAAGUACUCCUGCGUUCACAGAAACAAGUCAGAGCACGCCGGUUGUUUUCCCGGCGUAAACCCUCCGACGCUCAAGUCAGAUAUGAAGGCUUUGGGAACGCUUGCCACAGAUCUUAUGGCUUUGGAAAUAGUUUUCUCUUCUUUUCAAUUUCCUUAAUCUCUAUUCUAAUCUCGAAAUUGCUAACCCUUUUACCUUCGCUGGCUACCUUUUUAUAGGCCACUUCUGAGCCCAAGCCUUUUUCCCUUUGCGCUCGUCAUCCUCCCACUUCUCGAAAGUGGAUGCUCCAUUUCUGUAGUCGUGGGUGGUUGCGUGGCCCUCGUGCCUAGAUUCUCAGACUGGAAAGCAUGCCACGCCAACUGUCGUUGACCGGGUCUUCUCGAAUCAACCCUUAGCAGGAAUACAGCAGGAAUGGCUUCAGGCUUCUUACAGGAGAUUGGCCUCGCGGAUGACGUGCUCGUGGACGAGCAGGGUAUUCCUGCUCCUGCUCCUGCUCCCCCGGAUGCCAGGCUCUUACGGGACCCAUCGGCUCGCAGAACUCUACCAUCAGAUAUCUGCUCAUCAUGCCUGGUCUCGUCGACGUAUUUCUCCCAAACACUUACCACAUAUAUGUCACCUUUCAAUCAAUUGUUGAAAAAUUCAAAUUUGGAAUUCAAAUACAUGCAUUCAAAUUUGGAACACUUUGAACGGUCCGAUUCAAAACUUCAUAUUCCAAUUAUAUUCAUAAGACAAAUGGAACACUUUGAACGGCUUGUGUCCGAGCAUUGUAGUUUGAUUUAUUUUGAUGACAUUACCUUUUGACAUUGAGAUUCUUUCAGGAUUUAAACAUUCUUUUUAAAACCAAAUUAUUAAAAAAAAAUAACUAACAUAUAUUAUUUUAUUAGUGCUUUUUAAAUCAAAUAUACAUAGGAGAACUGUAAUUCUUAGCAAUCAAUUUUCCACUAAAUACACCUGCAACAAACUAUUAAUAACAAAGUGAUAGAAAAUACCUGAUUUUUCAUACUUUCUAAUUUCUUUUGGUCCUAAAAUAUGGGCAUUUGUGUAAUAAUAAGCCCAUGUGGAUCUCUAUGCCAUGAGUUUGAUAAAUAGCUAUCAAGGAUCACUUAUUAAGCUAAAAAUAUUUGGAGGACAAAAUUGUAAAACUAAAAGGGUGGAGCAAAUAUGGCUAUCUAGGAUUAAAUAGUAAGUCAACUAUAUUUAAAGGAUAAAAUAUUAAAACUUGAAUUGUGAUAUUAAAAAUAUCUCAACUAUUAUAUUAUUAAACCAUAUGUUCUAAUAGUUUUUUUUUUAAGCUUCAAAAUGUUCAGGAUUUUAGAUUGAAACAUUUUCAAUUGAAAUAAUUUGGUGCAGUCACAAGUUAAGAAAGAAAAAGUUGUCCCAUUGGUCAUUUCACAAAAAUGAAAGCCCUGUAUAACAUGGACGUGAAUGGAAACCCAAUUGUUUGUGUUUGAUUAAUUGAUUUCAAGCUUUAUCUAACCUUUGGACCUGGAUACUUUACUGCGGCCUCUAAGCGCUAUAAAUUUUUUUGGGGAUAAACGGCGCUUCAAUGAGGGCAUCUCCAAUGCUUAACACCAUUUUGGUGUAACACCAACAUUAAAAAUAUACAUUUUUCACACUAAAUUACUAUUUCAUCUCCAACCCAUUUACACCAAAUUUUACACCAAAAAUAAUAUUUUUUUUAUUCUUUUAAUUCUCAAGAAUUAAUUCAAUUAACACAAUAAAUACUACUAUUAACAUAGAUAAUUAAGUAAUAAGUAAUUUUAUCAAUUAACAAAAAAAAUAGAAAAUUAUUAAAUUUGCAUUUAAUUAACUAAAUUAGUACAUUAUGAAAAUUAAACAUUACAUUAAUAUAGAAAAAUACAAUAAAAAUAAUAAUAAUUUUAUAUCUAAUAUUUUGAUGAUAUUGGAGGAUCUAAUAAUGAUCUUCCAGAUUAUUAAAUAAUUGUUCUAAUUUAUACUAGUAGUAGUAGCUUUUUUAAUUUGUGUUAAUUUAAUUUUGUAAUAUGUAAUAUAGUAAUUAAUGUUAUUGGCAUUUUAUUUUUAUUAUUAAUUUUUGUGUUGAAUUUUUUUAUUUAAAAUAUUAGUAUAAUAUUAAAAAAUUAAAAAUGAAAUAAAUAAUAACAAAAAUAAUAAUAAUAACUUAAAAUAUUAUAUAAAAAAGGACAUAUAUGUAAAUAAGAAAAAGUAAUAAAGAUAUUUAGGACUCUUUUUUCCUAGCACCAAAUGAAUAGUGUUACACCAUAUUUGGUGCAAUACUAUUCAUAACACCAAUUUGCUGUUCGUUUUGAUGUUACAUUGGAGAAGCAUUUUACACAAAAAAUGGUGUAAAAGGUAGUUUGGUGUUAGUUUUGGUGUCACAUUGGAGAUGGCCUGGAAAAACACUUGAAAACUUUGGAUUUUUGGUUCGUCCAGUUACGGUGUUAUGCUAAUGGGGUUAAAAGUUCCGAUCCAAUGAGUUAGGAUGGAAUAUGAAUAUAUAAAUUCCAUAGCAUGUAAGGACUAGGAUUUGUUUGUUCAUAUCAAGAAAAAAAAGAUCCGAAAAUUUGAUGAUCAGAAGAUGAAGACACGUUUAUUACAGAGAAACAAACGACAACAUGAUACUAGUAGUAGUUAUUCUUUUCAUCCGAUAUAUUACAUGGUAAUAUCACUACUCGUUCCACUGGUUUCAUAUACACCAUCGAUCAGCAACAUGAUAAUUUUGUGUCAGUUCAUUUUGUUUGUAGGAAAGAGCAGUGUAUUUCUUAGAGCUUGAAAAUAAUAAAAAGAUUUUAAAAUAUAAAUUGCAUAUUUGUUUAUUACAGUUGUUUGGUCUAAUUUCUUAUGUAGAAUUGCUUGUCAUUCUUUGGACGUUAUUGAUUAUAUUUUUGUCAGACUUGGCGUAUAUAUUCACACAUACGUUUUAUUUUGUCAUUUUGUAGAACAUUUUUACACGCCAUAUUAUCACGACUCUUCUCUGUCUGAAUAAGAAGAAAGCAUAAUGCGACCCUCCAAUAGCUUAAUCUAUGGAAUUAUCGUGUUUUGUAAGUUGAGGUCCAAUGGCGUUUUGGCACAUCAUAUGAUAGCCCACUAUAUUGCGUUGCUUUACAAAAGAUUAAUAUUUUGAAAAUUAUUAGGUAAGUUUAGGCUCAGUGGCACUUUAACUCAUGAUAUGAUUGUCCAGGUUUUCGAGGACCACUAUAUUCUAUUGAUUUAAAAAAAAUUAAUAUUUUUUAAUAUUAAUAUUCUAAAUUAUAUUCAGUUCAAAUAUUAAAUAUUAAAUACAUUCUUAAUAUUAAUAUUCUUAGAUGAAAUUCUUUUGCUGACUUAAGAAUAAAAUAUUAAAUAAUUUUAUUUUUCUUUUAUUCUGUAACGUGGACCCAAUAAAAAAAGGAAAUGAAUUUAAUAAAACCUUCAUUCAAAAUCUUCAUUCCGCCACCAUGCAUGUUAAUUGUUUCCAAAUUCCAACCUCCGUACUCUCUUGAGGAGUUUCCCAUUCAUCAAUUAUUAUUUUUUAUAAUCCAUACCAUCCUGAUAUAAUUAAACACCAUUAAUAAUGUACCAACCUUUAAAUAGUAAUUAAUUUAUUUAUCUAAUUCACCAAAUGUUUUUUCCGGUACAUAUCUCCAUUGGUAUCAAGAAGAAGCAGAACCCAAAGAAAUGUUUCUUGCAUCUUCAUAUUUGUGCGAAUUCAUCCUUUCAUUGAGAAUAACCAUUUCCAGGCAGCAGUUGGCAAUCAAUUCAUGCGCACGUCGAUGCUAUUCAUAGAUACUAAAGACAAUGAUGAACCAAAGGUGAUAAAUCAUAAAUGCAUAAUUACCAAACCUCCAUCCUUCUCUCAUUAUGAUUUGAUUUUAAAUGAAUUAUUGCUUGGUAACAUUAUUUCCAACCAUUGCAAGACCUUUUUUUUGGAGAAAUUUCAAUUGAAAGUGAAACCUUUAGACAUUUACCUAAUGAAGUUAGUUAAUCGGGAGGGUCGGAAAAAAAAAGUUGACGCAAGUCAAUACACAAUAAUCAAUUAAAUCCGGAGUGACUAAAACAGAGCCACUACUUUUUAAAAAAUAUCUGCAUUAAUCACUUUCUCCAGCAACUAGUCAGCUACACACGAAUCAAUUUCUCUCCUCGUUUGUCAUCCAAAAUUAUUCACCAAUACCAUGGCUGAUGCAAUCGUUUCCACUAUCUUGGAGCAGCUGAUUUCCUUCGCUGCUGAAGAGAUAAAACAACAGGUGAUCGAAGUUUCACCCCUCAUAUUACAAAUACUUCCAAUGAUUUUAAUUGGCUUUGUUUUUAUCAAAAACAUUAUAUAUUUUUGCUUUUUUUUUAUUUAUCUGAUAAUUUUAUAUUUUGAAAUUUGAAUUGAAUUUAAUUAAAAGGUGAUGUAGUAACCACUCAUUUUUAUUUUAUUUCAUUUCUAUUCUCGAUAACUAACCAUAUUUUGGUAACUUAAUAUGACUCUCGUACAUAAGAAAUGAUCAAAACCCACAAUUUUAACUAUGUAUAAAUAUUCAACGUUGAGCUAAGGUUUUGCAGAACAUUCAAGUUUAUCAAAUAGUCAUUAAUUUAAUGUUUUAGUAAAACCUCAACUCAUCACUGAAUCCCAUAGCUAUUACUUAGACUCUAUGAAAAAUUUCAUAGUUUUCUUACAUUCUUUCAGUUUGGUAAGUGAUUUCAUAUAAUUUCUGUUCAAUAUAAAUUUUAAUUUGGUUUCUUAUAUACUCUCUUUGCUGAAUUUGUAUCUUUUAUGAUUCUUAGAUUUUGGGCUCUAACAUUUUAGGAUUUGAUAGUCACAUUUUAUGCCAUGCUUAGAUUGAUUUUCAUGAUUUUUACUACCCAUUAAGUGACUUAGAAUUUGACAAAAGUUUGAAAGGAAAUCUGCUUCAGGAUUCUGUUUUAAUUGACCUUUUAGUGGAAAUAGGAUGCUUAUAACUUAAUGUGGAUGGUUCGUAAAAUCAUGAAAUUUGGAUAGAAUUAACUAGAAAUAUGUACAAGACUCUCCAUGAAGUCUCAUAAUUUUUCAUUCGGUCUGGGGUGGUACAGGUGAAACUUGUGGUUGGUGUUGAAAAAGAAGUGAAAAGCCUUACCAGCCAUCUUCAAGCCAUUCAAGUUGUGCUCGAUGAUGCAGAGGAAAAGCAAGUGAAGGAAAAAGCUGUUAGUCUUUGGCUGGGUAGGCUCAAGUAUGCAUCCUACGACAUUGAAGAUGUGUUGGAUGAGUGGAUCACAACAAGACGCAAAUUGCAAAUUGAGGGUGGCAUUGGUGAAAAUGCUCUUGUUGUUCCUCAUAAGAAAAAGAAGGUAUGUCUCUGCUUUCCCGGCUCUUGUUUUGGAUUCAAACAAGAAGAAUUUGGUUUCAAACAAGUCUUUCUCCGUCAUGACAUUGCCGACAAGAUCAAAGAAAUCAAUGAAGAGCUACAUGAUAUUGCCGCUCAAAAAGACAUGUUUGAUCUUGUUAAGAGUGGCAAUAAAAGUAGUGAAAGACCAAGGCGUGUACAGAGUACCUUCUUGAUUGAUGAGGAAGAGAUUUGUGGCAGAGUUGGUGAGAGGAAUGAACUCUUAAGCAAGCUGUUGUGUGAGAGUAGCGAGCAACAAAAAGGCCUUCAUAUCAUCUCAAUCGUUGGUAUGGGAGGCAUAGGGAAAACAACUCUUGCACAACUAGCUUGUAAUCAUGACGAGGUGAAGAGAAAGUUCGACAAAAUUCUGUGGGUGUGUGUAUCAGAAACUUUUGAGGAGUUUAGGGUUGCCAAAGCGAUCGUUGAAGUUUUGGAUGGUCGUGAAUCUCAUUUAGCUGAAUUCCAUUCUCUUCUUCAACAUAUUUAUGAAUCCAUUGCAGGGAAGAGCUUUCUUCUUGUCUUAGAUGACGUGUGGGAUGGAAAUUACUUGAAAUGGGAACCAUUCUACCGUUGUCUAAAGAAUGGUCUCCAUGGAAGUAAAAUUUUAGUUACCACACGUAAAGGGUCAGUCGCAUCCAUGAUGGGAUCCAUAGAUAUUAUCUCCGUUAAGGAGUUAGCUGAAGAGGAAUGUUGGUUGUUGUUUAACAAGAUAGCAUUUUUUGAUCGGUCCAUCGAGGAACGUGAAAAAUUAGAACAAAUUGGGCAAAGAAUUGCAGGCAAGUGCAAAGGUUUACCUCUUGCAGCAAAGACAAUAGGGAGUCUCAUGCGUUCUAAACAAACUGAAGAAGAGUGGAAAAGAAUUUUAAAUAGUGAUUUAUGGAAAGUAGAAGAGAUUGAGAAAGAUGUUUUGUCCUCUUUAUUGUUGAGUUAUAAUGAUUUGCCAUCUAGAGUAAAAAGAUGUUUUUCAUAUUGUGCUGUCUUUCCAAAAGACUACAAUAUAGAAAAAGACAAACUAAUCACGUUAUGGAUGGCUCAAGGUUAUCUUAGUGCAGAAGAAGAUGAAGAGAUGGAGACAGUAGGUGAAGAGUAUUUUGGCAUCUUAGCUUCUCGCUCAUUUUUUCAAGAGUUUAAGAAAAGUUAUGAUAAUCGGAUUAUAGAGUGUAAGAUGCAUGAUAUGGUACAUGAUUUUGCCCGAUUUGUAAGUCAAAAUGAAUGUUUUUCGAUGGCAAUCAAUGGUAGUGAAGAACCAAACGCCACAAACUCUCUUGAUGAGAAGGUCCGUCAUUUAAUGUUAAUCUUUAGUAUAGAGGCUUCAUUACCUGUUUCCACUUGUAGAGUUAAAAGAAUUCGUAGCCUCUUAAUUAACGAUAGUAGAUCUGAUCAUUCAUUAUUAAAUGGUGAGAUCCUAGAAGAAUUAUUUAGGGAAUUGACAAGUUUAAGGGCAUUAGAUUUUUGCAAAUCGUAUAACGCAAGUUGGUCUUCGACUCUGGAGAUUCCGAGAAACAUAGAAAAGCUGGUACAUUUAAGAUACCUUAAUUUGUCUUAUCAGGGAAUAAAGAAACUACCGGAGACAUUAUGCGAGUUGUAUAAUCUAGAAAAGUUAGAUAUUAGUUAUUGUUAUAAGCUAGAAGAAUUACCUGAAGGGAUUGGGAAGUUAAUAAACAUGAAGCAUUUACGAAAUAGAGGUACUAGUUCUUUAAGGUACAUGCCAGUAGGGAUUGGGAGAUUAACGGGUCUUAGGACCUUGGGUGAGUUCCACGUGAGUGCAGGAGGAGGUGUUGAUGGUAGGAAAGCAUGUAGGCUUGAAUCUCUUAAAAACUUGGAACACCUUCAAGUAUGUGGUAUAUGUAGACUGGGUGAUGUAUCAGAUGUGGGCGAGGCUAAGCGAUUAGAACUUGACAAAAAGAAAUACCUCUUCAGUUUGACCCUCGAGUUUGAUAAGACGGAAAGAGGAGGAGAAAGGAGGAAGAACGAGGACGAUCAACUUCUUCUUGAAGCCUUGCGACCACCCCUGGAUUUAAAGGAAUUAGAGAUACGGUACUACCGAGGCAACACUGUUUUCCCCAGCUGGAUGGCGUCAUUAACCAACUUAAAGAGUUUACAUCUCCAUAGGUGCGAAAAUUGCGAGCAGCUGCCUCCUUUGGGAAAAUUGCCGUCCCUUGAAAAUCUCUACAUAUGGCGCAUGGAGAGUGUGAAGAGAGUGGGUGAUGAAUUUUUGGGGAUAGAAAGUGAUCAUCAUGACUCAUCGUCAUCUUCAUCAGUUACUAUUGCCUUCCCCAAAUUGAAAUCACUCACAAUUUAUUCGAUGCUGGAAUUGGAGGAGUGGGAUUAUGAGAUUACAAGAACAGGAAACACCGUCAUCAACAUCAUGCCACGUCUUUCUUCCUUGACAAUUGUUGAUUGCACCACAUUAAAGGCACUGCCCGACCACAUUCAUCAAACGACAACGUUGAAGGAAUUGAGCAUUUUUAUGUGUUGGCUUCUGAACAAACGUUACCGCAAGGGGAAAGGAGAAGACUGGCCUAAAAUAUCACACAUUCCCAACCUCCGUAUUGGGCUUUGACAAGUAAUUUCUUCUCUCACUCUGAUUUGCUUUGUUGUUGUUUUUAAUCUAAUUAAGAAGCGAAAAUAGCAUUUUGAAUCAAACUCUAUAUCAGAAAUCUGCAAUACUUACUUUCUAAUAUUCUGAUUUUCAUAUCCUAUGAAUAUACGAUUUUUAAUUUGUGAGAUGGGUAACGUUACUGUAAAAGAUUAUUAAUGCAAUAUGAGUAAUUCUUUUGCAGGACAAGUGACCUACAUUUAGUUUGGCUUUGGAGUUGAAUAAUAACCUUUCGUGGUCCCGACAACCAAAAAACAAAGCUUAAUUUGCCACAGAUUGAACGUAUUGCCAUUAUUGACAAUUUUCUGCACAAGCGUGACUGAACUUAGGUUGAUGUCAAAAGAGGUAAAUUAUUGGCAUGCCUGACUAUUUUGACCAUUACAUGAUUCAUAAGUUUACAUUAAUUUUGAUUUUGAGUUGAGUGAUUAGUUUUCUAGGUUUGCUUACUUUAACUGGGUGACCAAUUUCUUGUAACUAAAUGUAUGAUGUGAUGCAGGAAGCAGGGCAGGAUAUGAAAAGAGAAGCUUAUUAGAGGAAGGAUUGCCAGUAACAGAAUCCAAAGAAAAAGAAACCAUUUCGAGGCAGCUGUUGGCAGUUGGCAGUGAAUGGAGCCCCUUGAAAAAAUUCCCAGGCCGUUGCACUGCAAUUACGAUCAUCCUCGGCCUCAGGUAAUUUCUUCUCCUGCAUUUUUGUUAUUUGCUAUCAAGUGACUAUUUUAAGUAUGAUUGCAUUAAGCUUCUGCUGGGAAAUUUGAGGUUUUGAUGACUGCCCAUGCUAUUGUCAGAAGCUGCGGUUCUUUUCAUCAGCCUGAACCUGGACCUGCCGCUAUGGAUAACUCAGGUUUUUUUUUUUUUUUUAAUCAACUGCCAUCUUUUCCACUGUUUAGAAACUCUUAAGAUUAAACUUUAGUAAAGUUGUUUUAGUUAUCCAUGUAAUCAGGCUGAGGAUACUUAGCUGCCUAUUUAGGCAAAUGUCAGAAUUUAGUUUGUUCGCUGGGAACUGGUGUGGACUGGCAAAGGAUGAUGAGAUAGUUUUUUGAGUGAGUAAAUUUUGGGAGCUUGAGUGUAUUGGGAUUUGCAAUUACAAUCAUCGUCUGCCUCAGGUGAUUUCUUCUCCUGCUCUGUCAUUGUUUGUUCUCUAAUUCAAAAGCAUAAAAUAUUUCAAUCAAUUUUUAUGCCAGGAAUAUGCAAAAGUUUCUAAUAUUUUAUUUCCAUCUGUUACAAGAUCAAACUGAAGCAGAACUCAAACAAAAGUAUGCUACUUCUUGCGGAAAUCUUGCCUUUGUUCAGAUUAUGAAACCAUUUCCAUGCAGCAAAUUCAUCCAAAAGUUUGAAUAAGUUUCAUGGUUGGACACUGUUGGCUUCUUUUUCUUCUGGGGUGCAUUUAGGUGCUAUCAAGUGACAGCUGUAAGUAUGAUUGCACUAAGCUGCCGCUGGGAAAUUUGAGGUUUUGAUGGCUGCCCAUGUUAUUUUCAAGAAACUAUUGAUGUAAGAAGCUGUGGUUCUUUUCAUCAGCUUGAACCUGAAACUGUCGCUAUGGAUAACUCAGGUUUUUGUUAUCAACUAUAUCAUCUUUUUCACUAUUUUGAAACUCUUAAGAUUAAACUUUAGUAAAGUUGUUUCAGCUAUUCAAAUGAAAAACUCAUUGAUUUGAGACUUCCUUCAUUAUUGUUUCUAAUUACAAUGCUAACGAUCCAGAUAAAAUAAUAUUUAAUCGGCGAAGGUGUCCCUUGGAAGUACAUCCUUCUUUUUCUUUUAUUAUAUAAAUUCUUGCAAUGAGCUUAGUGAAGCUGUUGUGCUAAUCAUGCCACUGCAUAAUUUGGCCCCUAAUGUGGGUACUCUGUUACAUUGUUCUGCAAAUUCUCCAGAAGUUAAAAUCAAUAAAUUUUCUAUUAGCUCUAGUGCUUUGACCUAAAUGCCAUUCUAUAUUUUGAUUACAAUGUUUUAACCUUUAAAUUAACUACCCCUAGAUGUUGGAUUUUCUAGAACUUCAAAAUGAUUAAUGGAGAAAGAUCCCAUUAUCGUUAUUGCUAUAAGAAAUUGAUUUAUGCAUCCAAAGAUACAUUAUAUAUUUCUGUGUCUCUAUUUGUAGAUGACAUUUAAGCAUCCAUAAACCGUCAGACAGAGGAAGGGGGUUCAGUGCAAAGAUUCUGUUGACCUAGGGUUGACUGCAUAAUGUCACUUGUUCGCAAUCUAUUAUUUAUUUUAUAUUUUGAAGAAUUUAAUGGGUAAUCCUAAUUGUUUGUUUUGGCAGGUAUGUGUUGUUAUCUCCUUCUAUCUAACAGUCGUACCUAAAUAGCAUAGUUUCAUCUGUGUUACCAUGUGAUGUACAUAAUUUCACAUUUGCCUCAGAUUAAGCUUAAUUUCCCACAGAAUAGAGCUGUCGCGACUGGACUUAGGUUGAUGUCCAAAGAGGUAAAUUAUUGGCAUGCCUAGAUAAUUUGGCCAUUUCCUAAUUCAUAAGUCUACAUUAAUUUUGAUUUUGAGUUGACUGAUUUCUUUUCAAGGUCUGCUUCCUUAACGGAGUGACCAAUGUUUUUCAACUAAAUUUAUCAUAUGAUGCAGGAAGCAGGGCAGGAUAUGAAAUGAGAAGCUCAUUGGUGGAAGUAUUGCCAGUAACAGAACCCAAAGAAAAUGAAACUAUUUCAAGGCAGCAGUUGGCAGUUGCAAGUGAAUGGAGGCCCUGACAAAAUUCUCAAGCGGUUGCAAUGCAAUUACGAUCAUCCUCAGCCUCAGGUAAUUUCUUCUCCUGCUCUGUUUUUAUUUGUUAUCUAAUUAAAAAGCAUAAAGUAUCUUGAAUCACUUUCUGUAUCUGGAACAUAUGCAGCAGUUUCUAAAAUCUUCAUAUGAGUGUAAUGAUGGUAAUUUCUGUUUUUUGUCUGUCAUUGAAUGUUAGACAACUUUCAGUGAGACUCUUGAACCGAGACAUUUUUGACAAAUGAAGGACAAUUGCUGAAGAGUGGGAAUGGUGCUAGAUUGGGGAAUAAAGACAAAGGAGGUAAAUUAUUUGCAGUUUAUUCAGCAUUAUUUGCUUUGGACCAGCGCCUGAUUCACAAGUCUCCAUAAUUUGGCUUUUGACCAGUUGUUAAUAAAUUUUUUAUUCCAUUGGUGCUAAAUGUACACGUGAAGCAGGCAGAGCAGGACUGUGGAAAUGAGAAGGUUUUUAGUGAAAGCUUAAACUCAGGUAAUUCUAAAAAGUACAUGUUUUUGCUGAUUUAUCUAAAUCAGGAAAUUUUAUUUCCAUCUGUUACAAGAUAAAACAGAAACAGAACACAAAGAAAAAUAUUCUACUUCUUGUGGCAAUCUUGCCUUCAUUCAGACAAUGAAACCAUUUCCUUUCACCAAUUUCUUCCAAAAGUUUGAAUAAGUUUCAUGGUUGGACAUAGUUAGCUUCUUUUUCUUUUGGUGCAUUUAGGUCCUAUCAAGUGACAGCCAUAAGUAUGAUUGCAUUAUUGGGAAAUUUUAGGUUUUGAUGGCUCCCCACGUUAUUGCCAAGAAAGUCCUCAUGUCAAAAGCUGCGGUUCUUUUCAUCAGCCUGAACCCGAACCUGUCGUUAUGGAUAACUCAGGUUUUUGUCAUCAACUAUAUCAUCUUUUUUACUGUUUUGAAACUCUUAAGAUUAAACUUCAGUAAAGUUGUUUCAGUUAUCCAUGUAAUCAGGCCAAGGAUAUUUAGCAGCUUAUUUAGGCAACUGCCAGAAUUCAGUUUGUUUGCUCGAAACUUGUAUGGUGACAAGGAUACUGGCAAGGAUAGUGAGAUAGUUUUUUGUGUGAGUGAAAUUUGAAAGCUUGGGUGUUCUGGGAUUUGCAAUUGCAAUCAUCCUCUGAGUCAGGUGAUUUCUUCUCCUGCUCUGUCUUGAUUUUCUCUCUAAUUGAAAGCAUAAAGUAUUUCAAUCAAAUUCUGUACCAGGAGUACAUAAAAGUUACUAAUAUUUUAUUUCCAUCUGUUUGCAUUGAUAACUCGGCAUAUGUUCUAGUUAAAGAACAAACAGAAACAGAGUUCAGGAAAAAGUUUCUUCGGCCACCAUAUUUGAAAAUGAAACCAUUUCCAGGAAGCAGUUGGCAGCAAAUUCAUAUGGAGUGUAGACAAUGAUGAGCAAAAAGGUGAUUCGCAAUUUCUUUUUUUUUUAAGUGAAAUUAUUUGUUAGAUUGAAGCUGAUAUUGUAAGAAGGCCAUUGAGCUAACCUAUGUCGUCACUUGCCUAGAUUGCAGGGGGUCAAGACUCAAAAGAAGCACUGAAAUUUAAAAAGCAUGGAAUAGUUCUUUUGCCAUGUGUCAAUUAAUGCAAGUUUGAAUAAGUUUAUUGGCUGAACGAUGUUAGCUUCUUUUCCUUUCGUGCACUUUGGUAUGCUAUCAAGUGACAGCCGUAUGUAUGGCUUGCAUAUAGCUGCUGCUGGGAAAAUUGACGAUUUCAUGGCUGGCCGUGUUAUUGUCUUAAAUUAGUUGUGAUAAGCUGUUGCUUGGAGAUUCUGUUGCCAAGACUUUGCUCACAUCAGAAGCUGUGGAAUCUGAACCCUUCGUUAUGUAUCAUCUUUUUCAUUGUUUUAAAACUCUCAGGAUUAAACUUGAGCGAAUUUGUUCGGUUGUCUAUAUAAUCAUGUAUUGAGUAAACUCUCAGGAUACUGAGGGUGAGAGAAAUUAGAGGGUGUAUAGGGAUUUGGAUUUGUUAGGAAGUUAUCAUUUUUAUUUUUAUUUUUAUUUUUUUCCCAGAAAAUCUUCUGGUGGUGCUAUAUUUUCAAACGACAGUCCGAUUCAAAACUUGAUAUUCCAAUUAUAUUCAUAAGCUUCUACAGUUAUCUUCAAAAAGACAAAUGGAAGGCUUUGAACGGCUUGGGUCUGAGUAUUGUAGUUUGAUUUAUUUUGAUGAAAGUACCUUUUGACAUUGAGAUUCUUUCAUGAGUUAAACAUUCUUUUUAAAACCAACUUAUUAAAAAAAAAAAGUAACUAACAUAUAUUAUUUUGUUAGUGCUUUUUAAAUCAAAUAUAAAAAAGAGAACUGUAAUUCUUAGCAACCAAUUUUUCACUGAGUACACCUACAACAAACUAUUAAAAAAUAAAGUGAUAGAAAAUGCCUGAUUUUUCGUACUUUCUAAUUACUUUUGGUCCUAAAAUAUGGCAAUUUGUGUAAUAAUAAGCCCAUGUAUAUCUUUAUGCCAUUAGUUUGAUAAAUAGCUAUCAAGGAUAACUUAUUAAGCUAAAAAUAUUUGAAGGAUAAAUUGAUUUAUGCAUCCAAAGAUACAUUAUAUAUUUCUGUGUCUCUAUUUAUAGAUGACAUUUAAGCAUCCAUAAACCGUCAGACAGAGGAAGGGGGUUCAGUGCAAAGAUUCUGUUGACCUAGGGUUGACUGCAUAAUGUCACUUGUUCGCAAUCUAUUAUUUAUUUUAUAUUUUGAAGAAUUUAAUGGGUAAUCCUAAUUGUUUGUUUUGGCAGGUAUGUGUUGUUAUCUCCUUCUAUCUAACAGUCGUACCUAAAUAGCAUAGUUUCAUCUGUGUUACCAUGUGAUGUACAUAAUUUCACAUUUGCCUCAGAUUAAGCUUAAUUUCCCACAGAAUAGAGCUGUCGUGACUGGACUUAGGUUGAUGUCCAAAGAGGUAAAUUAUUGGCAUGCCUAGAUAAUUUGGCCAUUUCCUAAUUCAUAAGUCUACAUUAAUUUUGAUUUUGAGUUGACUGAUUUCUUUUCAAGGUCUGCUUCCUUAACGGAGUGACCAAUGUUUUUCAACUAAAUUUAUCAUAUGAUGCAGGAAGCAGGGCAGGAUAUGAAAUGAGAUCUCAUUGGUGGAAGUAUUGCCAGUAGCAGAACCCAAUGAAAAUGAAACUAUUUCAAGGCAGCAGUUGGCAGUUGCAAGUGAAUGGAGGCCCUUGACAAAAUUCUCAAGCGGUUGCAAUGAUGGUAAUUUCUUCUCCUGCUUUGUAUUUAUUUGUUAUCUAAUUAGGAAGCGUGAAGUAUCUUGAAUCAUUUUCUGUAUCUGGAAUAUAUGCAAGAGUUUCUAAAAUUUUGAUAUGAGUGUAAUGAUGGUAAUUUCUGUUUUCUGUCUGUCAUCAAAUGUUAGAAAACUUUCAUUGAGACCCUUGAACCGAGUCAUUUUUGACAAGUGAAGGACAAUUGCUGAAGAGUGGGAAUGGUGCUAGAUUGGGGAAUAAAGACAAAGGAGGUAAAUUAUUUGCAGUUUAUUCAGCAUUAUUUGCUUUGGACCACCGCCUGAUUCACAAGUCUCCAUAAUUUGGCUUUUGACCAGUUAAUAAAUUUUUAAUUCCAUUGGUGCUAAAUGUACACGUGAAGCAGGCAGAGCAGGACUGUGGAAAUGAGAAGGUUUUUAGUGAAAGCUUAAACUCAGGUAAUUCUAAAAAGUACAUGUUUUUGCUGAUUUAUCUAAAUCAGGAAAUUUUAUUUCCAUCUGUUACAAGAUAAAACAGAAACAGAACACAAAGAAAAAUAUUCUACUUCUUGUGGCAAUCUUGCCUUCAUUCAGACAAUGAAACCAUUUCCUUUCACCAAUUUCUUCCAAAAGUUUGAAUAAGUUUCAUGGUUGGACAUAGUUAGCUUCUUUUUCUUUUUGGUGCAUUUAGGUCCUAUCAAGUGACAGCCAUAAGUAUGAUUGCAUUAUUGGGAAAUUUUAGGUUUGGAUGGCUCCCCAUGUUAUUGCCAAGAAAGUCCUCAUGUCAGAAGCUGCGGUUCUUUUCAUCAGCCUGAACCCGAACCUGUCGUUAUGGAUAACUCAGGUUUUUGUCAUCAACUAUAUCAUCUUUUUUACUGUUUUGAAACUCUUAAGAUUAAACUUCAGUAAAGUUGUUUCAGUUAUCCAUGUAAUCAGGCUAAGGAUAUUUAGCAGCUUAUUUAGGCAACUGCCAGAAUUCAGUUUGUUUGCUCGAAACUUGUAUGGUGACAAGGAUACUGGCAAGGAUAGUGAGAUAGUUUUUUGUGUGAGUGAAAUUUGAAAGCUUGGGUGUUCUGGGAUUUGCAAUUGCAAUCAUCCUCUGAGUCAGGUGAUUUCUUCUCCUGCUCUGUCUUGAUUUUCUCUCUAAUUGAAAGCAUAAAGUAUUUCAAUCAAAUUCUGUACCAGGAAUACGUAAAAGUUACUAAUAUUUUAUUUCCAUCUGUUUGCAUUGAUAACUCGGCGGCAUAUGUUCUAGUUAAAGAACAAACAGAAACAGAGUUCAGGAAAAAGUUUCUUCGGCCACCAUAUUUGAAAAUGAAACCAUUUCCAGGAAGCAGUUGGCAGCAAAUUCAUAUGGAGUGUAGACAAUGAUGAGCGAAAAGGUGAUACGCAAUUUCUUUUUUUUUUUUUUUAAGUGAAAUUAUUUGUUAGAUUGAAGCUGAUAUUGUAAGAAGGCCAUUGAGCUAACCUAUGUCGCCACUUGCCUAGAUUGCAGGGGGUCAAGACUCAAAAGAAGCACUGAAAUUUAAAAAAGCAUGCAAUAGUUCUUUUGCCAUGUGUCAAUUAAUGCAAGUUUGAAUAAGUUUAUUGGCUGAACGAUGUUAGCUUCUUUUCCUUUCGUGCACUUUGGUAUGCUAUCAAGUGACAGCCGUAUGUAUGGCUUGCGUAUAGCUGCUGCUGGGAAAAUUGACGAUUUCAUGGCUGGCCGUGUUAUUGUCUUAAAUUAGUUGUGAUAAGCUGUUGCUUGGAGAUUCUGUUGCCAAGACUUUGCUCACAUCAGAAGCUGUGGAAUCUGAACCCUUCGUUAUGUAUCAUCUUUUUCAUUGUUUUAAAACUCUCAGGAUUAAACUUGAGCGAAUUUGUUCGGUUGUCUAUAUAAUCAUGUAUUGAGUAACCUCUCAGGAUACUGAGCAGGCAAAUGUUAUAACUCGGUUUGUUAGCCAAAAACUUGUUGAAGAUUCUUGACAAAGCUGCAUCAAGUGAAUUGUCGGAGCUCUGAGGGUGAGAGAAAUUAGAGGGUGUAUAGGGAUUUGGAUUUGUUAGGAAGUUAUCAUUUUUAUUUUUAUUUUUAUUUUUUUCACAGAAAAUCUUCUGGUGGUGCUAUAUUUUCAAACGACAGUCCGAUUCAAAACUUGAUAUUCCAAUUAUAUUCAUAAGCUUCUACAGUUAUCUUCAAAAAGACAAAUGGAAGGCUUUGAACGGCUUGGGUCUGAG